UCCACUUAAAUAUGAAAUCCGGUAAUUCCUUCAUUGCACAACAGUAUUGUAAAGAGAAGUGCUCUAGAUUUCGUAGGUCCCCAAUUUUUUUAGGCAAACCUUCAAGGUAAUCACAAAGAGCAAACUGUAAAUCUUUCAGAUCCUUUAACUUCCCAAUAGAGCCAUCAAUCUUCCUUAAGUUUUUGCAAGCCAAAAAAGUCAGCCUCUCUAAAGUUGAGCAUUUGGAUAAGUCUGGUGUUCUGGUUAUGCCAUAACAAUUAGCAAGACUAAGAACUUUCAAUUUUCUUGCCCCCUGUAAAAAGUGAAUGCAUUAUCCAAUGGAAGAGCAGUUCAAAUGUUCAUUUUAAGGACAAAGAAAGGAAAUAAGCAUAUGACACACCUUUAUUAACUGCAAUAAUUUCUGAUCGUCUAUAGUGGGAAUGCUUGAAAAUUCAAGGACAACCACAUUCUUUAAGCACAUAUUGGUCAGCUCACAGUGUAAAAACAGAGAACUGCUCCAAUAAAUCCAUUUUAGUUUGGGAAAACAAUCCAUUAGAUCGCCAACAAAGGUUCCAUCAUCUAAUCUAAGGAACCUUAGUUCUUUAAACCUUCCAAUCUCUUCACUUUUGAUACGUAUGCAUUUGUGAGUUACUUCCAUCGCUUGAACUUUUUUCAUCUGCAAAUGAGAACAAGAAAGGAGUAGCAUUCAGCAUUCCAUUUUAUCAGGGAAAAGUAUUAAAACCAAGAAGCAAAAAGAGAAUCUAUUAGUUCUCUCAUGUAGUGUCCCACCUCCUUUGUCUUGAUUGUAGUGAGGACUUCAUCUCGAAUCCAUAACCUACUACGCCCUUCAAGAAUUGUUCGAUUUUCUUGACGAACAAUUUCCCUUCCAAGAUCUCUAAGUUGAUCGUGCAUCAAAAACUCAUUGUUCACUCCAAUCUUUAUCAAGGACUUGUUUUUGAGGACCUCAAUUCCACUGAUUGGGAAAAAUUCACAAUCUGUCCACAUAUAAAUUGGGUUUGUCAUUUCCUCACCAAUGAAAAAGCAUGCAAUAUCCAGAAAAAUUUGUUGAACCUCAGGAGUCAAUGCAUCAUAGCUAAUCCUCAACUUUUCGAAAACACCUUGUGGAGGUGCUUUGUGUAACUUGUCCAAUGUUUCUUUCCGUAGGUCUUGUCUUUUAUUGUUAAAAAAUGAACCAAUUACUGCAAUAGUCAAAGGAAGGUUUCCACUAGCAUAUACAAUUUUCUUUGAAAUAUCAUCACGGUCAUCUGAAGGAGAGUCCUUGUUAAAUGCAUGUCUGAUGAAAAGCUGAAGUGCAUGAUCACUACUCAUCACCUUCAUUUCAUAGGGUAAUAUAUUGUACUCUGGUUUAGUGAUUUGCAACACAUCCUUGUUUCUAGUAGUAAUCAGUACUCUAGACCCUGAACACAAAGUACCUUUUCCAACUAAUUUCUCCACUUGUUCGCUUUCAUCAACAUCAUCCAGUACAAUUAAGACCUUCUUAUUGCGAAGUGUUUCUCUAAUCCUCUCCAUUCCAUAGUCAGUUGUGUUGGAGAAAUCUUUCCAGAAUAUUUUGAAGUUGACAAAACAUUUCCAUCAGUCUAGUCUGGAUAUCGAUAGUUUAAAGUCUCAAGACUUUGUAGUCUCAAGACUGAAGACUGAAGACUCAAGACUCAAGACUCAAGACUCAAGACUAUUCUCACUGACAGUCUUUCAAAUCCAGUGGAGAAGGAUAUCCGAAGCCGAAGUAUAUGGUUGGGGAUUCGAUCUAAUCCUCUGGAAAAGAUACCUUGGUUGGAUAAUCAUUUCGGAUUCUUUGAUUUUUAUCUAAGAAUAAUUGAAGAUCCGAUGGUCGACGAAACAUUCUUGGAAUGUUCUAUUCUUGGAAACCAAAAUCCUGAUUGUAUGGGCGAACAGGAUUGAUGGGCUAUCAUCAGAUUCCUUAAAUAGCUCGGAUGAUCUUCUUGAUUGAUUCCGUCCAACGGGUAGAUUGGAGGAAUUCCUUUGGUAAGUGCCAACGGCUAUGAUGGCAUAAAGGAGUAUAAAAGGAAGACGUUCUAGUUGUUUUGUGGGUGUGAUUGAUAGAAAAAUUCCAGAGUCUGAAGAACCUUGAUUGUUAGUCGAUACAGUUCGAGUGAAAUUGUAUACACAGAGAGUGUUCAUACUUGGUGACACCUUGAGCGAGUGUAGUAGAUCAUCUACAUCUAGAAAUCAAGGAAGAUCAACACUGUAACAUCUCUUUGUUCAUAGUGGAAUCCAGCCAAUCGGCUGUUAGUGCAGAAGAGUGGACGUAGGCUUGAAUCAAGCCGAACCACUAUAAACCUCGUGUUUAAUUCUCUCUUUCCUUUACUCAGUCUUAUGAUUGAUUUUAUUAUUCCUUUAUCUGUCUAAGUAUUGUGCAAUAUUUAAGAAAAUUUUUAUAAACCUAUUCACCCCCUCUAGGUACUCAUACUAGCAUUAUCAAUUGGUAUCAGAGCCUGCGUUCUUACUUUAUUUGAAGUGUUUUACUUCAGAGUAAAAGAUCCAUGGCUAGUAUGCUAGCACCAGGGCUGGUGGAAGGGCAAAGCAAUACCAGACCACAUUACUUUGAUGGAAAGGAUUACAAUAUCUGGAAAAACAAGAUGAAAGCUUUUCUACGGUCAAAGGAUCCUAUGGAAUGGGAUGUGGUGGAAAGAGGAAUUACUCCUAUUGCUGCAUCAGCAUCAGAAAGAGGAAAAGAAACUGCUGAUACCAGCGGAAUGUCUCAAGAAGAGAUAAACAAGAGACAAGCACUCGACGCAAAAGCAAUUUACUCUUUAUACUGUGCUUUAUCACCAACUGAAUAUAACAGAAUAUCUUCUUGUGAUACAGCAAAAGAAGUCUGGGACAGAUUACAUAUCACUUAUGAAGGGACAGACCGAGUGAAGGAGACCAGAAUUAACAUUCUCCUUGGUCAAUACGAAUCCUUCAAAAUGAAACCAGGAGAAUCUAUAACUGACAUGUUUAGCCAUUUUACAGAUAUUGUCAAUGGCCUUGAGAAUCAAGGACAGAAAAUUUCUGAUCCUAUGAAGGUGAACAAGCUACUGCGUGGACUCUCCAAGGAUUGGAAUCAUAUAAAGACUUCAAUAAGAGAGACGCAAAGAAUUAUGCCAUUAUCUGUAGAUGAGCUGAUUGGAACUCUUCAGUCUUACGAAGUGGAACGAAUUAAUGAAGACGAAGAUCCAAGAGGUAAGAAAUCCAUUGCAUUAAAAUCUAAUGAUGAUUCUGAUGAUACAGACUCUGAAGAAGAUCUGGACGAUGAGGAGCUUGCUCUAAUGAUUAGAAAGUUCAGAAAGCUGAAUAAAAGAGGAAGAAGGUUCAACUCAAGGAAACAAAGUCUUCAGAAAUAGCAAACCAAGUUUAUUGAUAAUGAGGAACCAAACAAAGAUGUAGUUUGCUUCGAAUGUAAGAAAAAGGGACACAUCAGACCAAAUUGUCCUCUCCUAAAGAAGAAGAGGGGAAAAGCUGAAAAGUCUCGAAAAGCUCUCAAAGCCGAAACUUGGAGCGAUACAGAGUGUGAAGAAAGUGAUGAGGAAUAUGCCAACCUGUGUCUAAUGGCACAAUCAGAUUCAGAUUCUGGAUCAGACUCAGACAGUGAAUUUGAGGUAAGUGAUUAUAAAAUCCCUGUCAAAGUCUCUAAAUACAUUGAUGAACUAUGUUUUAGUCUUAAGACUUCUCUAAAAAGGAUUUCCGAACUUAAAAAGGAAAAUUCAGUUUUAAAACAAAAGGAAAAUAUUUUAGAAGAAAACGUGAAAAGCUUAGACUUGAAUGUUUCUACUCUUAAGGAGAAUGAAGAUAAACUUUCAAAAGAAAAUGCUUUCUUAAAAACUGACUUAUCAAAUAUUUUAAAGAAAUUUUCAAUAGGGUCUGAAAAACUUGAAAAAGUUCUUUCAGUCCAAAGACCUUAUUUUAACAAGUCUGGUUUAGGUAUGACAGAAGAAACAAUUCCUUUGAUUGAUUUUCCAAAAGUAAAAGAAAGAAUUAAAAAAGACCGUCAAAAGAGGCUUACAAAAAUCAUUUCAAGAAAGUCUUUGUAAAGUCUGUAGGUCGAAGUGCUUUAAGGUGUUCAAAGUGUAAUAGUCAGGAACAUUUUGAAAAAGAAUGUCCUAUGGUUUGGAAGCCUGUUAAGAAAAUAUGGCCUAGUAAUGCUUAUUCUACUAACGACAAAGGACCCAAGAAAAUUUGGGUACCAAAGAAAGCUUGAGACUCUCUUUUGAAUGCAGGUCUCUGUAAAAAAGAAAGUUAAGUGGUAUCUUGACAGCGGAUGUUCAAGACACAUGACAGGAGACUCAAAUUGCUUCAUAAAACUUGUUCAAGUGAAUGGUGGAAAAGUCUCAUUUGAAGGAAACAAUAAAGGAAGCAUUGUGGGAUUUGGAACUGUGAAAAUUGGAAAUCUCACAAUAAGCAAUGUUUCUCUAGUGGAAGGACUUAACUACAAUCUUCUAAGCAUUAGCCAAUUGUGUGAUACUGGUUUCAAGAUCUCCUUUCAAGAAGGCAUAUGUUUUGGAAUUAGCAAAGAUUCAACUCAGUCUUUUAUGGGUCGAAGGCAUGGAAAUAUUUACCUUCUUGAUGUAAAACCAAAUGAAGCACAAUGCUUAAUCUCAAUUCAAGAUGAAGCAGUCUUAUGGCACAGAAAGCUUGGCCAUGUCAACAUGAAGCAAUUAGCCAAAAUCUCAUCAAAGAAGCUUGUUCGAGGUCUACCUAAAUUGCCAUACCAAAAGUCUGAUUCAUGCACUCCAUGUAUUCUGGGAAAGCAGAUAAGAAAUUCAUUUAAGCAAAUAAAUCAUGUCUCUACUAAUCAUGUACUACAGUUGCUUCAUAUGGAUCUCUUCGGACCAACCAGAACUCAAAGCAUUGGAGGUAAGAAAUAUUGCCUAGUAAUUGUGGAUGAUUAUUCCCGCUUUACUUAGGUGUAUUUCAUUGCAAGUAAGUCAGAAACCUUUUCGUAUUUUGAAAAAUUUGCCAAAAAGGUUCAAAAUGAAAAAGGAUGUGCAAUCUCAAGCAUAAGAACAGAUCAUGGGAGUGAAUUUGAAAAUCAAGAGUUUACGAAAUUUUGUGAUAAAUCUGGUUUUAAUCAUAUGUUUUCCUCUCCAUAUACUCCAGAGCAAAAUGGAGUUGUGGAAAGAAAGAAUAGAUCUCUUCAAGAAAUGGCUAGAACACUUUUAAUUGAAAGCAAAAUCUCUUCACGAUUUUGGGCUGAAGCUGUUUCAACAGCAUGCUAUAUUAUAAAUAGAGUCUUUUUAAGACCGAUUUUAGAGAAAACCCCCUAUGAAUUGUUCAAAGGUAAAAAGCCUAUUGUUUCAUAUUUUCAUGUGUUUGGUUGCAAAUGCUUUAUUCUGAAAAAUGCAAAUGAUCGAGUUGGUAAGUUUGAAGAAAGAUCAGAUGAAGGCAUCUUCCUUGGAUAUUCUACAACAAGCAAAGCCUACAGAGUCUAUAACAAGAAAAGCCAGUCGGUGGAGGAAUCAACGAAUGUUAAAUUCCAAGACUCAAUGCAAGAUGAAUCCAGCCAGAGUCAGUAUGAAGAGUCUGAACCUACUCCAGAUCUUCCAACGCUUACAACUCAAGAAGCAUCUCAAUCUCUGGAAGUUCAACAUCAAGAAGCACAUGAAGAUUCAAACAAAGAAAGAGAUCAUCAACCAGGCAGAUCAACCAGUAACUGGAAGCAUAAAUCCAGUCAUCCCAAAGAUCUCAUUAUUGGCGAAAUCAAUGAAGGAAUUCGCACCAGAUCAAAAAGGCGUGAAGAAUCUAGUGCUGUGGCUCUCAUUUCUGAAAUUGAACCAAAAAGCAUAGAAGAAGCUUUAUCUGAUGAAAGCUGGAUUGAAGCUAUGCAAGAAGAACUCAGACAAUUCAAUAUCAAUGAUGUCGGGGAAUUAACAUCUAAACCAAAAGGUAAAACUGUUAUUGGAACCAAAUGGGUAUUCAGGAACAAGAUGAAUGAAGAAGGAAAAGUCGUAUGAAACAAAGCAAGACUCGUGGCCAAAGGAUAUACGCAAGAAGAAGGAAUAGACUAUGAUGAGACUUACGCUCCAGUAGCAAGGUUAGAAGCUAUUCGCCUACUACUUGCGUUUGCUUGUUAUAAAAAUUUCAGGUUAUUCCAAAUGGAUGUCAAAAGUGCAUUUCUAAAUGGAUUCAUCCAUGAGGAAGUCUAUGUGGAACAACCACCUGGGUUUGAAGACCCAAAGAAGCCAGACUCAGUCUUCAGACUGAAAAAGGCCUUGUAUGGUUUAAAGCAAGCACCUCGAGCUUGGUACGACAGACUAAGUAAGUUCUUAUUACAGAAUGGUUUUGUCAAAGGUAAAGUCGAUACUACUUUGUUUAUCAAAAAGGAAAGCAAAAGCUUUUUAAUUGUUCAAAUAUAUGUGGACGAUAUUAUUUUUGGAUCACCUCAUGAAAGUCUAUGCAAGAAAUUUUCUAAGUCUAUGCAGGAUGAGUUUGAAAUGAGUAUGAUGGGAGAGUUAACAUUCUUUCUUGGACUCCAAGUGAAACAAAUGAAGGAAGGAACUUUCAUCCAUCAAGAAAAAUAUGCGAAUGAUCUUGUCAAAAGGUUUGGAUUGGAAAAGUGUAAAAAGACCGACAUACCAAUGUCAUGUUCUCAGAAGAUGGACAAGGAUGAAGAAGGGAAGAAAGUAGAUCAAAAGCUGUACAGGAGCAUGAUCGGUUCACUUCUUUACCUUACUGCUUCUAGACCUGAUAUUUUGUUAAGUGUUUGCAUCUGUGCUAGGUUUCAAUCAGAUCCUAGAGAAUCCCAUCUCAGUGCUGUAAAACGUGUUAUCAAAUACGUUGCCUCAUCUUCAAGCAUCGGUCUCUGGUAUCCCAAGAAGGGAGACUUUACUCUUCUAGGAUACUCAGAUGCAGAUCUGGCCGGUUGCAGAGUUGAUAGAAAAAGCACUUCUGGAACUUGUCAAAUGCUUGGAAACAGGACAGUGUCUUGGUUUUCGAGGAAGCAAAGCACUGUUGCUCUCUCAACGACAGAAGCAGAGUAUGUAGCCCUUGGAAGCUGCUGUUCGCAAAUUCUAUGGAUAAAACAAUAGCUACAAGACUUUGGGAUUGAAGACUCAUGCACAGAAAUCAGAUGUGACAACACCAGUGCGAUCAAUCUCACCAAAAAUCCAAUCCUUCAUUCAAGAGCAAAGCAUAUUGAGAUUCGACAUCACUUCAUUGGAGAUCAUAUUCAAAAUGGAGAAAUCUCGAUUCAAUUUGUUGAUUCAAAGAGUCAACUAGCGGAUAUAUUCACAAAGCCCUUGGAGAAAAAUCAAUUUGACUUUAUCCGUUCAAGACUCAACAUUUUGAAGCCUGAAGAAGUUAAAGUCUAGAGACUCACCAACUCUAAGACUCUAAUCUUUCAGACUUUAAAUCCUCAGACUCAGACAUUCGUGGUUAUAGACUGUAAGUUGUGUUUCAUCUAAGAGGUACGAAUUUUCAUUAUUUUAACUCGAAAAGGUACGUUUUUUUCAGUUAUUCUAUAAUCUGCAUGAGAUUUGAAGACUUAUUUUUAAAGGAAUAAUUUUAGCAGUUAUUGAUUUUGAAAAGAAGUGAUCGUUCACUUUCCUUGCACCGAUUGAACUUCCCUUUUCAAAACUGGAUUAUAUAUACAGCUUUUCUUUUCCCAAUCUUCAAAACCCUAAAAGGCACUCUCCUCCCGAUAUUGUCUCUACUGCUUGUUCGUCGAGAAAGUGGUCAUUUUACCUGGGAAAGCAAGUGAAGGAAUCUUCCAAUCGACAAAGAAAGAUGUCUUCUUCGAGGAAAUCAUCAAGAAUCGCAAGCAGGGGACCACAAAGAAUGGAGAAGGGACCGACUCACUUCGAUCUCACUGAGGAAGAAGACUUAACAAGUCAGCGACAAAGUCCGAUUCGUUCUCAUCCACGUCACUCAACGCCUCCUGCCCCACAAGGUGCAAGUCAUAAUCUGGAAGAAGAGAUAAUCGAGGAUGCCGAUCCAAUAAGAGUCCAAAAGCCCUCCUUUAUCUAUAAACUUUAUCGUGCGUUGAAAAGCACAUGUACUCCAUUGAACUAUAUAGAUGACUUCCUUAAGGACAAAAAUUAUGGGAAUGAGUAUCUUUUUUUGAAGAAAAUGGAGGAAUUGGGAAUUGCCCCAAAAGGAAAAGCAGAGGACGCACUUGCGAACAUUCCAAGUGAUCCUCGUAUGCCAAGACAAAAUUUAAUUGAAGGGAACGAUGAUGACAGAAUGUUCCUUGAAUUUCAACCUAAAAUGGGAGUGGCAGCAAAGGUGAAAGGAAAUCGGAUGGAUUUGUUCAAAUCCAAAGAUCAAGAAAAAGUGUAUUUUAGGCUGUUGAAAAGAGGGGUGAUAAACCCUAGAAGUGUCGAUUUUGACUUCCUGGACGCCAUCAACAUAAACUUAAGAGAAAAGUUGAAUUUGUUUCAACUUGAGAAUUUUUGCUCUGACUCUACGGACGAGUAUGCUCAUCUGACCGCUUAUUUCUAUUCAAAUCUUAGCUUUCUAGAUGCGAAUAGAAUAUCAUUCAGUAUACGAGACCAAGUCUACGUGGUAGAUGUGAAUAUGUUGGCUGACAUUGUUGGAGUUGAACGAGGACGCUAUCUACCAAUCAAAGUCUCACCUGCUCGCACUACUCUGGAACUGGUCAAAGAUAGGGACGCAGAGAAGAAAGUUACCUAUUCCAGGAUGAAUGCCAUCAACAUUGUGCUUCACAAGAUUGUGAUCAACUGUCUUAGACCGAAGUCUACAUCAAAGACUUCCGUGUCUCUUUCUGAAGCAAAGUUGAUGUACGCGAUCAACACAGGAAGGAAGUUCUCUCUCCCGCACACUAUUCUCUUCCAUAUGUACAGAGCAAUGUCGAAAGACAAAGGACAAUUGCCUUAUCCUGGUCUGGUGACCAAGAUCUUCAGACACAUGAAUAUUGAACCACCUCAAAAUCUUUGUGUUCAACCAUGUGAUAAGAUGGUGGUAGGAUUGAAGAUGUUAACAAAAAUGCGUCUGCAAGAACUUUCCAAGGCAAUGGAAAAAUUCAGAGUGAAAUCUCCAGUUCAGUCUGCUUCAAAGAGAAAAGGAAAGGAGGCUAUUGGAGCCCCAUCGAAAAAGAAGAAAAGAUCUCUCAUUCUAGAGAAGAAGAAGAGCAGAAAGAGACGGAGAAAGAAGCUGAAGAAGAGAAAGAAAAGUCUGUUGAAUCUGGAGAGAAGGAAAAUCUAGAGCAUAAUCAUCACUCUUACCCUUUGAAUGUCCUAGAGACAGGGGGAGUUGGAGAGCAAGAAAGGUCUACACCUCAUGCUGCGAAUAGUGAAGGUCCAAGACAAUCUCCAGUAGACCCAGAAGAAUUUCAGGCUUCUCAAUUGCCUGAAGAAGGUGAUACGUCGACACCAAAUCUGCAAGACUAUACAGAAGCGCCAUCAUAUACUCUUACUCCAUCUGAAAAAGCUCAUGCCAGUACGCAAACAGAUAAUUCUACAGAUUUUCAUUGCAUCAUGGAUAUUCUUCUGGAAAUGCGUGGACAGAUAUAUGCUCUGGAUUGUGAAAUUCAAGCCUUGAAGAAUGCUGGACAAGCAUCUUCAGUCAGCCUGGAGGACAAGAUGAAAGACCUCGCUCUGCAAAUCCAAGCCAAUGCCAAAGGAGAGGAGGUAGCUCAUCUAAGGGAGGACUUGAAGAGGCUAGAAGGCGUAGUCCAGUCAAUGGGAGAUUUCCAGAUCGUGCGCAUUCCCAAGCAGACAUGACUCCUUUCUCACCCUCUUUUUAAUGAUGAUAAAAAGGGGGAGAACCAAUUUGAACAAACAUUAUUUUAAAAUUUUGACUUUUGUGGUUAUGUUUAUUUUUGAGUUUGACUUGAGAACUUGAACUUGGGUGUGAGACUGAAUUGGCUGUGGAUUUUGAUGCUUGACUGGUUGCAUUUAUAUCAAGUAUUGUUAUAUGGUAUUACUCAUGAAAGACUAACCAAUUUUGAUGUGGAUGCAGAGUCUGGUUGUUUAUUAAUCUUUAUGAGUUAGCCAUAUUGCUUGAGAAAUGUUUUUGCAGGUCAAAGUUGUUCAAAUCUACAAGAAAGUUUUGUCACCAUCAAAAAGGGGGAGAUUGUUGGAGAAAUCUUUCCAGAAUAUUUUGAAGCUGACAAAACAUUUCCAUCAGUCUAGUCUGGAUAUCGAUAGUUUAAAGUCUCAAGACUUUGUAGUCUCAAGACUGAAAACUCAAGACUCAAGACUCAAGACUCAAGACUCAAGACUAUUCUCACUGACAGUCUUUCAAAUCCAGUGGAGAAGAAUAUCCGAAGCCGAAGUAUAUGGUUGGGGAUUCGAUCUAAUCCUCUGGAAAAGAUACCUUGGUUGGAUAAUCAUUUCGGAUUCUUUGAUUUUUAUCUAAGAAUAAUUGAAGAUCCGAUGGCCGACGAAACAUUCUUGGAAUGUUCUAUUCUUGGAAACCAAAAUCCUGAUUGUAUGGGCGAACAGGAUUAAUGGGCUAUCAUCAGAUUCCUUAAAUAGCUCGGAUGAUCUUCUUGAUUGAUUCCGUCCAACGGGUAGAUUGGAGGAAUUCCUUUGGUAAGUGCCAACGGCUAUGAUGGCAUAAAGGAGUAUAAAAGGAAGACGUUCUAGUUGUUUUGUGGGUGUGAUUGAUAGAAAAAUUCCAGAGUCUGAAGAACCUUGAUUGUUAGUCGAUACAGUUCGAGCGAAAUUGUAUACACAGAGAGUGUUCAUACUUGGUGACACCUUGAGCGAGUGUAGUAGAUCAUCUACAUCUAGAAAUCAAGGAAGAUCAACACUGUAACAUCUCUUUGUUCAUAGUGGAAUCCGGCCAAUCGGCUGUCAGUGCAGAAGAGUGGACGUAGACUUGAAUCAAGCCGAAUCACUAUAAACCUUGUGUUUAAUUCUCUCUUUCCUUUACUCAGUCUUAUGAUUGAUUUUAUUAUUCCUUUAUCUGUCUAAGUAUUGUGCAAUAUUUAAGAAAAUUUUUAUAAACCUAUUCACCCCCCUCUAGGUACUCAUACUAGCAUUAUCAAGUUGCAUCAAUGCUUUCUGUUCCUGCGGCAUUUCCUAUUUCAGAUAUUAACUUCUUUUGCAAUCCAAUUAAGCCAUCCAAUCUUGACGACUUUUCUCGAACAUCUUCAAGAAAGUAGCAAUGCUUUCCAAAGUGGGUAGAAAGUUCAUUAAACACGACCUUGGCAAGAGUUGUUUUACCGAUACCCCCCAUGCCAUGAAUUUGAAUGAGCCGUCCACCUCCAGAGCCUUCGUCUAACAAAUUUUUUAUUGCUACCACUUGAUCAUCGAUUCCAAUUAAAUGUUCAGUCACAAACUUUUGCUUUAUCUUCAACUUCUUCACAACCUCUUCAACGAACAACUGAAUGAGUUCCCCUUGGCUGUCAUGAAGGAAAACCAUUUCAAUAGGGGAAAAUUACAGGGAGUAAAAAAAAAAAAAAAAAUCUAAAUUUCAUUCGUGAAACAAUUCCAUUAGACUUCAACAGAAUCUCCUUUUUAUUUUGUUCGUUUCCUAGCAGUUGAUGUUAUUCAAUUACAUCUGCUUAACUGCGCAAUAAUUCAAUAACUAAUAUGACAUCAACAAUCAAGACGUUUCUUCUCAAAUUUUGUACUAAAUGUAAGGUUUUCUUAGUUAUCACUUUUGAUAACUUAACAUUUGUAAUUUGAAGUGUUGUGCAAACCUUAUGUGUACUUGAUCUUGUAAAAUUCCAAAAUAACACCAAGCAUGCAUAAAACAAACAUUUUGACGAGAGUGAUGGAAUUGACCUUGAAGGAUUUCAGAUUUGAUUUUUCUAGCUAAUUCUAUGUAACCAUAAAAAAUAUGAAUCUACAUCACUUUCAAAGACACUUUUCAUUCACAUUGCUAGGUGCCACGAGUUGCAUUGUGUCAUGAUGAAAAUUGACGAUCCCAACAUGUGAUUAGCAAUCCUCAAAUUAUGUUAAUCUUCUUUGUGCAAGAUGAAUGUACAAUUAUUUAUGCAUCGCGAAUUAGCAUUUUAUCAGUUAUAUUCAUGGGACAACCUUAGAAGUGGUACAUAAUAUGUUCAGGAGGACAAAUGUUUGAUGCAUUAAUUGAAAGAUCAAAUUAUUAGACAGGAACGUGCAUGGUACUCAAUUAUUCCACUUUUAGCCUAUUAUAUAAAAUACUUCCUUUUCUAGCGUUUUCAAUUUUUUUUUUAUACACGCAUACCAUUUAGUAUUACUAGUGUAAGUUCCACCUCAAUCGUGGUGAUACAUCAAUGUUAUUAAGUUUCAAGUAGUAGUUCUAGAAGAAUUAGAAUUUUACUAAGAGUUGCUUACUAAAUGACAGAGGUGAACAAUGGAACAAAAUUUAUAUAGACCAUCAAUGAAAGGAAAAAAAUGAACUUUGUUUUCUAUUUUUAGUUCUUCAUUAAAAUUAGACAUAUGAUAGCGCUUCCAGUGAAAUCAAGAACACUAACAAUUUUAAUAGCUCUAGCAUGAUUUUUAUGCUCUUGGAUUCUCUUCUCCUACAUUUAGUAUGUUCCUUCUUUCUAUGAAUUAUUUACUUAGUUUUUGCAACCAGGAAAAAGAAAUUAGGGAAAAUAAGGAUCUUAGAAUGCAGCAAGCUCACCCUUUGUAUUUCUUGGCUUCCCAACCCUUUAUUGCACCAACCUCCUUCAAAGCAUCUCUCCAGGAAUCUACUUGCUCAGUGCUUAGCUUCUUCUCGCGCUCCAAAUUGAGAAUAGCAUCCCGAUACAAUGGGGUUUUCAGCUUGACAUCGUCAGGUUUCACGUCAAAGAAAAUAUGUAGGAUCUCUUUAUUCCCAUUCGACUUAGAGGUGUUAUCCACAAUCUGCCUGAGCUCACGGAGACACCAGUGGCUUGAAGCAUAGGUUCGAGAGAAGAUGGGAAUGUAGAUCCUAGAGUUGUCGAUCGCUCUUUGGAGUGCUCCAUCGAUUCUUUCACCAACACGGAGCUCUUCAUCAUCUCGAAAGACGUAGAUGCCAGCAUCGGCCAAGUUAUGGUAGAGGCAAUCAGUAAAUCCAUGACGAGUGUCAGUUCCUCUGAAGCUCAAGAACACUUGAUAGAUGCUUCCUGACGAUGCUUUUGCCUCUGAGCUCCCCAUUUUGAACUUUAGCUUUUGCAACUCUCUCCCUCUCUCCCCUGUGGGUGAACAAGAUAGGCCUUCACCCUUGGCUGAUUGAAGGUGUCAACCACAAACAUAUCGCGCAAAUAUAUCAUGAGUGAGGUUACCAAUGAUCAGAGAAAAGCAUAAAAAAAACCUAUCGCAGACUAUUAUAUAAUUUUCUUUUUUUUUUUUGGUAAAGCAGACUAUUAUAUAAAUUCAGCUACAGAAUAACAAAAAAGAAGCACGUAAUUCCCGCAUUAUAUUCAAACUCCCAAUAAUCCAUAUGAUUUGUAAGUCAAAUUUUUGGAAAGGUUGAGAUUAGCCCGCAAUCUUCUCAUAAAUCCACUUGUCUAUUCUUGUUAAGAAGCUGAUCAGGGAGACUCUGAUCCAAUUAUACAGGAAGGAACGCAAUAAAAAUACAAAUUGGUAUAUCAGUCCCGACGACCAGAUCCGUCCUCGAUCGUGGACACCGCACUCAUUCUGAGCAAGGUUUUCAUGAAACCGAACUCUUCAAGGAAAAUCCAGAACAAGUCAGAAGAGAAUCGUACCGUGUUCGUGGUCACUACUGCCGGGAAAGGGCUUCGUGAAGAUGAAUAUCGAUGGCUUCUGGUACCGGCUAGCUGAUUCGUCGGAGGGGUUCGUUGCCGGAGUCGCUCGGGACGACCGGGGGACGUUGAUUGCUGGGUUUGAGAAGAAGAUCGUGGCCUCCUCUCCCCUGCACGCGGAAAAACCAGCCUUCAAGCGAUCAGAGAAAGAACCUCGAAGACUUUUAAGUCUUCCAAGCGAUCAGAGAGUGCCUUCAAGCUGUAUGUACGGUGCAUGGGCCCUCCGGUGUUUCAUUUUAGACAAUUGAAUUUUCUUAAAUUGUUUCUUGUCGAAAACAAAAAGUAUUUGCGGCAAAAUAAUAGUUGCUAAGGAAAAAAGAAUGUCUAGGACACGGAAUUGAUCUUAAAGAACUAUUCCUACAGCACCUAACCAAAUCCACCUACGUUAGAAGAGAUAAUUAUCAAAUGAGUAAUAGAUUUUAUUAUACAAAUAUUAAUUCAGUACCAUUUUUUUUUAAUUUUGAUAAUAUAACUUUAAACUUUUGUACGAAAAAUUCUAAACUAUACCUACUGCGAUAUAUUUAUUUUAAAAAAAUUUUGACAUCAAAAACUCCCAAUUUAUAUUUAUUUCACACAUUAUAUUUAUCCCAAACUUCUUCUUGUGACACUAAAAUUUCAAACUUCUAUAUAUGUAACAGGUUUACCCCAAAAAUAUGGUUUCGCAAAAAAACUUUAGGAUUUUCUAUGUCAGAAAAAAAGAUUUGAGGUGAGUGUGUCACCCUAUGACACAUGUUUUAGAAAUUAUCUGUAAAAUUUCUAUGCAUAGAGUAGCUUGCUUGAUGUGUCAACUGUUAUUGAGCACAGUACUUGGAUGCGACCCUGAGAAGGAGAAUAAUGCACUCGAAAAGGGUAAAAAGAAACACCAUGGAAACCCUCGCAUGUGCGUACUUUAUGGAAGGGAAGCAAAGCAAUAGUCAACAAAAAGUUGAAGGGAGGCAUGAAGUUUCUAAAAAAUGCCAAACAACUUUAUAGAAACUAGGUCGGAAGGUGCCCUUGCUUUUCCUAAAAUAAAUAAAUAAAAAUAAAAACCAACCUGCCUUUUGAGGCAAGCACAUAAAAUUCUAUAUGUAGGCUUGUUCCAUUUUUCAAUUCUAACCAUUAGAAAGGGCAUCCGGAAAACACAAACAUAAUUCAAGGAGGUGGCUUAUAUUUUGAAUAUAUCUCCGUGCGUGCAUAUAAUUUAGGCAAUGUGAUUAUAUCACGAAUCAUGAAAUUGAUUGGAUACUCUUAAUUACUCAAUACUCGAUAUCAAUAGGAAACAACAUAUAACCUAUUUUCUAUAUAUCUCCAAGUGUGCAAAGAAUUUUGAUUCAAGUUUAGCUCCCUACAUUUUCUAGCACAAGUUGAUCUCUUUGAAAGGGAUUAAAAUGAUGACUAUAUAGGUGCAAACACUUUAGAAUCUUCAAAAGAGCGGAAGAAAGAAUAUAGUCAAGGGCUAUAUCUUAAGAAGGAACAAGCUCAACUCGUGAUUAUUCCCGUUAGUUGAUCUACAUCUCUGAUAGGAGGUAAAAUCUCUCAUUUUCCAUAAGCUUAUUCAAUCGACACAAAAGGAGAAAAAUAAAUGAAGUGCAAGCUCUGUUGAUGUCAUGACGAUUGUAAGUGGGGGCAAUUCCGCUGUUUUCAAAUUCUCAAGCAACCCUUAUCGCCGGUUCCACACCCUACGAAUUUCUUCUUUUCUUCAGUUUUUGUCUCCUUUUAUUUAGGUUUUCUCUGGUUUUUUAAAUAAUUUCUUUGGUCUUUCUUCGCCUCAUUAGCACCAAUGUAGAAAGAGAUUGCAAAGCGCCACAUCCAACUUUGGAAUCUACGUUAGCAAAUUUGGUUAUGAAUCCAUCAUAAGGAUUAAAUUGUACCCAACAAAAAACGUUUAGGACUUGAUUGCACAAAUUCAAAAUUUGGGACUUGACUAAAUAUUCGGCCAAACAUUAUGGACUUUUUGGUGUAAUUUUCAUUUAUAAGAACCUAAAAUGAGAAUCAGCAUAGUGGAUAGCAAAUAUUCUUAUAAGAUAAUAACAAAUAAGGGUUACUCAAAUAAAAAUUCAUAGUUUGAUUCCCAUCCUACAUUGAUCUAUCCCACCGACAAGAACUCUGCUAUUGACGGGUUUUCCAAUGCAUCUCUUACCUUGAUUUGGCCUAUCCUUCCACAACUGUAGAAUAAACUUGUAGAUUAGCAGCAAAAAUAGCAUUUGGUUGUGAGGACAGAUUUUCACGCCGACAAGCGCAAGGAGAGGGAAAACGCGUGGAAUGGGGUCGCUGUGUUCCAGUCAUGACCGUGUAAUGAACACAUGAAGUUUCAUCUCUAUAUCCUUGUGAAACCCCCUAUGUAAACGCAAGAAAAAUUGAAAACGCGUGGCAUGACUAUUAUAUGUUGGCAAAAGCAAAAGGGGAGAGAAUCGUGCAUGGUUGUUAUCUCUUUUAUGUUUUUCCACAUUUUUAUGUUUGUCUUUUUGACAAUUCGACUCAAUCAUGAAUAAGUCGAUAAAGGAUACAUAAAAGAUAAAGAGAGGAAAGAGACGAAGAGGAUAGGAGACUUUUGCAAUGGGGUCGAAACUUUUUAAGGCUUCUUUGUUGAUGGGAUGUUAAGUUGAAAAUGAGAGAAACUGAGUUGGCAGGUACCUAUGCCUGUUUUGUGACAUCCUAAAAUUCGACCCCCUUUCGAUAAAAUGAAAUGUGCAUUUCGUCGACGUGCUUAUGGUCCUUUUUCUCUGAGCUGAUCACUCACGAGUUAGCUAACCUAUUGGGUGAAGCCAUUAAGGGAUAUAACCACGGUAAAAUCCCUAAAAGCUACCUAAUUGGUUGGAUUAGACUAAAAUCGCGUCCGGUUGAUUUUAACCAUGAAAUUUAAUUCGGUCUUGGGAAAUCGAAUAUUCGAGCGUGUCACAAUUCAUUUUUAGGACCGUCUCAUCGCCUGUCAAUUUAUUGACAAGUUCGAAAUUUCAAGAAAGAAAUUAUCGGAGGAAAAAUCGAAGACCGGAAGAAAAUAAAAAGGGAAAUGGAAAGAGAAAAGAAAAUUUAGAAUAGUAUUAUUCUUUUUUCUUUUAUUUUUCUCUCUCUUCUCUCUCCUCUCCCCUCUCUCUUCGUGCGGACACACCCCCCACCGAACACUCCCCUUGCCAAUUUUAAAUUGGCUUCUCCUCCGUCUUCUUUUCCUUUUUGACCGGUCAAACCCUCUCCCUUAUCUCUCCUCUCUCUUCUCCCUCAUCCCACGUGACCGACUUCUUCUUCUUCCUUCUUCUUUGUGCGAACCAGCCCAAAAUCAACAAAGAAGAGCAGCACCUCGCCAAAGCCAUCGCCGCCGCACCGGAGCUCAACCGCUGCCCGCGCAUGCCAUGUGCUCCGCCGCCUCCCACCCGCGCUCGCCAUCCUCACCGUGCGCCGUCCAGCCCCUGUUCAGCCUCUGCUCAGCCCUUGUUUCGCCCCGUCCGACCACCUCUGGCCGCCGUUCGACCCCGCCAGACCUCCACCGGCCGUCCCCCGUGCCUUGCCGUGCUUGUGGAAGUGGUUUGUGGUUGUUUUGUGUCUGUUUUCAGCCAUUGCAGCCACCCACGAAGUGGAUUUCCAGCCCCUUUCAGGCUCGUUUUGGGCCGUUUCCGGGCCCUGAACUCGCUUUGGAGUUUGUUGUUCCUCGCGCGCCGCCCCAGUCGAAUUGAUCCGAUUUGCGCGCGAUUUGGUGAGUAAUCUCACUAAUCCUGGAUUAGUUGGCUAAUUAUGCUUAAGGUUGAUUUAGUCUUAAUUAAUUAUGUUUAGGUUGUUAGAUUAGAAUAAAUUAGCAAUUAUUAGUUAAUUGUGAUGCGAUUUAGAUAAAUGGAUUGCGCAAUUAGCAAGUAGACGUGGUCUACUAAUUAUUGGAGUGCCUCGGGAUUUUUUUCCGACCCUUAGUGGGCUCCAAUUAGGCUUUUCGGGCCUAAGUGGAAUUUUUAGUAUUUAAAUAUUAAUUUUCGGAAUUUAAUUAAAUAAUUAUUUAUUUUCCGAAAAUUCAAAUGAGAUGGUCCGAAAUCGGAAAAUUAUGCUGAUGACCGUGGUGAAGUCCGUUUAUUUAAUCGGGCUUUAUUUUGAGCUAAAAUGAAUUUUUAAUAUUAAUUAUUUAAUUUUCGAAAUUAAUUAAUUAAUUAUUUAUUUAUUUUUUAGGAAAUUAAGAUUUUGAUGGCCGACGACCGAAAUCUCAUGCUGAUCAUCGUGGUGUAGUCCGUUUAUUUAUUUGAGCUCCACAUUGUAUGGAAUUGAAUAAAUUGUGAUAUUUUAGGGAUUUACCCUAAAUUGAUUAGAAUUGAUUGAGACUGAAUCGUUGAUUGGUAAAUGGCCAAGUAUAUUAUUCAUCAUAUAUAAUGCUUUGUUGAGUUGAUUUAAUUAUUUGAUUGAGAAAUCGUUGGGCAUUGGUUGUCGGUAUUGAAAGUAGACUGGUAAUCGCUUAAAAGAGGACAUGUGGGCUCGGUGAAUUGGAAUAUCACCUGGAGAAUGCACGUGAAUUCAGUGGUUGAAUAUGUCACUUUGGCGAAAAGGUCGCCUGAGAGAAUGCACGUGGCUCGGAGACUUGGUAUGUCAUCUUGGAGAAUGCACGUGGCUCGGUGACAGAGUUUGGCAUCUAAAAGGGCACGUGGGCUCAGUGAAUUGAUGCAUCACUUUGGUGAGAUAGCACCUAAGAGAAUGCACGUGGGUCCAGGCAUCUAAAAGGGCACGUGGGCUCGGUGAAUUGAUGCAUCACUUUGGUGAGAUAGCACCUAAGAGAAUGCACGUGGGCCCACACAUCUAAAAGGGCAUGUGGGCUCGGUGAAUUGAUGCAUCACUUUGGUGAGAUAGCACUAAGAUAAUGCACGUGGGCCCGGCCAUCGUAAAAAGGACACGUGGCUCGACGAUCUGAUGCGUCACCUUGGCAAUUGAGUGCCUUAGAGAAUGCACGUGGGUCUAGUAUUUGAGAAUAACAUUAAAAAGGGCACGUGGCUCAAUGACUUGAUGUAUCACUUUGGCGAAGAAGUCGCCUUAGAGAAUGCACGUGAGCCCAAGGUUCGAGGCACGUGGACUCGGAGACUUGGAAUGUCGUCCUGGAGAAUGCACGUGGCCUAGCUUUUAGAUACUCCUCCAUGGAGAAUGAUUUGUGUGACAUGUAAUCGACUGGUUCGAUUUGUUUUGAGUAAAUGGGUGCCUAUGUUGAAUUGUAUUGACUUGCAGGUGAGAUCUGAGGCUAAGGUAAGUCUUCUGCCCUGUGUGUGUUUAGGCAGCCUAUAGUAUAAUGGUUUACUAAUCGGGCUUAGUGAGGUAGAACUCGCUGAGACAUAGUCUCAUCCCGAUUUGGGGAAAUCAUUUCAGGACCCCGAUGAGGAGCUGAGGAGGAGAAGUCUAUGAAGGAGAACUCGGAAGUGAGAUAUGAGGAGAAGGAUUUUUGGAAGAAGAAGAUAGUCCCGAGAGGGGCCUUGAGUAUGGCCUGGAGGGAUUGAGAUCCUAUCUUCUUUUGAGAUCUCCAUUUUGAUGUGAAUAGUUAUGAAGUGAUUUGUGUUUUGUAUAAAAGUUUGGUUAUAAAUUUUAGUAUGAAAAAUAUGGCCCUGCUUUUCCAUCCCAUCAUUUUAUUGUCUGGGGAUUUUAACUGCUUCCGCAUGUGCUUAAUAAAUGAAAGGGUCGGCGAUACAUAGUCCUGGGAUAUCGCAUUAUAAAAUCGACCAAGUUGAAGGAUGUGUGCGUGCCCGAGGAUCGGGACGUGACAUGUUCUAAAUGAAAAAUAAUAAAAGUAACUUUUGGGUCAAGCACAUAAAAUUCUCUGGUGGGUUGUCACGCAUCUUGAAAACACAAACAUAAUCAUUGAGAGGUGCCACAAAAGUAAUCUAAGGUAUUUGGACUGUAUCACGACUCAUUGAAUUGGUUAGAUGCAUAGAGAAUUAAAUAUUUAAAAAAAUACAAAAAACAAAAAACAAAACUUCUUUUUGUAUAUCUCCGUGUGUGUAUAAUAUGCUUUAUGUUGAGCUCUCUCCAUUUUCCAGUAUAAGCUAAGCAAAUGAAUCACAAAAUAUUAAUAAAAUAUAUAACUUAUAGUUUAAUAUAGCUAAGCCUCACGAUAAAGGAAAUAAAAAUGCCUAAGUUAGACAAAAUCAUCAUCCGUUAAAAAAUAGGACUCGCGCGUAAACCAAAUUUGGUUGGAAAAUUUCAAUGCUAUAUAAUCAGUUUUUUUUGGCUCCGAUACCAAAUAAUUAGAGACAAUAAGGAGAAGUGAAGCGGAAGCGGAAAGGGGAUGCCGAGAUCAACAAUUGACAACAAAGAAGAGAAAGAAAUGAUUCGUGAAAUUGAUUGAUACUCUCAAAAAAAUCAGAUACUCAAUACCAAACAACAGAAGACUUAUUUUUCUUUUUUUUUUCUUUUAUAUAUCUCCAUGUCUGCAUAUAAUUUAGUUCAACUAUAGCUCUAUCCAUUUACUGGUAUAAGUUUAUCUAUUUGAAAGGGGAUAAAAUGCCAACUAUAUACGUAUAAAUAUCCCUGAUUGGAGGUAAAAUAUUUCAUUUUUCAUAAGCCCAUUGAAUCGACAUAACAUUCUAAAAAAUCAAACUAUAUGAUUUGAUAUUUGACAGGUUUGUGCCAACUAAAAUGAAUCGGAGGAUGAGGACAAAGAAAAAGAAGUGCUGGCUCUGCUCAUGGACAUUAUAGUAGGGGCAGUUCUACCGUCUCCAAAACCCUCUGACAGCCCUCGCCGACGGUUCCACUCUCUAUGACUUUUAGUUUUAUCUAGUCUUUGUUUUUUUUUUCUUAAAGUUUUUCUCCAAUUUUUUUAAUUUUUUUAAUAUUUGAUUUUUCCUAACAUGGGGCCACAUUAGCACCACAUUAGAGGCAUGUCUGUUAAAAGAAAUUACAAAAUGCCAAGUCAGAUUUUGGCAUCCAUGUUAGCAAAUUUGACCAUGAGUUUACCAACAGGAUUAUAUUGCACUCAAUGAAAACCAUUUAGGAUUUAAUUGCAUAAAUUCAAAAUUUGGGACUUGAUUGCAUAUUCGAUCAAAUGUUCUGAAUUUCGGUGUCUGACUUACAAAAGCCUAAAACAAGAAUCUAGUAAGACAAGAAAAUUCCAAAUAUAAGUACUGGUUGCUAAGAUAAAAAUUCUAGUUUGAUUGGAUCUUAUAUUGGUCUCGCCCACUAAGAGAACUCUGCUAUUGACGAGUUUCCCAAUGCAUUUCUUUCUUGAUUUGCCCCAUCCUUUCCCAGGUCUAGAAUAAUAAACUUGUAGAUUAGUAGCUAAAAUAGCACAUUGGUUGCCAGGCCAAAUUUUCACACCGACAAGCGGCUGGUGCAAAAUAUGAAUGUUACAAUAUGUGCUCUUGGUUGCAGUGUUCCGCCCGUUAAGCGAGAUCGACACUUUUUCUCAUUGAUUUUUGACUCACUAAAUCUUGCAAAACUUCCAAACCAAGGAAAAAAAAAAAAAAAACUCCAGCAAAACUUGAACAUGGCGCGCCCAUUUCUUUAACUUGUUAUUAUCAUAAGUCUCACUAAAACCAUAUUACGGAUGAAAAAACCUUCACCACAAUGUGAUCAAUGCUUUUGGCUCUAAUAUUAAAUAAUGCAAGACAAAUAUUGUUCUAAUACCAAUGGAUGAAGCACAUAACUAGAAGGAGAAGAAGAAUGAGAAGACGUCAAGAUUGGUAAUAGAUAGAAGACAAUAAAAAUAUAGGAGAGAACAUAAAAAUCAAUUUAGUUUAAUAUUCGAUUAGUCUUGUUUAAUUGCGAUCAUGAAGCUAGCUUUUGGAGGAUAUUGGGUAUCAUAGAUGUCUCUCGUCCAUGAUUGUCCAUGUUUAAACCUGUUAUGUUGAUAGAUAAGUUUCCCAUAAGCUCAAAUUAGUACAAGGCGAUUUAAAAUUGUGCAAGGUUAGCAAGCCGCCAUCAAGAUGGACAAUAACACUAGCAUCAGCUGAAUGGGACUGCCAAUUAGUCCAAAUCAAAGUUUUAUCCCCCUCAAAAAAGGAUCAAAUUGGAUCCAUCCGAGAGCCAACAUAGUUUUUACACACAUGAUUAAAAUGUAAGAGCUGAAGUUAAGGUGGAAUCCCAACAGAGAAGUGAAUUCUUCCAAAAAGACUUGAAAUGCAAGGGACAAAAUAAUGCCAAUCUCUUUCGCUGUAAAAGUAAUAAUAGGUCCCUUUAGUCAAGCCAUGUCCAAGUAAUGAACACUGGAAGCUUUCGCUCAACUCCUCGCGAAAGCCCCAUGUAAACGUAGGGAAAGUGAAAUGGGUGGCUCGACUCCAUUUUAUGUUGGAAGAAGCAAAAGGAGAGGCAGGUUUCUGACUUUAUCUUUCAUGUUUUUCCACGACCUUUCUUUUUGAAAAAGCAACUCAAUUGUGAGCAAGUGGAUGAAGUACACAUUAAAUAAGAAAGGAAAGAGACAUGACGAGGGCAGGAGACUCUUGCAAUGGGGUUGAAACUUUUUGAGGCUUCUUAGUUGUUCGGAAGUUAAGCAGUAAAUGAGAGGAAAUUGUGGGGCAGGUAAACACAACGAUUUUGCAUUCUCUUUUGCAACCGACUAUGACCUAAGUCCACUCUAUUUAAUUAUAUAUAUUUGCAAGACAAACUUUAAAGUAUUUAAUUGAUGGAAGCUAGAUUUUCACUUGAUCUAGUAGCAUCUAUUUAUAUAUAUAUCCUGAAAGAAGAUUCAAAAUAUAACAAGACAAGAGUCAUAUUUCCCUUCGUGAUUGAAGGAAAUUCUCUCGCCUCUUAUUAUUGGGUUAUAAGUCAUCGAUAUCCCUCAUAUGAAAACUUAACCAAAUAAGAAUGCAGGUGAUGUCUAUAUUUUUAACUCACCAAUCAUAGGUAUGGUUUCCUCCAACUAUAGAGAUAUGACAUCGUUUUAAUAAUAGUGUACAACAAUUUACUGUUGUAAUUAUGUAUUUAUCUCCACAUCAUGAAAAUGCAUCAGUCAUACCUACAAUAAUAGAUAGUAUGUGACCCAUCUAUUUCAUAAGAGUCGUUUUAUGUGAAUGUUUCGCAUCUCUAGCAAUGUUUUUGAAUUUUCUAGUUGAUUCCACUUGUCCUAUAGCCCCAAAAGGACACUUGAGUCAAUUAUCUAAUAUCACUCUUUAAAAAUUAUUCAACAUGAUUGUAUUAUGAAUUUCCUUGCAACUAUUUUAAUGAUGACAGAUAAUCAAAAGGCUAACGGUAUGUACAUUUGGAGGGGUAUGUUGAUGAAACGUCAAAUGUAUUGAUAAACCUCGAAAUUGAAGAAGGUAAACAAACUACAUGACAUUGUAUCACGGUCAAAGAGUUUUGAAUGUAGAUGUUCAAUUUGGAAGGACCUUGGUACAAGUAGUGAACAGACAAAGAGACAAAAUAUUGUCAAGAUAUCUUAGCAAAACUAUAGGCAUAAAGUGGACAAUCUACAAGAAAUGAUGGAUUUUUGUGGUACCCCUUGAUGGCCCCCGAUCCGUUAGGGUCGCCACAGUUCGCUUAUCUUUCACUUUCCUUAUUAACAUGUCACUCUGAUACCAUUUCAAUUGCACGGGUCCAUACAACAUAAGGGGUUUACACCUUUUUUUUUUUUUAUAGGUCCCUUGCGCAAUUCAUAUACGGAAGCACAUCCAACAAACUCCCUUCUCUAUAUUCAGAAAACGAUGCACACCUACUAAACAUCUUAUAUAAGUUAAAGCUGAACACGUUUAUUUACAUAAAGCAGAUGGACAUCUUUAAUUAGUACAUCGAAAUGCCAAUGUUUCUAUACUCGGCUAUACUUCAAAAGAUGACCGACAUAUCUUCUAAUAGUCAAAUACUUAAAGUCCAUCGAUUAGUGUCGGCGUCCAAAAGUUCCUCCCUUUGAUAUCUUCCUCUUCGCAAUCAUAUCCAACCACUUGAUUCAUCUACUGGUAGCAGUGGUAGCAGAGGGAUCUUAUCUAGUCUGAAAUGUUAUUCCCCAAAAGGGGUGAGUAUAACCACUCAGCAGGUAAAGGACCAAUAAACCACUCAAUACAUCAUGCCAUACAAUCAUCACAAUCAUAGCAUCACAUGUCAUACAAGCAUUCAUGCACAACAUACUAUGGCAUCAUGCACAUGUCAUCAUACCUCAUGUACCAUCAUCAUCAUAUAGACAUCAUCAUCAUCAUAUCAUACACUUACCAUCAACAUGUCACAUAUUGCAUCAUCCUUACCCAUGCAUCCAUGUGUAUAACAUCAUCAUCAUAUCACCAUAUCACAUGUACCAUCAUCAUUACCAUGCAUACAUGCAUGUAACAUCAUCAUCAUAUCAUCAUAUCACAUGUACCAUCAUCAUUACCAUGCAUCCAUGCACGUAACAUCAUCAUAUCACAUGUACCAUCAUCAUUACCAUGCAACCAUGCACAUCUCAUCAUAUCAUGCAUAUAUCAUCAUGCAUAAUUCAAUUUCAAUUUCAUUUUGGACCGUCACAUUUCUCUUUCCCGGGACCAAUGUUUGCAUCCCACAUUCAUCACUCGCGCCCAAUCCUGGCAUUGCGAGAAACCUCCGGGCAUGUAUCCAACAUACAACCGGGCAUCCGGCACCCCCACAUUCCGGGCAUCUCGUAUCCCAACUGGCAUCACGAGGAACCUCUGGGCAUGUAUCCAAGAUACAACCGGGCAUCCAGCAUUUACACUCCCUGGCCGGGCAUCUCGCAUUCCAACUAGCAUCGCGAGGCAUCCCCCCGGGCAAAAACCUCCGGGGCUUCCGGAAUUAUGUACCGACAUACCACCAGGCCUCCCCUGGAAUUACGUACCGUAUACCACCAGGCAUCCCGACACUCCCGGGGAAUCAUUGGCUCACACCUCCGAUGGCCUUCUCACUUAUCUCAAUUCACAUCUUCAAUUAUAGUUCAAUUAUAACAUGGCAUGUGAUGUGAUGGCAAUCAAGAUCAUAUUCAUCAUUGAAUUCAUACAUGCAUCUCAAAUCAUUAUCAUGCAUGCAGCUAGGCACCAUCAUCCAUCACAAUACAAUUCAUGGAGUCCAUGCAAUAUAAAAUGGUCCAUAUUUCAUGCCUUUUCAAAGUUUACAAAAUUCCAGCAUGUACCAUUUUUAGAAAAUAUUUAAAUUAAAUAUCCAUAUGCUUCUCAAAAAUCAUGAAAUCAAGGCACGUGAUAGACAAGACAAUAAAAUAACAAUUUCAUGAAAAAUACAUGCCAAAUAGAGUUCCACACAAAAGAUAUAAUUCACACAAAUACAGCAUGCAAAUUCGGAUAGAAACAGAAUGCACAGUUUCCGGAAUAAUUCGAUUAAAAUAUCCGAACGACCUCCAAAAAUUAUGAAAUUUUACCAGGUUAUAGUUAAGACACAAAAGUAUAUUUUUCAUGAAGACUUAUAGGCAAUAUUCGUUCUAUACAAUUUCCUAUAGUCAUCCGAAGCUUCUGGUUCUCACACCGAAACGUCCAGUGUAGUCAUCUCCGAAAUACCGAGUUUUUACCCACUUCUUCUUCUUAAUUUCCUCUGAAAUUUGGAUAUGUUUUACUUAAAGAGGUCCCCUACAACUUUCAUUAAGGGAUCUAAGUCAAAUUGUUAAAGAACAGUCACCAUAUGGGUCCAUGAAGUCUCGGGUGUCCAGUACCGCGUCUCCAGAUUUACCGUCUUCAAGAAUAAAUCGAUUCACUAGGCUACACUUGUUCAUUUUACUUCAAAUUUGAGUAUGUUAGUCUUUAAGAUGUUUUCUAAAAGUUUAAUGAAGAAGUCGAUGAGAUAUUCUUGAUAAAAAUCGACAUGCAACCACAGAUCUACCAAAAGGUCAGCAAAAACGUUCCAGAUCUAGUGUCUUCGUAGGAUGAGGGUUUGACCCCCUAAAUCUCCACCAUUUUGCACCAAAUUUUAGUAUGUUGUAGUUUAAGAUGUUGGAUGCAACUUUCAUGAAGAAAUCAAAGUCAAAAUCAAACUCAAAACAUGCAUGCAAGCUCUCACAAGAUUCUGGCUCAGGUGGUUCAUACGAAAACAGCAUGCAAACUCAAGAACAAGUCACAUUCUAGCUUCGGUUUUGCCUACUCUAACAUCCGAAAUCUACCACCAACAAAUCACACAUGCAAGGCACACAUGCAAGAGCAGAAAUCAGUCCCAACUUGCCUCCAAAACCAAGCAAACGAGGCACACCGGCGACGGACUUACGGCAUGCGGGCGGCGAGGGGUGGACUCCUUCUCUCGGCUUCCCCUUCUCUCUCGCCACUCCCUCUCUCUCGCAUCCUCCUCUCUCUCCCUUUGGCCAAAUUCUCCACCAGCCACUCUCUCUCUCUCUCUCUCUCUCUCUCUCUCUUUUUGGUUGUAUAUAUAUAUGCAUGCAUUCUUAGUUUGCAUGAGGGACACUUGUCCCCAAGGAGGAGAUAAGUGUCUCCUUUGUUGAAGACACUUGGAGGCCAUGCGGCUCCUCCUCCACCCCUCCAUGCGUCGACAAUGGGCCGAGCUUAUGGCCCACUUUAGGCCCAUCUCACUUGGGCCUAAAGUCCAAACUUAAAUGGCCCAAGUUUUUAUUUUUAAUAGUACAUUUUAAUCCUCAUUUAAAUAAAUACCUAAUUGCAUAAUAAAAUGGCCAAAAGACUUUGUGACAUUUAUCCAUCAAAUCAAAUCUAUAAAGUGCAUAGUCAAGAACAAAGUCUUCUUUACCAAUUUGUCCUAUAGCACCAACCUUGAUCAUCCAUUAACAUUUUCUACUUAAAUAAAUACCUAACUUGCAAAAAUAAUAAGGCCAUUAAACUUGUAGUCACAAAUCCAUAAAUUCCAAUUUAUAAAACACAUGGCCAAUGAUAGGAUUUUCUUUCCUAUCAAAUAAUUAUCCAUUCAAAGUUUGGCCAUAAAUCUUAUUGCAAAUUAUGGAUUAAAUGGCUAUAAAAUAAUUUAAUGGCACUUCCAUCACCUAUUCAUAGACUUUAAUGUAACUAGAGGUCGUCAUGAAUUUUGGGAUGGCAUGAUUUUUAUAACUAGAUUUUGAGCAUCCACAUGCUUGAUGAAGAAACUGAAAGGAAAAUGGGUAGGUUAGAGAAAAUGAAUUAGAUCUUAAUUUCAAGAAGUGUCCCAGGAGAAAAUGUAAAUUGCAUUGAAAUUGAUAUGUAUUGAAAGGAAAUACACGGAAUUGGAAAUUGACAUCACUGAAAGGAAAUUACACAGAGGUAGAAGUGCAUUAAAGUGAAAAUACAAGGAAAUUGAAAGCACAAACUCAGCGCGAGUCUUCAUGUUGUUUGUGAGUGUCCAAGAUUGGUCGAGUCCAUCUUAUUUUUCUCUAGCUCCCGCACUUCACAUUUUUGGUAACUUAUUAUGUCCUCAUGUUUGGUAAAUUCAUUCAACCCAGCUUGGUCAAAUUCAUACAUGACACGAUUAAAAUGGACACUUGUUAACAGUUGCAUAUAACACCGGAUUGCAACUUAGUCUAAGUGCAAAUAAAGAAAAGAUGAAUUAUGUAUAAACCCAAGUGAUGAUCUAAGUUCAGAUAAAGUAACUAGACCAAAGAUAUGAAACUCUUAUCCAUCAACUAGGAUUUUUCUUGGUGAGUUACAAGUUAAGCCGUCAUUCACAUGCAAAUUUAACAAAAAAUAAAAGUUGAUGAUGUUUAUGUUGGUAACCUCCUAAUCAAAAGACUAACUAGAAAAAAUUUCCUUUUUAAAGAGAAGAUAAAUCAAGUGAAAAAUCUUGAAAAUUAUCACGUUUUGUUAUAGUAAUUAUAUCAUACACAAACGACUGUAUAUACACUUCUUGGUAAGAAAACCCUCAAAAUCCCCUGUAAUUCUAAAAUCACUCCUGGGUCCAAAUAUGAGCCCGGAAGCUCUUUGCUUAUUGAUGACCAAAAUGUAAACCGGGCCAGUAAUCCUUAUCCAGAUGCUCCGGACUUUGUUAGGUUUCAACCGUUAUUUGGACUGCACCAAAUGUACAUGAUUUCUUCCUUUUUCAGCCCAUGGAGAUCACGUUGAUCUUCAAUUUAGCAUGUUCAAAAUUUGAGACACCAUCCAUUGGUGGAGCGUAUGUCAAACAAAUAGAAGGCGCGAUAGAGUUAGCAUCCUACCCAGCAUGGCCUUGUGUUGGGACCUUAUUCAGUAGGGUUACGCAUGUAUUAAAAUAAAAAUGAGUAUUGUUUUCAUACUAAGUGUGGAUAAUAUUUAUAUCUUAUUGAUUUCGAGAUUUUUUUUUUCUUUUGGUACUGUGAAAAGAUGUAAAACAUUCGGGGGUUGAUUAAUCUAUAAUUGUAAAUCAUGAAGGAGCAAACAUCAAGUGGGGUUGGCAAGGGCAAUCAGCUCCUUUGAGCGUUCAGUAUUUACUGCAAUUUGAAGGACCUAAGUGCAAGUAGUGAAUAGAUCAUGGGGCAAGGUAUUGUCAAGAUAUUGGAUGGUCUUGUAGCCAGAAAGUGAACAAUCUACAAGACAUAUUGGAUGGCUCUAAUUUGCAAAAGAGCAUCUAUAGGCUUGGUGAGAAGACUCAGCUUUAAAAUCCAUGGAAAGUAGGAUUAAGGCUUUGAAAUCCAUCGAAAGCACGCAAUNNNNNNNNNNNNNNNNNNNNNNNNNNNNNNNNNNNNNNNNNNNNNNNNNNNNNNNNNNNNNNNNNNNNNNNNNNNNNNNNNNNNNNNNNNNNNNNNNNNNNNNNNNNNNNNNNNNNNNNNNNNNNNNNNNNNNNNNNNNNNNNNNNNNNNNNNNNNNNNNNNNNNNNNNNNNNNNNNNNNNNNNNNNNNNNNNNNNNNNNNNNNNNNNNNNNNNNNNNNNNNNNNNNNNNNNNNNNNNNNNNNNNNNNNNNNNNNNNNNNNNNNNNNNNNNNNNNNNNNNNNNNNNNNNNNNNNNNNNNNNNNNNNNNNNNNNNNNNNNNNNNNNNNNNNNNNNNNNNNNNNNNNNNNNNNNNNNNNNNNNNNNNNNNNNNNNNNNNNNNNNNNNNNNNNNNNNNNNNNNNNNNNNNNNNNNNNNNNNNNNNNNNNNNNNNNNNNNNNNNNNNNNNNNNNNNNNNNNNNNNNNNNNNNNNNNNNNNNNNNNNNNNNNNNNNNNNNNNNNNNNNNNNNNNNNNNNNNNNNNNNNNNNNNNNNNNNNNNNNNNNNNNNNNNNNNNNNNNNNNNNNNNNNNNNNNNNNNNNNNNNNNNNNNNNNNNNNNNNNNNNNNNNNNNNNNNNNNNNNNNNNNNNNNNNNNNNNNNNNNNNNNNNNNNNNNNNNNNNNNNNNNNNNNNNNNNNNNNNNNNNNNNNNNNNNNNNNNNNNNNNNNNNNNNNNNNNNNNNNNNNNNNNNNNNNNNNNNNNNNNNNNNNNNNNNNNNNNNNNNNNNNNNNNNNNNNNNNNNNNNNNNNNNNNNNNNNNNNNNNNNNNNNNNNNNNNNNNNNNNNNNNNNNNNNNNNNNNNNNNNNNNNNNNNNNNNNNNNNNNNNNNNNNNNNNNNNNNNNNNNNNNNNNNNNNNNNNNNNNNNNNNNNNNNNNNNNNNNNNNNNNNNNNNNNNNNNNNNNNNNNNNNNNNNNNNNNNNNNNNNNNNNNNNNNNNNNNNNNNNNNNNNNNNNNNNNNNNNNNNNNNNNNNNNNNNNNNNNNNNNNNNNNNNNNNNNNNNNNNNNNNNNNNNNNNNNNNNNNNNNNNNNNNNNNNNNNNNNNNNNNNNNNNNNNNNNNNNNNNNNNNNNNNNNNNNNNNNNNNNNNNNNNNNNNNNNNNNNNNNNNNNNNNNNNNNNNNNNNNNNNNNNNNNNNNNNNNNNNNNNNNNNNNNNNNNNNNNNNNNNNNNNNNNNNNNNNNNNNNNNNNNNNNNNNNNNNNNNNNNNNNNNNNNNNNNNNNNNNNNNNNNNNNNNNNNNNNNNNNNNNNNNNNNNNNNNNNNNNNNNNNNNNNNNNNNNNNNNNNNNNNNNNNNNNNNNNNNNNNNNNNNNNNNNNNNNNNNNNNNNNNNNNNNNNNNNNNNNNNNNNNNNNNNNNNNNNNNNNNNNNNNNNNNNNNNNNNNNNNNNNNNNNNNGGCAAAAGGAAAAAUUAAAAGUAAAGUCAUUCCAUACAUUUAGGAACAUGUACAGUGAUAAACAACAUCAUACAAACCCUACUAUACAUACAAAACUAAUAUAAUGAGCACGAAGACUUUUGAAAAUCUUAUCCAUAGAAGCCUCCAAAAAGACAAUAUGCCUCGAUCUAGCCCUGAUCAAUCUGAGAAAAAAGAGGUUAAUAAAGGAACAAGCAAUUGCUACCUCAGCAAAUGAACUCUCAAGACUUAGAAUAGGACAUCAAGUGCCUUCUUAAAUGAAACCUUGCGAUUUAACAUAAUAAGCCGUGAACACAAAUAUAAAUGUGACAUGGAAUUGUCUCACUCCAAAUCAAUCACCCAACCGACAUGGAAGCUCAAGCAAUCACAUAUUAUAUCGCGAGACCAAAGUCUGUGAGUGUAUUUCAACUCGAUAACGGAGACAUCCCUGACAACAAGGCACUUCUUUGAGAGAGUUUUUUGUAUUGACUGAAAGUAAAUAUUUCAUUCAUAUCUCAAGAUGAUGUAUGAAAGGUCCAAAACAAAGCAAAUUUCAAAAUUGAAAAGUAGAAUAAUAAAGUAAGCACACUUUCAUCCCACAAGAAUAUAUCUAUCUCAACAUCAAAAUAGAAUGAACGGUGGCAGAUCACCAAUCUCACAUCAUUAUAAGUAAUGAGCACACACCGUAAUCUUAAUUCUCCAAUAGGUGUGGCUUUCCCGAUAGUUGAUACACGCUUAUGUUUAGUGUUCUCAAUGCCAUCACCGUACGGAGACACCAAAAAAAGGUUAAAUAGGCUCCCAAAUCUAGAUCUAGAUUGAGAGAUGUUGAAUGAGCACAGAAACACCUUUAAGUAACUCUCAAAAUAUAAAUAUAGAUUAAAAGAGAAGAGAGCUUUCAAAUCUAGAUCUAAAUCGAGAGAUAAGAACUUCCAAAACUCAAAAAAGUUGUAUAACCGCUUUGAAUGCAGUAUGAACUCAACAUAUUUCUCUUCAAUCCCAUUGUACUUCUUGGUUUGGAGGAUCCAUUUCCUAAUGAUGGAAGCUAAAGAUAUGCCCAGUGAGCAAAGAAGAGUAUCAACAGCCAUCAAGUUAUACGAUGCCCUCUCAGCGAAGAUCAAGUUAGUUUUCUCUCUCGACCCUUCUCAGAUAGUGAAAUUCAUGAUACCUUCUUCUCCCUAGCCCAUGGAAAGGCUCUUGGGCCAGAUGGGUAUGAAGCUGAGUUCUUUAAGAGCAAUUGGGAGCUGGUAGGGCUGUUAGUUAUUGAAGCGGUAAAGGAUUUUUUCAUCACAGGGCGCCUUCUCAAAGAGAUUAAUAACACCAUCCUAGUGUUGAUCCCUAAAGUGCCUAAUGCGACCUCAGUGAAUGAUUACAGACCUAUAGCCUAUUGCAACACAAUUUACAAAUGUAUUACCAAGGUGUUAGCUAAUCGAGUCGUUGCAGUUCGUCAUGAUGCUAUCAAUCCUUCUCAAAAUGCCUUUGUCAAAGGCCGACGAAUAUGGGAUAAUAUACUUCUUGCACAGGAAUUAUUUACGGGUUUUCAUUGUUAGCCGUAUAUCCCUAAAUGUGCGGUGAAAGUGGAUUCUCAAAAAGCUUAUGAUACAGUCGACUAGGAUUUUCUUGAAUUGGUUCUACGUGCAUUUGCAUUUCUGGACCACCUCACUCGGCUCAUUAUGGUGUGUGUGCGCACCCCGAAGUUUUCUAUCUCCCUCAAUGGGGAACUCCAUGGUUUCUUCCCUAGUGGCCGUGGACUUCAUCAGUGCGAUCCCAUGUCUCCUUACCUCUUCACGUUGGUUAUGGAGGUCUUCUCAGGAAUUCUCAGCACUCAUGCGGCACUACUGUGGCAUCCCAAAACUUCAUGACAACCCCUAGAUAUGCUAUGAACCAUGGAUAGGUGAUGGAAGCACCAUCAAAUUAUAUUGUAGCCUUAGACCCAUGAUUUACAAUAGAUUAAGGCUGAGCAUUUUAAUGGAUAAUUAUUUGGUUGGAAAUGUAUUUUAUGUCCAUAAGCGAUUAAGGAUUAUAUUAAAAGGAUAAAUUGAUAGGAAAAUUUUAUUCUUGGCCGUGCACUUUAUAGGUUGGAUUUUAUUGAUUUAUGUUGCAAGUUUUAUGGCCCUAUAAAUUGCAAUUAGGUAUUUAUAUAAGUGGGUAUUUAGGGUGGAUUAUUAAAAGAAGGAGUGGGCCGAAAUUUUUAGGCCAAAAACCAGCCCACAGCCCCACUGUUCGACUGGCCCAAGAAGCCCAAUGGGCUAUCGACCAAAGGAAGAGAGGGACCGGAUGGAGGAGUCGGCCCAAGGGAGGCCUGUCAUCUUGCAUGGCAAAAUUAACAAGUGGCUAAGGGGUUUAACCAAGUGUCAUCUUGCAUGCAAUCUAAUGAUUGCUAAUCAUUGUUGAAGGGAAGAAAAGAGAGGGAGAGGGGGCGGAGUGAGCGAGGAGUACCGGGAGAGCGAGAGAGACGUCGCGCGAGAGAGAGGGAGACCGAGCGAGCGUGUCAGAGAGGAAGGAAAGAAAAAGACCCAUUGCUGCCGUGAGUCCGCCUAGCUGCCGUCGUUGAGCCCGCCUUGCCCCGCCGUUGUGUUUGCUGUGACUUUCUUUGGAUUUGAGGCAAGUAGAGUCCUUUGAUCUACACUUUGCUUGCUGUGAUNNNNNNNNNNNNNNNNNNNNNNNNNNNNNNNNNNNNNNNNNNNNNNNNNNNNNNNNNNNNNNNNNNNNNNNNNNNNNNNNNNNNNNNNNNNNNNNNNNNNACUUCAACUUCUCAAUGAAAGUUGUAGAGGACUUCCUGGAGAGUAACAUAUCAAAAUUUUAGAGGAAAUUAACAAGUAUAGGUCGGGGAAACCAUUUUUCUUUGAAGGAAUUAGAUCUGGAAACAGUUAUGCUGACCUAGUGCGAUUCUGUGAAUUUUUAUAAAAUUAUCCGGUUGAAAUUUGAUCUUGUGUCCUUGAUGAAAUUUGUAUAGGACACUUUAAGGAGUAACAUACUAAAAUUUGAGAAGAAACGGACAUGUGUAGGUCGAUGAAACGAAUUUUUAUCCGAAAUGGUUAGAUCUGGAAAUUGUUGCCGAGGGUUAGGGACGGUUACGGUGAUUAUAGCUUUUAAUAUAUCACGAAUUUGACUUCUAGUUCUUCAUGAAACUUUUAAAUCUAGGUUUUUUCUAUAACAUAUUAAAAUUUCAGAAUAUUCGGAGCUGGUUUAGGGUUUAUACCGAAUUUGUGAAUGAAACUGUGCAAAGGUGAUGUUAUGAAAUUUUAAAGGCCGUGAUGUAUGGACUGUAGCGACUCGUAUGAAGCUCUUUCGACGUGGUUUUCUUCAUGAAAUAUCUUUCUCUGGAUCUUAUUUACAUCAUGUUAAAUUUUCAGAAUUUAUUAAGACCCUUUACUAAUUUUUCCGGAAUUUUAUCUAAAGGAGUCCAUUCUGUUUUAUCCGAAAAUUGCUGUAUUUUAAAAAAUAAAUGAAUUAUUCUAUGAGAUAUAAUGUUUUGAGUGGUUAAUCAUGCUGCAUAUGCGGGGACACUUAGCAUGUCAUGUAACAUCAAAAAGCUGGUUUAGACCUUUGACAUUGUUGCAUCAAAUGCCAUGUUGAAAAUGAGACAUAUAUGUAAAUACAUAUUGUGAUAAUAAUGAUAUCAUCGGAGGUGUGAGCCGACGAUGCCCCGGGAGUGUUGGGAUGCCCAGAGUGUGUGUGCCGGAAGCCCUAGAGAUGUGUGCCGGGGGAUUCCUCGUGAUGCCAGUUGAGGUGCGAGAUGCCAGUUGGUGUGCGAGAUGCUCGAAGGUGUGUGCUGGAGGUUCCUUGCGAUGCCAGGAUUGGGUGCGAGUGAUAUAUAUACGAGGGAUGCAAACACUAGUCCCUGGAAGAAAAAAAAUGAGAUCCUUUGAAAGUUAAAAUGGAAAUUGAAUCAUGCGCAUGUGUGUGUGUGCAUAUGGCAUGAGAUAUAAAUGUCUAUGAAAUUGAGUUGUUAUUAUAUGGCAUUGAUAAUGCAAUCAUGAUGGUAUUGAAUGGAUCUCAUGGGGAUAGAUACAUGAUGGUAUGGAUGAUAUGAAUCAUGCGCAUGCAUGUGUAUAUGACAUGGAACAUGAAUUGCUUGAGUGCAUGAAUCUCAUGGAAAUGCAAGCAUGACUACAUGAAUGAUAUGUGCAUUUCACACGAAAUUGUGGUUGUCUUGCUUGUUGCAUUGUGUAGUUUGAUGGAUCUUUACUGCCGAGUGGUUGUACUCAUCCCUUUUGGGGACUAACAUUUCAGAUUGAGAGAUGCCUCUAACACCUGUCACACGUGGUAUAUUUUAUGGCUUACUGUCUGAUGUUGAGGUCAAGUGCUCGGAGCACCCUGCGUUGGUGUUCAUGGUCUGGUGUUAUCGCGUCCGUGUUUUGGUUAUGUACGAUGUAGGCUACUUGAUGGUCCCAUAGUUCAGGAGUUCCUGUCUGUCCAUGUUCGUCGAGAUGGGAGGAUGAUGGGGAUGCUGCCGCCGCCGCCAACCGAUGCACCGGGCUGGGUGUGAUAGGAGCGUGUGACUGGUGGAGGUUGACACUUUUUGGAUGGCCGACACUGGGAUGAUGGAUUGAUGUAUAUGUCUGAUGUAGAGUCGGGUUCUUUUGGGUUAUAACCGAGCUUAGUUAAAGCUUUGGCCUUUUGUUGUACUGACUCAUGAUGUCCAUUAAAGUAUGUAAAUAAAAGUGGUUCGGCGUUAGCUUAUAUAUAUAUGAAAAGUGUAGUUGGUGUGCAUUGCAUUAUUUUAUUUAGUUUGUGUACGGGUUAGGGAGAUGUCGAGUAUGCUUCCGUUAAUUGAACUGCGCUGGGACCGAUUGAGAUGAUAUGAACCCCUAAGAUUUAUGGACCCACUACAAUUCAAAUGGUAUCGGAGUGACAUGUUAUUAGGACAAGCUAUGGGUAAGUGAGCUGUGGCGACCCUAACAUAUCGGGGGCCGUCGAGGGGUGCCACAGUGGGAUUGGUAUCGGACCAAUGGUUAUAGGUGGAGUGAUAAGGAGCCUCAUUUGGAAAUUGAGGAAUAUGAUGACAAUGCACACCAUAGGAUACUAACUAGGAUAGUUGUCUAGCUUUGAACAACGGGUGAUGGGUAUUCACUCGUAGAUCCUUAGUAGUUUAUUAUGAGUUGCUUUUAGGUGCCAGUAACAUGUUUAUGUUACUUAUAUAUAGUUGUAGUUGCUUUUAAAUAGAGACAUUGAGUCAUAGAUUAUUCUUGAGGCAAAUGCUUGGAAACUGCAGGAAAAUUAUGGUGAGAGCUAGAAGUGCUCAUCCAUCGAGGGCUAAAGCCUCUGCUGCAAGGGCUGAACCCUGAAUGGAAGACAUCCUACAAGCAUUGGCCAAUAUAGGAAAUUUGAUGGAAAGACAAGCGCAGCAACAACUCAGAGUGGAACGCCGCCCUCAAGGACUGGUGAAGCAAUUUUUGAAGCUAAAGCCACCUAAGUUUAGUGGAACAAGAAGUCCUGAGGAGGUAGAACAAUGGAUUGAUGGAAUGGAGCGAAUUUUUCGGUUGUUGGACUACAAUGAUGCUGAGAAAAUAACUUUGGCAGAGUAUCAGCUGGAGGGAAAUGCAAAGUUUUGGUAGAGAGCUUCAAGAUAUACGAUCUUUCCACCAGGUACUGAUAUAAAUUGGGAUGAAUUUAUUAGAGCUUUCAAUAGGAAGCAUUUUUUUGAUUGUGCCAAGGAUAAGAAGAUCACUAAAUUUGUUCAGCUAGAACAAAGGGAGCUGACAGUAGAUCAGUAUGAGGCAAAAUUUUCUAAAUUGUCUAGGUAUGCUCCCAGGCUAAUUGAGGAUCGUGAGGAAAAAGCUAAGAGAUUUCUGAAAUGGUUAAGGAAUGAUAUUAGGAAACAACUAGUGCCUUUGAAUAUAAGAGAUUAUAAUGAGAUUUAUGAAAUGGCACAGUUGGUAGAGCAGGAACUAGUGAGAGAGCGGUCAGAGUCUAAGAGAUAGUUGACCUUUAGUGAUAUUAGACGGGGUAAGAUACCUUAUCCUGGUCAAGGUCAAACCUGGGAUUCUAAGAAAAAGAGUAAUUUUGGAAUUUUUGGAAAAGCUAUGGAUGGCCUGAAUAUAGGGAAAGCACCCUAUCAGCAUGAUGUUUGUCGAAGAUGUGAUGGCAACAUGGCCCAGGACCUUGUAAUGGACAGCUGAAAUGCUAUGGUUGUGGACGAGUAGGUCACCUCAAGAGAGACUGUCCACAAGAGAGGCCGCAACUGAGUGUUGGCUCGGUGCGACAGGUGCAACAAAGUACUGGUGGACCAAAUCUACCAAGGAAUCAAUAGAGGCCACCAGCACAAGGAAUGGUGUAUACGGUCACCCAAGAGGAAGCGGAAGCUUCCAAAAAUGUUAUCUCAUGUACGAUUUUUCAUAAAUGGCAAGAAGGCAUAUGUAUUGUUUGACACGGGUGCUACGCAUUCUUUUAUAUCUGAAAGAUAUAGGCAAUUGAGUAACAUAGAAACUACACCUCUUUGUGUUUCCAUGCCUUUAAAUAAUAUGGUAUUAUCUACAAUGAUAUGUGGAAAAUGUAAGAUAACUAUAGGAGGGCGAGAUAUGGAAAUAGAUCUAGUUGUAAUGGUUAUGUAUGACUUUGAUGUUAUCAUAGGAAUGGACUGGCUCCAUAAGUAUAGGGCUAAGGUGGAUUGCUAUAGGAAAAUGAUCCAAUUCAUGUUACCUGGUCAGUCUAGUUUUAAAUCUUUUGGAGGUCAGACGAACCCUUCUAUAGCCAUUAUCUCAAUGGUAGAAGCUCGUGAACUACUUGACGAAGGAUAUCAAGGAUACCUAGCAGUAGUAAGAGAUCUUACUAAGAAAGAGGCUAAAAUCGAUGAGAUUCGAAUAGUCAGGGAAUUUUAGGAUGUGUUUCCUGAGGAGUUGCCUAGAUUACCACAGGAAUGAGAGAUCGAAUUUGAAAUUGAACUAAUGCUUGGAACAUGACCAAUAUCGAAAGCCUCGUAUAGAAUGGCCCUGGUGGAGCUGAAGGAAUUGAAGGUGCAACUACAAGAGUUGGUUGAUAAGGGAUUUAUUAGGCCAAGUGCUUCACCUUGGAGUGCACCAGUUCUAUUGGAGAAAGAAGGACGGAUCGAUGCAUCUAUGUAUUGACUAUAGACAGCUAAACCAAGUGAUUGUAAAGAAUAAGUAUCCCUUGCCUAGAAUUGAUGAUUUAUUUGACCAGUUGCAAGGAAGUUCAAUCUUUUCUAAAAUUGACUUAAGGUCAGGAUACCAUCAGUUAAAAAUAAAGAAAGAAGACAUUUCUAAGACUGCAUUUAGGACUCGUUAUGGGCAUUAUGAGUUCCUAGUUAUGCCUUUUGGAUUAACGAAUGCACCAGCCACAUUCAUGGAUUUAAUGAAUAGGAUAUUUAAGCCUUAUCUGGAUCUGUUUGUAAUUGUCUUCAUCGAUGAUAUCCUGAUAUAUUCUAAAGGACCUGAAGAGCAUGAAGGACACCUAAGAAUAGCAUUACAAACGCUAAGAGAUUAUAAGUUAUUCGCCAAAUUCAGUAAGUAUGAAUUCUGGCUAGACCAGAUAAUAUUUUUAGGACACGUGGUGUCGGGUAAUGGAAUUGCAGUAGACCCUGCAAAGGUUGAGAUGGUAGUGAAUUGGUCGAGACAGACAACACCAACUGAGAUACGAAGUUUCUUAGGGUUGGCUGGCUAUUAUAAGAGGUUUAUUGAAGGAUUUUCACACUUGGCAGGCCCUCUAACGAAAUUGACCCGAAAGAAUGAGAGAUUUAAAUGGAGUGGAGAAUGUGAAAGAAGUUUUCAAGAACUUAUAAGGAAGUUGACUACAGCCCCAAUUCUAACUAUACCAUUUGGAUCCGAAGGAUUCACAGUGUAUAGUGAUGCAUCUCAUAAAAGAUUGGGAUGUGUUUUGAUGCAGCAUGGCAAGGUCAUAGCCUAUGCAUUGAGGCAAUUGAAACCUCAUGAGUUAAAUUACCCAACCCAUGAUUUAGAAUCGCUUUGAAAAUAUGGAGACACUAUCUGUAUGGAGAGAAGUUUGAAAUCUAUACAGAUAAUAAGAGCUUGAAGUAUUUGUUUUUGCAAAAAGAGUUGAACAUGAGACAGAGAAGGUGGAUGGAAUUAUUAAAAGAUUACGACUGUGAAAUAUGAUACCAUCUAGGAAAGGCAAAUAAGGUGGCAGAUGCCCUUGGUUGAAAGUCGGCUAUGGACAUGGCUAGUCUAAGAAUAAUAGAGUGGAAUCUGUUAAAGUCAAUAGUGGAUUCAGACUUCAAGUUAGAAGUAGACCACCUUACUGGUAUGCUCAAUGCAUUGAAGAUUGAGCCAGAAAUUAUUCAGAAAGUUAAAUUCUACAAAAAUUUGACCCGGAGAUUUUGAAGAUACAAAACGUUGUGUCUUUAGGGAAAAGACUAGAGUUUCAAAUCUCUGAGGAUGGAGUAGUAAGAUGUCAAGGACGACUCUGUGUUCCUGACAGUGAGGAAGUAAGAAGGGAGAUCCUAUCAGAAGCGCAUACGAGUAAUUAUAGUAUUCAUUCGAGGAGUACAAAAAUGUAUAGAAAUUUACGCCAGCAGUUUUGGUGGAAUGGCAUGAAAGAAAGAUAUAGCUAAACAUGUUUCUCAAUGUUUAACAUGAUAGCAAGUGAAGUGGAACACCGCAAACCCGCAGGAUUAUUGAGACCAUUGGACGUGCCAGAAUGGAAAUGGGAGCAUGUGACGAUGGACUUUAUGUAAGGACUGCCAAGGACAUCAAGUGGUCAUGACUCUAUUUGGGUAAUAGUAGAUCGUUUGACUAAGUCUGCUCAUUUCCUAGCGGUCCACGUAGACUACUCGAUGGAUAAACUUGCUGAUAUAUAUGUAAGCCAAAUGAUACGCUUACAUGGUAAUCUUGUAACGAUCACAUCUGAUCGAGACUCUAGGUUUACUUCAAAUUUUUGGCGAAGUCUCCAAAAUGCCUUAGGGACAAAGCUUCAAUUUAGUACUGCUUUUCAUUCUCAAACAGAUGGACAAACUGAAAGAGUGAUCCAAAUUUUGGAAGAUAUGCUGAGAGCUUGUAUUAUUGAUUUUAAGGGAAGUUGGGAUGAAAAAUUGCAUUUGAUAGAGUUCGCCUAUAACAAUAGUUUUCAGAAAAGUAUAGGCAUGGCUCCAUAUGAAGCAUUAUAUGGAAGACGGUGUAGGACUCCUAUUUGUUGGAAUGAAGUAGGUGAAAGGAAAUUGACAGGACCUGAAUUAGUACAAAUUACUACUGAGCCUGUUGAAAUUAUCAGGAAAAGACUUAAAAUAGCCCAGAGUAGGUAGAAAGACUACGCUGAUAAGCGUAGAAGACCUUUAGAAUUUGAUGUGGGAGAUCACGUGUUCCUUAAAGUAUCCCCUAUGAAAGGAAUAUCUCGAUUUGGAAUGAAGAGUAAGUUGAGCCCUAGAUUUGUUGGACCUUUUGAUAUACUUGAAAGAAUAGGAGAUGUAGCUUAUCGUUUAGUGCUGCCUCCUAAAUUGGGAAAUUUGCAUGACGUAUUCCAUGUAUCGAUGUUGAGAAAGUAUCAGCUAGAUCCUGGUCACAUACUCGAUCAUGAAGCCAUCAAAGUGGAUGAGAAAGUGAGGAACAUUGAAGAGUCUGUGCAAGUGCUGGAUCGAAAGGAGAAAAUUCUUAGGACCAAGAAAAUUCCAUUAGCUAAGAUAUUAUGGCAACAUCAUGAUGUGGAGGAAGCCACACGGGAAAAUGAAAAUGAGAUGAGAGAAAGGUACCCUCACUUGUUUAAAGAGACAUAGGAAAUGUCUAAUUUCGAGGACGAAAUUCUCUAAGGAGGGGAGUAUUGUGGCAUCCCAAAACUUCAUGACAACCCCUAGAUAUGCUAUGAAUCAUGGAUAGGUGAUGGAAGCGCCAUCAAAUUAUAUUGUAGCCAUUAGACCCAUGAUUUACAAUAGAUUAAGGCCGAUCAUUUUAAUGGAUAAUUAUUUGGUUGGAAAUGUAUUUUAUGUCCAUAAGUGAUUAAGGAUUAUAUUAAAAGGAUAAAUUGAUAUGAAAAUUUUAUUCUUGACCGUGCACUUUUUAGGUUGGAUUUUAUUGAUUUAUGUUGCAAGUUUUAUGGUCCUAUAAAUUGCAAUUAGGUAUUUAUAUAAGUGGGGAUUUAGGGUGGAUUAUUAAAAGAAGGAGUGGGUCGGGACUCAUCGGUUCCUUCACCCACCCGGAAUCAAUCUAGCUAAACCAACCCCCUCGAGAGGGAGUUAGGCCUAAAACUAGCCCAUAGCCCCACUGUUCGACUGGCCCAAGAAGCCCAAUGGGCUGUUGACCAAAUGAAGAGAGGGACCGGAUGGAGGAGUCGGCCCAAGGGAGGCCCAUCAUCUUGCAUGGCAAAAUUAACAAGUGGCUAAGGGGAUUAACCAAGUGUCAUCUUGCAUGCAAUCUAAUCAUUGCUAAUCAUUGCUGAAGGGAAGAAAAGAGAGGGAGAGGGGGCAGAGUGAGCGAGGAGUAUCGAGAGAGAGAAAGAGACGUCGCGCGAGAGAGGAAGGGAAGAAGAAGACCCGUUGUUGCCGUGAGUCCGCCUAGCUGCCGUCGUCGAGCCCGCCUUGCCCCGCCGUUGUUUUUACUGUGACUUUCUUGGGAUUUGAGGCAAGUAGAGUCCUUUGAUUUACACUUUGCUUAUUGUGAUUGUGUGUGAUGAAUGGUGAGUUUCGGAUGUGGUAGAGGGUGAGAAUUUUCGAAGUUAUAGGAGUUGUGUCUUAGCUUAGUAUCCUGUUUUCUGGAAAAAAAAAAAAAAAACAGUCCGACCUUUGGUAAUUUCGUGAGCUGCAUGCAAUCUUCUAGUUGGAAUCUCACUUCAAAUUCUUGAUGAAAGUUGUAGAGGACUUCUUGGAGAGUAAUAUAUCAAAAUUUGAGAGGAAAUGAACAAGUAUAGGUCGGGGAAACCAUUUUUCUUUGAAGGAAUUAGAUCUGGAAACAGUUAUGCUGACCUAGUGCGAUUCUGUGAAUUUUUAUAAAAUUAUCCGGUUGAAAUUUGAUCUUGUGUCCUUGAUGAAAUUUGUAUAGGACACUUUAAGGAGUAACAUACUAAAAUUUUUUAGAAGAAAUGGACAUGUGUAGGUCAACGAAACGAAUUUUUAUCCGAAAUGGUUAGAUCUGGAAAUUGUUGCCGAGGGUUAGGGACGGUUACGGUGAUUAUAGCUUUUAAUCUAUCACGAAUUUGACUUCUAGUUCUGCAUGAAACUUUUACCUCUAGGUUUUUUCUAUAAUAUAUUAAAAUUUCAGAAUAUUCGGAGCUGAUUUAGGGUUUAUACCGAAUUUGUGAAUGAAACUGUGCAAAGGUGAUGUUAUGAAAUUUUAAAGGCCGUGAUGUAUGGACUGUAGCGACUCGUAUGAAGCUCUUUCGACGUGGUGUUCUUCAUGAAAUAUAUUUCUCUGGAUCUUAUUUACAUCAUGUUAAAUUUUCAGAAUUUAUUAAGAUUGUUUACUAAUUUUUCCGGAAUUUUAUCUAAAGGAGUCCAUUCUGUUUUAUCUGAAAAUUGCUGUAUUUUAAAAAAUAAAUGAAUUGUUCUAUGAGAUAUAAUGUUUUGAGUGGUUAAUCAUGCUGCAUAUGUGGGGACACUUAGCAUGUCAUGUAACAUCAAAAAGCUGGUUUAGACCUUUGAUAUUGUUGCAUCAAAUGCCAUGUUGAAAAUGAGACAUAUAUGUGAAUACAUAUUGUGAUAAUAAUGAUACCAUCGAAGGUGUGAGCCGACGAUGCCCCGGGAGUGUCGGGAUGCCUGGAGUGUGUGUGCCAAAUGUCCUCAAGAGUUUCCAGAUGCCCGGAGGUGUGUGCCGGAAGACCUGGAGGUGUGUGCCGGGGGAUUUCUCGUGAUGCCAGUCGGGGUGCGAGAUGUUCAGAGGUGUGUGUCGGAGGUUCCUCGCAAUGCUAGGAUUGGGUGCGAGUGAUAUAUAUACGAGGGAUGCAAACACUAGUCCUUGGGAGAAAAAAAAAUGAGAUCAUUUGAAAGUUAAAAUGGAAAUUGAAUCAUGCGCAUGUGUAUGUGUGCAUAUGGCAUGGGAUAUAAAUGUCUAUGAAAUUGAGUUGUUAUUAUAUGGCAUUGAGAAUGCAAUCAUGAUGGUAUUGAAUGGAUCUCAUGGGGAUAGAUACAUGAUGGUAUGGAUGAUAUGAAUCAUGCGCAUGUAUGUGUAUAUGGCAUGGAACAUGAAUUGCUUGAGUGCAUGAAUCUCAUGGAAAUGCAAGCAUGACUACAUGAAUGAUAUGUGCAUUUCACACGAAAUUGUGGUUGUCUCGCUUGUUGCAUUGUGUAGUUUGAUGGAUCUUUACUGUUGAGUGGUUGUACUCAUCCCUUUUGGGGACUAAUAUUUCAGAUUGAGAGAUGCCUCUAGCACCUGUCACACGUGGUACAUUUUAUGGCUUACCGUCUGAUGUUGAGGUCGAGUGCUCGGAGCACCCCAGCGUUGGUGUUCAUGGUCUGGUGUUUAUCUGCAUCCGUGUUUUGGUUAUGUACGAUGUGGGCCUACUUGAUGGCCCAUAGUUCAGGAGUUCCUGUCUGUCCAUGUUCGUUGAGAUGAGAGGAUGAUGGGGAUGCUGCCGCCGCCGCCAGCUGAUGCACCGGGCUGGGUGUGAUAGGAGCGUGUGACUGGUGGAGGUUGACACUUUUUGGAUGGCCGACACUGGGAUGAUGGAUUGAUUUAUAUGUCUGAUGUAGAGUCGGGUUCUUUUGGGUUAUAGUCGAGCUUAGUUAAAGCUUUGGCCUUUUGUUGUAUCGACUCGUGAUGUCCAUCAAAGUAUGUAUAUAAAAGUGGUUCGGCGUUAGCUUAUAUACAUAUAUGAAAAGUGUAGUUGGUGUGCAUUGCAUUAUAUUAUUUAGUUUGUGUACGAGUUAGGGAGAUGUCGAGUAUGCUUCCAUUAAUUGAACUGUGCUGGGACCGAUUGAGAUGAUAUGAACCCCCGGGAUUUAUGGACCCACUACAAUUCAAAUGGUAUCAGAGUGACAUGUUAUUAGGAUAAGCUAUGGGUAAGUGAGCUGUGGUGACCCCAACAGAUUGGGGGCCGUCGAGGGGUGCCACAACUACCUAAUUUCAAAUUUUUCUGGAGAUGUAAGGCUACAAGAUUGUCUCAUCUCUUCUUUGUGGAUUAUGUCUUUCUUUUUUUGCCAAGCGGACAUUCCUUCAAUCUCUCUCCUCAAGGAAGGUAUGGAUAUCUUCUCGGCAUGGAGUGGACUGAAGCCAAACAACAACAAAAGUGAAAUAUUUCUUGCUGGAGGAUCAGUGGUGACAAGGAAUGAGAUUCUUCGUAUCUUUCGAUUUGUCGAAGGUAAGCUAUCGGUACGGUACCUAAGGGUUCCUAUCAUAUCAUCGAGGCUUGGCAAAGCAGACUAUGUGUUGCUAGUUGAUUGCAUAACAGCCAGAGUCCAAUCUUUGAAUCAGAGAUUUCUAUCCUUUUCUGGCAGAUUGCAGUUAAUAAGGUUAGUUCUCCAUGCGAUCCAAGCUUAUUGGGCGAGUGUUUUCACCAUUCCUUUUGCAAUGUUGGAUUGUAUUGAGCAGAUCCUCAGACAGUUUCUAUGGAGGGGACCGACACUUGGGAAGGGUGGAGCGAAAGUUUCCUGGGACAACGUAUGCCUCCUAAAAGAGGAAGGGGGUCUUGGAAUUCGUAGGCUGAGAGACUGCAACAAUGCUGUAAUGCUCAAGCAUUUUGGAUUCUAUUCACGGACAAAGAGUCAUUAUGGUGCAGGUGGAUCCACUCAACCUUUCCUGAAAAGGGAAGACUUUUUGGGUGGUUGGGGUGUCGUCCCUUUGUUCUUGGGCUUGGAAGAGAAUCCUAUACCUAAGAACCGAAUUCCGGCUCUCUUUUCGCUAGAAGAUCGGAGAUGGCCAAUCAACUUCCCUUUGGUUUGAUCACUGGCACAUGAGAGGUCCACUUCAUCUUAUUUGCUCGGAUCCGGUGAUGAUGAGUUCAGGUUUAUCUUGACAUGCAAUGGUGGCUGAUCUUUUCUCAUCGGCAGGACAAUCCUUUAGGGUAGUGGUUGAAUCCUAGGAGCGGCUUUCCCUAUCCUCUCCAGGGCACCGGAUCAUUUUACUUGGACUGAUAGCACUUCUGGUCUUUUCUCGAUAGCCUCAGCAUGGCAUACUCUUAGAAGAAGGAAGGAUAAGGUCAGUUGGGCAUCCUUUAUCUGGAACAAGGCUAUCACUCCAAGAUAUCAAUUUAAUCUCAGGCUCAUUAUUAAGAAUCUUCUUCCCACCCAAACCUUGCUUAUGUCGCAUGGCAAAAUUGGGAAUGAGGUUUAUGCUUUUUGCAAGCUAACGUCGGACUCCAUCAACCAUCUCUACUUCGGGUGUUGUAUUACGGCCAGCAUGGCUUUUUUUUUGGGCUGCCAGAUGCAAUCUCCCCUGAUGGAAUAGGACCUGGUCAGAGAACCUUCAAUGGGCUAUGAAGUUUCUCUUUGGUAAAGACUUUUAUCACUCCAUUGCCCGUUUUUCUUUUGGUGCUCUUUGCCACAUUAUCUGGAGAUACAGGAAUGACGUCCUGUUCAUAAACCACUUUGUCGCGGUCGCCACCGUAAAAAAUCAUCUCAUCAAAGUGGUCAAGGAUAAAACUUUAAUGUUCAGAAACGUGGAUGAUAAUCAUAGGAACAGAAGACUCCAAUGUAGUUGGGGGUUAGACCCUUGCAUUUUCUCUCCUUAUUCAACGCAACCUUAGACGUCUGUGGAGUGGUUUGUAGACUGCUUUUGGAAAGAGUCGGGUGCUAAACGGCAACACGUCUGCUAGUCGUCUUCAGCAUUGGACCUGUUUUGUGGUCUUUGUUUCUUCUUUCUUUUCUUCUUUGCCGGUUUGGUUAGUCUAGGAGUUUUUUGGCCCUAUGGGGCUUUCUCCUUUCUCCUCUAUUCCUUUGCCUUAUUUUGGCUAUUCUGUGCUUUGUUCCCCGUUGUUGCAGUGCUUCUCUUGCAUCCAGUUCCCUUUCACUCACGCUGACUUGUUUUCUUGCUAAGUGUAAGUUUUGUGGCGCUGGAUUUUGUAAUUAUUGGUUCAAAGCUCUAUAUAUUAUUAUUUCUUACCAAAAACAAAAAAAAACAAAAAACAAAAAAAUUAUUUGCAAUGGGCUAUUCUAAGGGUGAUAUCAUAUAAAUACAAUCAAGUACGGGUAAUUAGUCAUAUUUCCCAAAAUAAACUUAGUCAUUGAUGGGACUUUAAUCACUACUCAUUUAUAGUCUUAGUAAGAAAGUUUAAUAAAAGUUGGAAAUAACGAGAGAAUUCUUUUUUAUCAGCAAUUAGAGAAAUUGGUAGCUUUUAAUUAUAAAAAAAAUAUGGGUAACUAUUGACAUAAAGUUAGUCGGUAAUACACAGAGAAAGAAGGUUGGUAGGUAAGGCAAAUAAAGAAUGGUAAUUCAAUGGGAAAAAAAUGAAUGCUUUAGCAUGACUAAAACUUUUCCCGUUGCCCUCUGCUUGCGUACGUUAUUCUGUGGCCUACCAAUGAUAAGGGCAUUUCUCUGCAUAGAACAAUUGUCUGCUAUAUAUCUAAGUUACCCGCAUAAAAAGCAUGAUCUACUGUCAGUUGCAGCAUCCGUUAAUAUAGAACAAUCACGUGCUACAUGUACAAUUUUCCUACAUAGAAAGAAUGCGCUCGUACUGACAAGCGAUUUGUUUCCUACAAGUGUUAUAAGAGCCAUUGUUAUUUUGAUUUCUAGACUUUCUUGGCCAAUUAUCGCCUCUUCGUUUAUUACCACUUUGAGUAAGCUUUCUGUUGGCGUGUCAAAGUCGUUUUAUUUACGAAUAAACCUGGUUUAAUCGAAUCUUGCUUAAGGUUUCUACUUGAUUUUGAUAUGCAUUUUUUACUUAAUGAUAGGAUUUGGAGUUUUUCUGCUCAACACAAUUUUCGUCAUUUGGUUUUCCAAUGUUAGAUCUGGCAAGAGGGGCCUCGCCAAUGUUCACCUCACCUAAGUGCGGCCUAUCGAGAUCAACUCUCGCCUGGGAGAGGCCAGCCCUCACCGACCAUGGCCUAAGUCGCCAGCCACUACAAAGAGAAAAGGGAAAGAAAAACAAGAAAAUUAUUAAAAAUUUAAAAAUAGUUAAAAAAUUAUUUAAAAAAAUGUCCAUAACAAUGUCAAUCGUGUCAUGAAAGACGAAUGAUGUCUAUGUUAGUAAUUUUGGACCUAAAUUGAUCAGAUGGACAUGUGAAAAAAUUAAGCAUUAAAUUAGGUUAAUUGAAAAGUUUAGUACUAAAUUGGUGGCAAUGCCAUAGGUCAGGACUUUUUGGCACUAUUUCUUUAAAUAGCAUAUUAUAACACAACAACUAGCAUAACUAUUAAUUGGCUACAUAUCAACAGCCAUGCCCGAUGGUUGGUUAGUCAUAGUCCGUUGUCCUCAAUGAUAUACUCGGUGGAGAUUAAUAAUAUUUUCUCUGUUGAGUUACCAGAAUUUUUCUUUGCCAAAGUUGUCAAAUGUUUCACUUGUUUAAAUGGACAAAUACCAUUAAAGACAACUUUAAAAAAAAAAAAAUUCACCAAUGCCUUUGCCUAGUGAGUGGCUCGCUGGCUCUGGCUUGUCUCUAUUCAUCAGUGGUGUCAUUUACUGUGGUUUUUCCUAUGUUCUUUUGGUCUUUUGGGUUCGGCUUUUUUGAUAGCUAGGAAUUUGAGCGAUUCAGGUUUCUUGACCGGUGAAUCAACUCGACAUCCUUAAAAUGUAUUUGCUGAUUGUCGAUUGUGAUGUGAAUGGGUAUGUUCUGACUUGCUUUGCAUUGAUUCCUGCAUUUUUUUUCUGCCUUGGUCUCUUUUCUUUUUCCUUGCUUUGCAAGUUUUAACCUCUGUUAGUUUCCUAAUAAAGUCCAGUUUCCUACUUGAAUUAUGGGGUUUUACCCCGCUUUUUCUUCAUUCCAAUUCGUGCAGAUUACGUGAUCUGAGUUCCAAUUAUCGUUCAUAUUAUGCCUCAGUCACAUUUUUAAUGUCCUAAGAAUUUGUUCAGAGUGAGGGUUUGAACUUUUAAGAGCUUUGUCUUUACAAUAUCGUGUUGGAUUUUGCUUGGAGGAGUCUACGUCUAUUUAUUCAUGGCUUUGCCUUUCUUAUUGUGGCAAUUUUCUGUUAUGUUUAUGAUUUUAUGAGAUAUUCUCGUAACCAUUCGCUUGCGGGGAAUGAAGAUAAUAUAUAAAUUAGAUUAACAUUUUAAUGGAGUUGCUAAUCUCUUACUAAGAAUUGUUAAUACUUUCUGUCUAGGUGAUUUAUAUCCAUGGGAAACAAAAGAUGCAUGAUCACAUUUGUUGGUUCACGCGCGGUGCAAAUAAGCUGCGAGUUAGAAUAGAAGCUUGAAAGGGUACACAAUGGUGACAAAUUAUGUUCUAAUUCAGAGGCUGAACUGAUCAGCCUCAAGAAGAGAAAUGUGAAUGCAUCAAAUAAGACUUACCCGCAUAGAUAGUGUACAAUUUUUCAUCAUACUAUACUGAAAUGGUCCAAGUAUUGAUUUGGUUUGAUAAUAUUAGAUCCUUCUUUCAAUAUUUACAAUUUCUUGUCUAGUAGAAAAAGAAAGCACAGCUUUAUGUGUCUAUAGGGCGUAUGGAAUCUUUCUCUUGGGAAACGAAUCAUUGUCAAGUUAGGGAAGAAAAUGCAGCCUAUUGGAGGUUUAAUGAGUUUCUCGGAACCAUUGCUAGCGUGUUGGCACCAUUGUUCACAGCUUUGAAGCAAAUUACCAAGGAUAUGAGAACGCCAUGAUUUGGAUCGUAGAGGCAGUUAGCUUGUAUUUGUAUGAAAUUUUAUUCAUGUUGUAAAUAAAUUUAACGUCAUUAUUAAUAUUUCUUUGUUGUAAUCUAAGUUUGAUUAUCUUCGUACCAACCAUGGAAAAUGGAUUCUACAUUCCUUAAUACUGCAAAAGUGAUCUAAAAGCUGUUCAAUAUGAUAGCUUUCGAUUAUUCUCAUAUCAUUUGAAGAAUCUGUUGGAAAGAGUGAGGAGAGAUCAAUGGAAUAAUCUGGUCACUUUUUGGAGUUCAAAGGAUGCGUUGUUUUAAUAUAUGACCUAUCGGCAUUAAAUAGACUUUCGUUACCUGUUAAUGACUAUUUUCUGAUAACCUUGUUUUUUUCUUAAUUGCAGAAGCUGAGUGAAACAAAUAAGGCUAACAGAGCAAAACAAAAAAUAUGACACACCUUAGAAAACAAAAGUUUUGCUAGAAUAAAAACAGAAAACGGUAUUCUCACGUUUCCCCUUAAAUUUUUGUGUUUCCCUAUAAAUGAUAUUUCCACCAUGUGAUCAAUAAUUCCGCUUUAGAAAAGAGUCUGCUGAGGUGAUAUAUCUCUGGACUUAAAGGUAAAAAUGUCCAGAGAUAUUUGCCACUUUUCUGACAAUACGCGUGUUUAGACAGCAAGUUGUCAUAGGAAGAAAACAUAGGAUGUGUUCUAGAAAUGCCUCCUUAAGAUUGUCUACGUUCUUAGCACCUGCAUUGGUAUCUUGUUAUUAUUCCCUUAGCUCUGUGAUUUGGAUUUGCUAGUGAGAGCACAACAAUCCUCAACUUGAUUCAGAUUUAUCUAGAACAAAUAGUCCGCCAUCAUUAACAAAAGAGCUAUGCAGCAGCUAGAGCUGUAAAGUAAAUUAUAAAUGAUGAAACUUGUACAAUUUUCUAUUAAUUUGCUAACGUGACUGCAGUUUGGUUUAAUGAGAGAGAUCUAAAAAUAGAAAAGUAAUGCAGCCUUAGAAUACCCAAUUGCUAGCUGUGCCAUUUCACAUGCAUGCACACAUCCCCACAAUUGUUUGAAAAGCCACUCAAUAUAGUUCAUCCAAUGUCAACAAAUGUUAUUCAGUCUUGGCAAUGACAAUAUUGCUGCUAUAGUGUAUUAGGAAUUUAUGCAUUUAUCUAUGCAUAAGAGAAUGGAUCAAGAAAAGAGAGCAAGCUGGAAUAAAUGGUGUAAAAUUAAAAUCAAAAGUCUCGCUUCUUAGGAUAUGUUUUCAUAUGAUUUUGGUAAAUCACAGGUCAUAACAAUCAGCAAGGAACAACUAUAGAAAGGAAGAGUAUGAUUACUUUUUCAAUUUGAUAUCUCUGGACAUCUUUCCCGGUAUCACAGGAAAGUGUGAAAUAUUGAUUGUCCUCUUGAUAUGGUUCAUUCAGUCAUGCUGACUAACCAAGUUCUAGCACAUGAUAGGAAGCAUAGUUAGGAAUCAAAGGCCAUUGUACAUAUCUAUGAAUUCAGCUUAACAUUGCUUGACAGUAAAUAGUAAAAUCAUUAUUUUAAUAAGUUUUUUAUGUCACUAAACUGCAUGGAAGCAUGAAUGAUCUCAUGGAGGUAUAUUUGGAACUUGGAAAGAGCAAGCCUCCAUUGAAAUACUGUUUUUCUAGGGUUGGGAAAAGGGAAACCUGGAUGCGUCCGAUGCUAGGGCAUAGUCCAUGCCCAAAUGAUUUGGGGCCUCGAAAUCUAGUUUCCUUCCAACUGAGAACUUAAGGUCAAAGAAAGAGAAUGAUGAAGAGAUUCGCAAGUUGAAGAAAUCUAGUUUCCUUCCAUCCGAGAACUCAAGGUUAGAGAAUGAGAAAAAUGAAGAGAUUCACAAGUUGAAGGAAAUACGGAAAGCAACGAAAGAGGAAUUACAAAAGACAAAUGGAGAUGUACAAAAGUUAGAGGCUUAAAAAGAUGUCUACUAUUAAAUAGAAUUGCUAGCAUAAAGCAGCCUUGAAAUGGUCUCCCCAAGAUCUGGAUGAGGUAGCAUGUCACGAGCCUUGAGGUGUGACUAAUUUCAUUCAAUGUUGAAAUAGUGAAAGCUGUUUUAUUUACUAAAUACUAAGUGACUUGGAUAUUGGACACUAAGGUGGUUUUAAAGGGAAUAUUGGGUGCGUUUGGUUCAGCAUUCCCAAUGGGGUUUCAGCCUCCAAAGCCCCUUAAGGAAAUAUUGGACUGUUUGACAACCAUUUUGAAGUAGCUUUCAAGUGAAAGUCAGCAUUGGAAAGGCUGAAACUUAGUUUUUUCUUCCAAAACUAUCUUUGCUAAUUCUUCAAAUUUAUGAUUUUCCCCUCAUUAUUAUUUUUUUAAAUGCCAAAAUAAUGCUAAAAAAUCAUAUAUAUAUAUAUAUAUAUAUAUAUAUAUUAAUGCUAUAUAAAUUAAAUCUACUUUGGUCUUUUUAAAAACAUUAUUUAUAUAUUUGAUUUUUUAGCAUUAUCGUCAAAAUUUAUAUUUAAAAAGUUGCAUACAUUAUUUUUUUCAAUUUUAAACAAAUAAAAAUUAAAAAACUCCAACGAAGGGUUUGGUCUUUUAAAAAAAAUUAUAUGUAUAUGUAUUUGAUUUGUUAGCAUUAUUUUCAAAUUUAUAUUUAAAAAUUCACAUACAUUAUUUUUUUUUCAAAUUUUAAACAAUAAAAAUUAAAAAAUUUCAACGAACUAUUUGGUCUUUUUUAAUAUAUAUAUAUAUAUAUAUAUAUAUAUUAGUAUUAUUGUCAAAUUUUAUAUUUAAAAAGUUUCAUACAUUAAUUUUUUUUCAAUUUUAAACAAUUAAAAAUUUAAAAAUUCUAACGAACUAUUUGGUCUUUUUUUUUUUUAAAUUAUAUAUAUGUAUUUGACUUUUUAGCAUUAUUUUCAAAUUUAUAUUUAAAAAGUUGCAUACAUUAUUUUUUUCAAUUUUAAACAAAUAAAAAAUAAAAAAAUUUCCAGAAAGGACUUGGUCUUUUUAUGAAAAAAUUAUAUAUAUAUAUAUAUAUAUGAUUUUUUUAGCAUUAUUAUGAGAAUUUAUAUUUAAAAAGUUGCAUACAUCAUUUUUUUUCAAUUUUAGGAAAAUAAAAAGUAAAAAAUUCCGAUGAAGGGUUUGGUCUUUUUUUAAAUAAAAUUAUAUAUGUAUUCGAUUUUUUUAGUAUUAUUGUCAAAAUUUAUUUUUAAAAAUUUGCAUAUAUUUUUUUUUUCAAUUUUAAACAAUUAAAAUUUUAAAAAACUAAUAUUAAUCACCCAAAGAGCUAAUUACCUUACACUGCUCUAUUUUUGGCCCUCAAUGCAUUUUUUCUUCUUCUUGCUUUUAAGGUUGGGCUUACAUUUCAUAAUUGAACUUCUCAAGUUUACUACGUUGCAGCAAUGGUUGUGAUUUGUGAACUCCGCCUCUGGGUUUACCGCCAUUCAAUAUUGGUUGUGUUGUUUAUUAGAUGCUUUGGCCACUCAAAACUAUGUGUCUUGUGAUGAAGUGAAUGGAGCUCCUUUGUUCACGUCUUUGCAUUUUUUUCAAGUGAUGGAAAAUGUGGUUGAUCAUGUCUUGCUCGUUCUAUUUUAAGAAGUAAUCUUUUAGUGCAAUCACGCAAUAUCUUGUCUGUGCUUUGAUGUGCUUGCUAGAUUAAUUAUGAGUCCCUCUAUUCAUUAAUUUUAUUAAAUCCUGUGAUCUAAGAGGGCACUAUGAUUCCAUUUCCUACUCUAUUUCACCAGCGAUACAUAUUUCUAAGGCUACAUUUGGUCCUCCAGAUUUCUAAUCAAGAUAUGAAAUCCAAGGAUUUUGCUAUAUCCAAUCCAUCGUUUCGUAAUUAUAGUUAUAAAGUUAGAUAUAUACAUAUCGUAUCAUAUACAUUGUUUGAUAUAAAUGUCAUAUUAGUAUAAAUGAACUAAAAAUUUUACAAAUGGAGAUGGUAAAAAUCUCUUGGAACGCCUUUUGCCUUCUUUAUUUUUAUUUGCUUUUUUAUUUACUUUCCUCUCUUUUUUAAAUUAAUUCCUUUUUAUUUCUUUCUUCCCCCUCUAAUAAAAUUUUAUUAAAUAGUAAACACCACAGAUAUACCUAAAAUAUUAAAAUACCUAAAAUAUAUAUUUAUAUAUUGAAAUUAUAUUAUAAAAUAGAAUUAAAUUUGAAUAUAUAAAUAAAAAUAAGAUUAAUUAAAUUAACUAAAUUGUUAUUUUUUUAUUUUGAAUUUCUUAUACUAUAACUCAAAUAUUAUUUGUAAUGAAGUAUAACUUUAAUUUCGUUAAGUUAAGAAGUUUUUUAUUUAAAAAAAAACUUUCUUUUUAUGGAUAUUAAAAAUCCUAUACACCUUCAUCUAACCUCCCUCAUGGAAUAAUUUUAUCCAAUCCAUAUCUCUUAUAUCUAACUUAAUAUUAUCUUAAGCAGGCAUUAAAUGCAGGAUAUGAUGAAUUCUAUCAUAUCCUAAAUUUUGUCCUGAUUGCAAAAUGCAACCUAAGUGUUAUCUAAUAAAAGAGUUAUAAGAAGAAGCCAUUUAUAAUGCCUCAAGUGUAUUUCAACCCAAUAACCAAGACAUCCCUAACAACGAGACACCACUUUGAAGAGUUAAAUAGGCUAUUUCUAAAGCUUGAAUCAUAUACAUAUGAUCAAGUACAAUUGAGAUGUCAUAUUUCCAAAAUAAACUUAUUCAUCCGAUGAUGUGACUUUAAUCACAAAUUUAUGGUAUUGGUAAGAAAGCUAAAUAAAAGUUGGAAAUAAUGAGAGAAUAUUUUUGGGAAGUUUCCAAAUAAUAACAUGAAAUGCCAUCAAUUUCUCAAAUGAGAGUCAAGGGCCUGAAACGGACCUUGUGUUGAAUAAGGGGCUAAAGUGGCCAUGUCCAUCUUAAAUAAGAGCCUGAAGUAACCAUGGCUAUUUCAAAUAAGGGCCUAAUUUCGUCGAUCAUCAGGAGAUUAUGGGUAUUUUCAUCAAAAUAAAAUUUUAAUUUUAAAUUAUUUUUUCCUUUUUCUCUUUUCUUUUCUUUUUUCUUUCCAAUGAGGGUCACCUUACUGGUGACAGUCAGCCUCACCCAAGGUGAGGCUGUGUCACGCCCUAAUCCUCGGGCACGCACCCAUCCCUCUCCUCGGUCAAUUUAAUAGCGACAUCCCAGAACGCAUCGCCGAUCCUUUUCUUUUUAAUAUACGCAUGCGGAAGCAUAUAAACAAUCAUCAGACAAUAAAACAAUAUGAUAGGAAAGUAGGAUUCCAAAGUUUUACUUUAAAAGCAACCACCCCUAUAUACAUUGCAACUAUAGUGCAAUUAUAUACAAGGUGAAUUGUUAAGUUAGGUUUUAAACCACAAGUUCAUAAAAUAAGGUCUGCAAAAAGGGAAUCGACUCCCAUCAAAAGAGAAUUGCCCUAUGACUAACUAGUCUAAUGGGAUCGUCAAUUCUUCAGGUUUCUCCUUCCACACUUAGGGCCUCUGGUCCUUCACCAAUGCCAACCAAUGACUUGAAAUUUUGUCCCACAACGGGGUGAGACAUUGUCUCAGCAAGUUCAACCCCCUAAACCCUUAUUAGAAAGAAAAUACACCCAAUGGUGGCCUAGCCACACCAUAUAGAGGACUUACCUUGCCUCCGUUCCUUCUUGUAGGUUAGCACAAUUCAAAUCAAUCAAUCACGUUCAUAUCACUCAAGCAUAUAUAGUAAUAGAAUUCAAACAAUUCAAUUACUCGAAUUGACUCAGCGAUCAAUCAUCUCAGUCGAUUACAUGUCACCGAGGUCAUCACACGGUCAUUCUGACUAUUCAUUAUCGACCCUCAAACAUGGCCCUACAGGCGAAUCUAAAUUUAGUGGUAAUCACGGCCUCACUUGGCAAGUUUAGAUUUAGUGGCAUCAUGGCCCCACUCGGCACGACCUUUAAUAGGUGGUAGAUCACAGAUUUAGUGGCAUCACGGCUACACUCGACAACUUUCAAUAUUUAGCGAUUUUACGGUUCCACUCAAACUUUCCAUAUUUAGUGGCUUUACGGUCCCACUUGACCCUUUUAAAAUUUAAUGGCUUUACGGUCCUACUCGAGCCUUUUAAGAUUUAAUGGCUUUACGGUCCCACUUGACCCUUUCAAGAUUUAAUGGCUUUACGGUCCCACUCGACCCUUUCCAUAAAUCUCACCAUUUUCUGUAGCCUACCAAAACAUUUUUGGCAUUGUCAACCGAUGCCUGGUUAUUUUUCGAUUAAUAACCAAAGAUUAUUCAAUUUAGGAUUAAUCCUUAAAUCACUCAUAAAUCAAUUUAGCACAAAAUAAAGCUCAAAUAAACAAACGGACUACACCACGACGAUCAACAUAAAAUUCCAGUCACCGGCCAUCCCUACCUAAUUUUCGGAAAAUAGUUAAUUAAUUAAAUUUAUUUCAAAAAUUAAAUAAAAUAAUAUCCAUAUUUUUCACAAUCCACACUCAAUUUAUAAUAUCCAACCAUCAAUUUCAAAAUAUGAAUACACAGCAGCGAUCAGCACGAAAUUCUAAGAAUAUAGGGUCCCGACACAAUUUUCAGAAUUUAAUAAAUAAUUAAAUUUAUUCCGAAAAUUAAUUAUAUAAUAAUAUUAUAAUAAUUUUCGUAAUAUAAUAUAUUAUUAAAUAAUCCAAUAAUUUCGAAACAUUUAUUUAAAUCAAAAUUAAAUUCCUUUAAGUCACAUCAAGACUUAUAUUAAUAUAAACAUCCACUUAGCCCUAAAUUAAACACACUUUAAGUUAAUCAAACACCUCAGUCUAAUCUACACUUAAAUAAAUUAAACCAACCACCUAAUAACACUUAACAUAAACUAAACCUUCCUAAGCAUAAUUAACCAUGUAAUCAAGAUUUAGUGAGUUAAACUCACCCGAUCAACGAAUCGAUCAAACCAAAACGACGGGGUCGUCAUGAGAAUCGACUUUCCUUAAGGCAGGCCAAACAUUUGGGGUCGGGAAGUCGGCCAAAACGGGCCAAAACUGGGUUGAGAUACCCAAUAAACCAGCUGCGGUUUGGGUCGAGAUGGGGCGGAUCCAGUGGUGGUUCGGGCGGACAAACGGCGGAAGAGAGGAGCGGUAGCUCAGUCGUGGCUCACGGCGGCCAGGCGGGGCCUCCGGCAGCCUUGACCACGACGAACGGCGGCUGGACAAUGGAGGGAUGAUGACUGGAUGGCGGACGAAGCGGAGACGGUGCGACAGUGGAACGUCAAGUGUGCGCGCUAGGCUUCGCGCGCGGACGGGCGGCGAUGGCAAUGGCUCGGUGACGUGCGGCGGCAUUGAAUGGGCGGAGGGGGCGUGCGUGCGGGCUGGGCGAGCUGCUGGUUUCCAUUCAGCCUUCUCUCUCCUCCAACCAAGUUCCAAGACAACCUCCUUGAAUCAAGGAAGAAGAUGAAGUGAAAGCCCACCUUUUCAAGAACCAAUCUCCACCCUCCACUUGUAAAGAUCCUAGCCACACAAGCCUCACCAUGACAUCACUUGAUAAUGUCACACUCCACUAUCUCCAAUCUCCCACAACCUUAUCAUAAUUGGUCCAAUUUCAUUUUCCGCCAUGGCAUGAAAUCUUGAACAAUAAUUUAUUCAAUUCCUUUCAAUUGUCACGCCCCGAUCCUCGGCCGCGCGCACAUCCUUCUACUUGGUUGAUUUUAUAAUGCGAUAUCCCAGAACUAUGUAUCGCCGACCCUUUCUUUUUAUUAAGCACAUGCGGAAGCAGUUAUAAAUCCCCAGACAAUAAAACAAUGGGAUAGGAAAGUAGGCCAUAUUUUUCAUAUUGAAAUUCACAACCACACUUUCAUUAACAGCACAACUCAUAGUAUAUUUACAAUACUAUUCACAACAUACUUGUCUCACACCUAUCUAUACUAAGACAGGGUUUACAAAAAGGAUGGGAUCUCAAUCCACAUCCGGGUCAUAUUUAAGAUCCCUCUUUGGAUCAUCUUCUUCUUCAAAAGUCUUUCUCCUCUUCAGGUUCCUCUUCCUUAGAUUCUUCUCAGGGUCCUGAAAUGGUUAUUUAAUAACCAAUGAGACCACGUCUCAGCGAGUCCUACCCACUAAGACUCGAUUAAUAAACUAAUACGCCAUACGGUUGCCUAAGCACAACACGAGUCAGAGGACUUACCUUGGCCUCAGUUCCAACCUGCAAUUCAAGGUUAAACAUAGAUAUUCAAACAAUUCACGACAUUCGAUCAAGCACUGGUCAAUCGACUAAGUCGAUUACAUGUCAAUUAGACCCUCUCUAGGUCAUUCCCACUCAUACCAUGCUUUCCCAGUGGUGUACUCAUUCACCAAAUCACAUGUGUUUCUCGGGCGUCGUUUUCGCCAAUGACAUACCGAUCACCGACACCGUGCGUUCUUUAAGGCGCCGUUUUCACCAGUGAUAACCUCGAUCACCGAACCACAUGUCCUUUCAAGGGCGCCGUUUUCGCCAAGGUGACAUCGGCUAUAGACAACAUCGUGAGUUCUUUAAGGCGCCGUUUUCACCAGUGAUAUUCCCAUAACCACCGAACCACGUUUGUCUAUAAGUCAUUUACGUGCGUUCUUUAAGGCGCCAUUUUCGCCAGUGAUACUCCCAAUCACCGAACCACGUAUGUCCAAUAAUAUCAUAUCUGAUUAGUCUCAGCCAAUAACAUUCUCAGUUAGCUCUCACCGCUCUCCCUACUAUAUAGCCCAUCGACGUACUGGCGCUAUAUACCCAUGCUUGGCCAUUACCAAUCAAAUAUUCAAUAACAAACAAUUUAGGACAAUUCCUAAAAUUCCACAAUAAAUUCAAUUCCACACAACGUAGAGCUCAAUUAAAUAAACGGACUGCACCACGACAAUCGGCACGAAAUUCCGGUCAUCGGCCAUCCCGGUUGAAUUUCCAGAAAAAUAAUUAAUUAAAUAAAUGAAUUUCGAAAAUAAAUAAAUAAAUAUUAAAAAUCCAAUUUAGGCCCAUAUUGCCUUAUUGGAGCCCGAAACGGGUCGGGAAAAUCCCGAGAUGCAUUCAAUAAAUAACCAAACAUUUCUACUUGCUAAUAGCUAGGUCUAACCACCUAACAUGCAUGACUUAACAUGCAUUAUUAAGUCACUAAAUUAAUUGUUCUAACCUAAUCUAACCACCUAAGUGCAUGUAAUUAAAUCUAACCAACCCUAAGACAUAAUUAGCAAACUAAUAAAGCAUUAGUGAGUAAAACUCACUUGACAAAAGCGGAGACCGAAUCACCGCAACGGCGACGCGACGGCGGCCGAAAUCGGACUUUCGACGACACCGGCAAACUUGGACGGGCCUUGAGCUUGGCCCCACAAAUCUCAACCCAACUGAGAUUUAUUCCUGCUUUUGGGCUAAACCCAAGGUGGGCUGGGCCUGCUGAAUUGCUGGACUGAACUAACUUGGGCUGCAAAUUGAGGGCUGAACUUGGGCCUCAAUUCUAUAGGCUUGAAGACUGAACUUCGUGGGCUGAGCUGGGCUGCUGGAUUGCGAGGGCUUGCUGAAGGAUCGGUGGACUGGGCUUCGCUGGUGUGCGGCUUCAAUUGAUGCUGCGAAGAUCUUGGCUUCUCUGGAUGGCGUGGCUGGAGACGCACGAAGCAGCGAAGACGAAGUUGCUCGCAGACGUUGGGCCAGGUGGCGUCGUGGGCAACCAAGCGUGGAAAUUGCAGUCAACAAUCUGACUAAGAAGUUGCAGCGUUUUGUCGCUACUGGGCAGAACUUCGUGGCCUGCGAGGAAGAAGCGGACGAACCGCUUUGGUCUUCGGAUAAUGAGGCUUCUGUAGUCAACAAGAUGGAAUCUCGGUGGAGUUUGAUUCGUGGUAGAAGAGAGGGUAACAACGGCGGAAUUUCGGUGGGUUUCAACAGCAGAAAAUUUAAAGGAAGGGUUGACCGAAGAAGUGGAAGACGCCUGGCAGCUUGUAGGUGUUGCUGGCUGCUUCUGCUUUCAAUGUUUCUUCGCUGCUGGCUUGUGCGAGGAGACGGAGCGGUGGAGAAUGAAGUUGACUGGAGGAGCAGCUGGCGUGCGCUGGAUCUUCGAGAGACGUCGCUGCAGGGCUUCUUCAACGCUUCAGCAGCUUGGUUUUUGUUCGCGAGCUAGCGUGGCCAAAAGAGGAGCACGAACAAACUGCAGCUCCAGUUUUCUUCAGCUGCUGAUGGAGGUGUCGCCAGAAUUGGGAAUGAUGGAAGGGAAACAUCUCACGGCAGCAAGAUGGAGAGGAUGAGGGAGAGUUGGGCUCCACUUGCUUGGAUAUUUAGCAAAAUAUCUUCCUAAAGCCAUUCUUAGCCAUGCAUUAAUACUUGGCCUUCAAUAGGCCAUCCAAAUGUCCUAUAUAACCUCCCAAGUGGUCCAAUUUUGCUAGGCUAAAGGGGGGUUACGAAAUUGAGAGAGAGAUGGCCUCAAUUGAUUCUAAAUCCCUCUUGAUUUCAUUUCAAUUGAUUCUCAUAAUUUCAAUUGAUCAUUCAUUGAUCGUCUCUGCGUUUUUCCUCAUUCAAGAAUCCACCAAAAAUCCAAAUUGAUACCAAUGUUGCACACCCCCAUCUUAAGAUUCGAUUUUUAACUAAGGCGAACUAAACUUCAAUUCCAAUCUCUCCAAAUUGAGGUCCAAUUUCUCUGAAGGAAAAUCUCGUACAAUCUUCUGCAUUUCCUGGACACUCAUAGGCUCGGCCUGAAAAUCCAAAUUUCCUUUAAUUUGGCCUAUCCAACUUUCUGUUGAUUUUUCGCGGCGUCCGAACCCAUUUUCCGUAAAAUUUCCCGAAUCUCCGAAAAUCUUUUGAGACUGAGUCGAUGCUCUUAAAAUUUAUUGUGACAUGGCCAAAACUUCAAUUUCUGAAAUCGGACUCAAAUUGGUGGUUAAUUUUCAUUCGGCGCGUUUUUAGCGUGACCUAGACCAUCGGGUAGUUUUCAGAACUUUUUAAGGCAAAUGACCCGUGGUCAAUUUUCUUCGAGCCACUAUGAACCCACUCGACUCAAUGGCGACUUUUGAUUGUCGUGAAAAUCUCGAUGAUUCAAUUACGGACACAGGGUACCAAAAUAAUAAGAAAAUUAGUCUAGUGUCGGCCGAUGAGAAUUUUCUAAUUCAGUGGUGUCACCCACGAUUAGUCACAUAUCUCUAUCGAUCCAGUCUAUCUCUGAUUUCAAAUCGAUUUUUAACUGUGCCGUAGUGAUCUCUAAAGAUGGACACGGUCAAGAAGCCGAUUCCUGAUCGAGUUCUCAAGUCUAUUGCCGUAAAAUUCCUUAAUAAUUUCCCCAGAUAGUCUAGUUAUCUCAAGAGUGAUCGGCUCUGAGAAUAACCCUAUAGACGCGUCAAUGAAAUGCCCGAUUUAUUCAGUAGAAGACAGGGUUGAAAAUUUAGGAUGUCACAUCAAUUCUCUUCCAAUUGAGUCCAAUUGAAGUCCAUAAACUAAUCCAAUGUUGCCACACUUUAAUUCACAUAAUUACUUGACCAUAGAACCAACUUGAGUCCCAAAAGCACGACCAAAAGCGGGCUUACUAAUUUCUCGAGCCAAAUUAACCAUACUUUGAUUAAUUUGUUGAAAAACUCUAUUUGUAUGAAAAAUCCUCCGAAGAUGAGUUAUUGUUCCUUAAAUGAUUUGUGACACACCAAGACUUUUAAUUUCUGAAUUCGAUUUUAAUUUCACGGUUAAUUUCACUCUGGCAUGAUACUAGCGCUUCCUGAUCUACCGAGUAACUUUUAGAAAUUUUCGUGCAUUUGACUCGUGGUUGAUCAAUUCAAGCCACAAUGUACAUCUUUGACACAUUGGUGACUCUCGGUUGUCGUGGUAAUCUCAAUGUUUCAAAUAUGGACACAGGGUAUCCAAACGACAAAAAAGCCGAUCUAAUGCCUAUCAACAAGAAUUGUGCAAUCUGGUGGAAUCACCCACACUCGAUCACAUGCCUCUGUCAAGUCGACAUAUCUCCGGUCUCUAAUUGAUUUUUAACUGUGCUGUAAUGAUCCUUGCAGAUUAACUCGAUCAAAAGGUCGUUUCCUAGUCAAAUUAUCGAGUCCGAUGCAUUAAAAUUUCUUAACGGCUUCACCUGAUAGAUUAGUUAUCCCAUGAGUGAUCAAUUCAUGGAAAAGAACUAUAUGCGUGCAAAUGAAAUGCCCAUUUCAAUUUACUGAAAAUAGAAUUGGAAAAUCGGGAUGUCACAACUCUUCCCCUCUUAUAACAAUUUCGUCCUCGAAAUUUAAACCUUUACCGAUUCUUAAACAAAAAGGUGGGAGUACAAUCGUCUCAUCGAAUCUUUUCUUUUCCUAGUUGCUCUUUCUGUACUGCGGUAAUGCCAGAUCACUUCCAAACUUGCAAAAAUUUUGGUUCCCUUUCUUUUAUUUUUAUCUUUCCACUAAACGGCUAACUAUCGUGUCGAGGAUUCAAACUCUUGACUUUGGACCUUUUUCUUCAUUCCCGGGUACCACUCGGCUAAAGGUGCCAAUAGUGUCUCGAAUCGCUUUCUUUGUCCAUUUGAAGUCAAAAGUUUUUUUUUUUUUAACCCAAUUUUCGAAGGAUUCCGAUUUAAGUACCAUUUCAACUUUCCUUUCUUAACAAAGCGCAAUGUCCCUAUCAUAGGCGACAUCCAAGGAAGAAUAUGAUUCCCAACUUGAAACUCCAAAGGUCUUCAACACAAAAUUCGCGAAGCUAAAUUGGCGAUUCUAAGCGGUCUUUACUCUAUCUCUGAUAACUACAACUGAAUCAUUAAUUUCUGAACCAACUUUGAACUUGCGAUUUUCUGAUCUCUAACCUCAACUCAACCAACUGAAGUUUUGUACGCUUUACUCUGCUCUGCUUCAAAAGGAACCAUUUGAAAACUCGGCUGGCAACUGUUGCUGUAAGUGAACUUAACGAGAAGGAGUUGUUCUUUUCCACUUCCUUUGAAAACCAACCCACAUGCUCUCAACCUGUCCUCAAAGGUCUGAAUUGUCCUUUAAGACUAGUCAUCCAUUUGAGGAUGAUAAACAUUACUAUACUGUAACUUCGUUCUCAAAGCACUUUGCAAACUUUCCCAGAAGAUAGCCACAAACCUCGGGUCUCAAUCUAAUGUAAUCAUCAUCGACACUCCAUGCAGAUGAACUCUCUAAUGCACGUACAAUUCUGCGUGCUUGUCCAGAACGGGGUCAUUUCGUACGGCGAUGAAGUGAACCGACUUCAACUAUAUGUUGACCACAAUUUCAAUCAAAAUCAUUACCCUUCUGGUUCCUUGUUAAACCCGUCACCAGAUCUACCGUGACACGAUCCCAUUUUCACAUUAGGGAUUUCGAGAGGUUACAAGAGUCCUCUCUAUUUACAAAGCUAUGUCUUCACUCGCUACUAUGUCACACAUUUGGCGACAUGGUUGGCGAUGUCUGUCUUCAUACUAGACCACCGGUAGUGUUGACACAGAUUCUGAUACAUCUCGGUGGUACCAGGAUGAACGAUGUAACUACUACGAUGAGCUUCUAACAAGAUCUCUUCUCUAAGUGCUACAUCGUCACGUACACAUAAUCAUCCUCGGAACUUUAGUGUUCCGUCAUCAAAAUCUGGAAGUCAAGCUUCUCUCUUUUCUGCAUCUGCUUGCACGAUCUUCUGAAUCUCUGGAUUUGUCGGCUAAAGCAUUCUGAUUUUGACUUGCACUUCUAGCUCAAUUCUGAGGGUGGCCAUAAGAGUCUAAAGGUGGCCAACCUCAAAUUUAAAACCCGAAUCUUGUGCCUUCUCAAUUAAAACCCAUUCCUUAAGUACCAUCUAUGCUAUGAUGACUUCCAACUUAAGGCAUCUGCGACCUUAUUUGCUUUUUUGUUUUUCCUAGGGUAUACCGAAUAUCACAAUCCUAGUCCUUCCAAAGUUCCAACUAGCGACGCUGUCUCAUAUUCAACUCCUUCUGAGAGAGUAAGUACUGGAGAGUUUGCUGGUCAGUGAAGAUUUGGAAUCUUUCUCCACAUAGAUAAUGCCUCCAAAUCUUCAAGGCAAAGAUGAUUGCUGCGAGCUCUAAGUCAUGUGUUGGAUAAUUUAACUCAUGAGGUCUCAACUAACGGGACGCAUAUGCAACGACCCUACCAUGCUGCAUCAAUACACAACCCAGUCCUUUAAACGACGCAUCACUGUAGAUCUCAAAUCCUCCUAGACCCAAUGGAAUAGUAGCACAGGUGCAGUAGUUAGCUUCUACUUAAGCUCUUGGAAACUACUUUCGCACUUAUCUGACCACACAAACUUUUCUUCAUUCUUCAGAAGUCUUGUCAUUGGUGAUGCUAACACUAAAAACCUUUCUACAAACCAUCUGUAAUACCUUGCUAAACCCAAAAAACUUCUGAUCUUUGUCACUGUGGUCGGUCUUGGCCAAUUGAUCAUUGUCUCUAUCUUGGGCUGGAUCCACUAAGAUUCCUUCUCUGGAGAUGACGUGACCUAGGAAAGCCACACGAGUAAGCCAAACUCGCACUUACUGAACUUGGCGUACAGCUUAUGAUCUCUCAAAAUCUGGAGCACUAUCCUUAGGUGCUUUUCAUGAUCUUUAGUACUCCUCAAGUACACUAGGAUGUCGUCAAUGAACACUAUUACGAACUGAUCCAAGUACUCAUUGAACAUACAGUUCAUCAAAUCCAUGAAAGCAGCUAGGGCGUUCGUCAACCCAAAUGGCAUUACAGUAAACUCAUAAUGGUUGUAUCGAGUGCGAAACACUGACCUCAAUAUAACCUCAUUUCUAAUCCCUAGCUGAUGACACCAUGUCCUCAAGUCGAUCUUAGAGAACAUUGACACCCUUGGAAGCUUAUCAAACAAGUCAUCGAUCCUCGGCAAUAGAUACUUGUUCUUGAUCGUCACCUGAUUGAGUUAUUGAUAGUCAAUGCAUAGGCGUAACGAACCCUUUUUUUUUCGCAAACAGAACUGGUGCUCCCUAAGGUGAUACACUAGGGCGUAUAAAUCCCCUUUCCAACAAUUCUUGUAUCUGCACUUUCAAUUUUUUCAACCCUAACAACGCCAUCCAGUAAGGAGUCUUAGAGACUGGCUCUGUUCCGGGUGCUAAUUCAAUCACGAACUCUAUUUCUCUUUCUAACAACAGACCUGGCACUUCUUCAGGAAUUAUCUCAGAAAACUUCGGUACCACGAUUAGGUUCUCCAUACUUUACCAAAAUUCUGUUGUGCUACCCUAAUAAAUUCACCCUAAAACAUUCUUCCUCUGAUCGAUGCAUGGUUCGAUUCAUUUUUUUUUCCUUUCGCCAUCCUAGUGGCGCCCUAACUAUGGUAGCAGUGUUGGUGCUCUCCUGGACCUAUGAGGAUAGUUCCUCACUUGAUGGCUGUGCUAGCCACAUCCAUAGCACGCUCCCGUUAUACCUGGACACUGAAUCAAUCCAUGUUUCCUUCUACAAACUCGGCACCUGUUUGGUGAGUCCUCUACCUCCUGUCGGAUGAUAGCAUGCACCAUUUCUUGCACCAGGGGUUUGUUCCAAGUACCCCACUAAAUGUCCUGAAGCAUAUUUCCUCUGUUUAGUUCUAUUGACGAUGGUGACAGAAAUAGCUGUGGUUCCAUCUAUCUGUAUGGACAACCCUUGAUUUGGCCAUAUUGGUGACACUUGUAACAAGUCUUUUCCUUUUUACAGCACGGGACAGGUCCAUGUCUUUUCUUACAGACACAACACACAUCGAUUGAGUUGGGCAUUGACUUUCCAAUUCUACUCUUUCGUUUGGGUGAAAAGGGGCACCUUUCUUCUGACAUUGGCCUUUCUUCCAAUCGAUUUCCUUCUACACUUAGGGCCUCCGGUCCUUCACCAAUGCUAACCAAUGACCUGAAAUUUUGGCCCACAACGGGGUGAGACAUUGUCUAAGCAAAUUCAACCCCCUAAACCCUUAUUAAAAAGAAAAUACACCCAAGAGUGGCCUAGCCACACCACAUAGACUUACCUCGCCUCCAUUCCUUACUGCAAGUUAGCACAAUUCAAAUCACUCAAUCACGUUCAUAUCACUCAAGCAUAUACGGUAAUAGAAUUCAAACAAUUCAAUUACUCGGAUCGACUCAGCGAUCAAUCGAUUCGGUCGAUUACAUAUGAUCGAGGUCAUCACAUGGUCAUUCUGACUAUUCAUUCUCGACCCUCAAACACGGCCCUAUAGGCAAAUCUAAAUUUAGUGGUAAUCAUAGCCCCACUCAACAAGUUUAGAUUUAGUGGCAUCACGGCCCCACUCGGCACGACCUUUAAUAUGUGGUAGAUCACAAUUUUAGUGGCAUCACGGCUACACUCGGCAACUUUCAAUAUUUAGUGGCUUUACGGUCCCACAAGACAAUUUCCAUAUUUAGUGGCUUUACGGUCCCACUCGACACUUUCCAUAUUUAGUGGCUUUACGGUCCCACUCGACCAUUUCAAAAUUUAAUGGCUUUACGGUGCCACUCGACCCUUUCAAGAUUUAAUGGCUUUACAGUCCCACUCGAUCCUUUCAAGAUUUAAUGGCUUUACGGUCCCACUCGAUCCUUUCAAGAUUUAAUGGCUUUACGGUCCCACUUGACCCUUUCAAGAUUUAAUGGCUUUACGGUCUCACUCGACCCAUUCCAUAAAUCCCAUCAUUUUCUAUAGUCUACCAAAAUAUUUUUGGCAUUGUCAACCGAUGCCCGGUUAUUUUUCAAUUAAUAACCAAAGAUUAUUCAAUUUAGGAAUAAAUCCUAAAAUCACUCAUAAAUCAAUUUAGCACAAAAUAAAGCUCAAAUAAAUAAACGGACUACACCACAACGAUUAGCAUAAAAUUCCGGUCACCGACCAUCCCUACCUAAUUUCCAAAAACUAAUUAAUUAAUUAAAUUUAUUCCAAAAAUUAAAUAAAAUAAUAUCCAUAUUUUUCACAAUCCAUUCUCAAUUUAUAAUAUCCAACCAUCAAUUUCAAAAUCUGAAUACACAGCAGCGAUCAGCGUGAAAUUCUAAGAAUAUAGGGUCCUGACACAAUUUUCGGAAUUUAAUAAAUAAUUAAAUUUAUUCCGAAAAUUAUUUAUAUAAUAAUAUUAUAAUAAUUUUCGUAAUAUAAUCUAUUUUUAAAUAAUCCCAAUAAUUUCUAAACAUUUAUUUAAAUCAAAAUUAAAUUCAUUUAAGUCACAUCAAGGCUUAUAUUAAUAUAAACACCCACUUAGCCCUAAAUUAAACACUUUAAGUUAAUUAAAAACCUUAGUCUAAUCUACACUUAGAUAAAUUAAACUAACCACCUAAUAACACUUAACAUAAACUAAACCUCUCUAAGCAUAAUUAACCCUGUAAUCAAAAUUUAGUGAACUAAACUCACCCGAUUAACGAACCAAUCGAACCAAAAUGACGGGGUCGUCGUGGGAAUCGACUUUCCUCAAGGCGGGCCAAGCAUCCGAGGUCGGGAAGCCAGCCAAAAUGGGCCAAAACCAAAUUGUGAUACCAACUAAAACCAGCUGCGGUUUGGACCAAGACGGGGCGGAUCCGGUGGUGGUUCGGGGGGAGAAAUGGCGGAGGAGAGGAGCGGCAGCUCGGCGGUGGCUCACGACGACCUUGAAAACGACGAACGGUGGCUAGACAAUGGAGGGAUGACGGCUGGAUGGCGAACGAAGCGGAGACGGCGUGAUAGUGGAACGAUGAGCGCGUGGAUAGGCGGCGACACCGACGGCUCCGGUAACAUGCGGUGGCAUCGAGCGGGCAGAGGGGGCGUGCGUGCGAGCUGGGCGAGCUGCCGGUUUCCAUUCAGCCUUCUCUCUCCUCCAACCAAGUUCCAAGACAACCUACUUGAAUCAAGCAAGAAGAUGAAGUGAAAGCCCACCUUUUCAAGAGCCAAUCUCCACCCUCCACUUGUCAAGAUCCUAGCCACACAAGCCCCACCAUGACAUCACUUGAUGAUAUCACACUCCACUAUCUCCAAUCUUCCACAACCUUAUUCGAAUGGGUCCAAUUUCAUUUUCCGCCGUGGCAUGAAAUCUUGUACAAUAAUUUCUUCAAUUCCUUUCAAUUCUUUUUCAAUUGAGUCCAAUUGAAGUCCAUAAAUUAAUCUAAUGUCACCACACUUUAAUUCACAUAAUUACUUGACCAUAUAACCAACUUGAGUCCCAAAAGCACGACCAAAAGCAGGCCUACUAAUUUCUCGAGCCAAAUUAACCAUACUUUGAUUAAUCCUCCGAAGAUGAGUCAUUGUUUCUAAAAUGAUUUGUGACACACUAGGACUUCCAAUUUCUGAAUUUGAUUUUAAUUUCAUGGUUAAUUUCACUCUAGCAUGAUACUAGCGAGUCCAGAUCUAUAGGGUAGCUUUUAGAAAUUUUUGUACAUUUGACCUAUGGUUGAUCAAUUCAAGCCACAAUGUACAUCUUUCACACAUUGGCGACUCUCGGUUGUCAUGGUAAUCUCAAGGUUUCAAAUACUGGCACAGGGUACCCAAACGACAGAAAAGCCGGUCUAGUGUCUAUUGACAAGAAUUGUGCGAUCUUGUGGAAUCAUCCACCCUCGAUCACAUGCCUCUGUCGAGUCAACCUAUCUCCAAUCUUUAAUUGAUUUUUAACUGUGCCGUAAUGACCCUUGCAGAUUAGCUCGGUCGAAAUGUGUGGCAUCCUAAAAUUUCAUAGCUACUCCUAAAUAUACCAUGAACCAUGAAUAGGUGAUGGAAGCGCCAUUGGAUUUUACUAUAGCCAUUAGACCAAUGAAUUACAAUAGAUGAAGGCCAAGCAUUUGAAUGGACAAUGAUUUGGUUGGGAAUAUAUUCUAUGUCCAAGUGUGAUUAAGGAUGGCACUAAAGGAUUAUUUGAUAAGGAAAAGAUGUUCUUGGCCAUGUACUUUAUAAGUUGGAUUUUAUUGAUUUAUAUUACAAAGUUUUAUGGCCAUAUAAAUUAUAACUAUGUAUUUAUAUAUUAUAACUAUGUAUUUAUAUAAGUGGGGAUUAAAUAGGAAAAUUAGAGAAGGAGUGGGCUGAUUUUCUUAAAGCCCAAAACCAGCCCACAAAAACCCCCAUUGUUCGGCCACUAAGGCCUAGCCCAUGAAGCCCAAAGGGGCUGCUGUCGAUCGAAGGAGGGAGAGGCCCGGCCCAUUGAGUCCAUCAUCUUGCAUUAGAAAAGUGACAAGUGGCAAGAGAGAACAACCAAGUGGCAAUUGCAUGCAAUCUAAUGAUUACUAAUCAUUGUUGAAGAGAAGAAAAAGAGAGGGAGAGGGGGCGGAGUGAGCGAGGAGUAUCGAAAGAGAGAGAGAGAGAGAGAGAGAGAGAGAGAUGUCGCGCGAGAGAGAGGAAGACCGAGUGAGCGUGCGAGAGAGGAAGGGAAGAAGAAGACCUGUUGCCGCCGUGCAUGUGCCUAGUUGCCGCCGUCGAGCCGCCUUGCCCUGCCGUUGUGUUGCUGUGAUUUUCUUUGGAUUUGAGGCAAGUAGAGUCCGUUAGCCUACAUUUUUCUUGAUGUGGUUGUGUGUGAAGUGUAAUGGGUGUUGGAAAUGCUUGGGUUGUGAUGUUGAAUGUUAGAAAUUCGAGUGAAUGGUGGUAGUUUUCCAAGCAAGCUGUUGCAUGUAGGAACAGUCCGACUCCUCGUGAUUUCGUGAAUUUUAUGAAAUUAUCCCGUUGAAAUUCGGUUUUGUGUUCUUGAGGAGUAACAUACUAAAAUUUGAGAAGAAACGGACAAGUAUUGGUCGGUGAAAUGAUUUUCCUUUGAAGUGUUAGAUCUGGAAAUCGUUACCGAGGGUUAGGGGGAGUUUUGGUGAAUGUAGCUCAUGAUCUAUAAUGAAUAUGACUUUGAGUUCUUCACAAAAAUUUUACCUUUAGGUCUUGGUUAUGACAUAUCAAAAUUUUAGAAUUUUCUGAGUUGAUUUAGGGUUUAUACCGAAUUUAUGAAUAAAACUGUGCAAGGGUGAUGUUCCGAAACUUUAAGUUGUGAUGCAUGGACUGUAGUGACUCGUACGAAGCUCUUUUGAUAUGGUGUCCUUCAUGAAACAUUUUUCUCUAGAUAUUUUUUAUAAUAUGUUAAAUUUUCAGAAUUUAUUGAGAUCUUUUACUAAUUUUUCCAGAAUUUUUAUUUAAGGAGUGUAUUCUGCUUUGUCCGAAAAUUUGCUCCAUUUUCAAGAACAAAUGAAUUGCUUUAUGAAGUGUGAUAUCUUGGGUGUUAUUUGUAUUGCAUAUAUGGUGACAUUUGGCAUACCACAUGACAUCAAAAAGGCUGGUUUAAACCUCUGACAUUGUUGCAUCAAAUGUUAAAUUGAAAAUGAGAUAUAUAUGUGAAUAUGCAUUGUGAUGAUGAUAGUACCGUCGGAGGUGUGAGCCGACGAUGCCCCACGAGUGUCGAGAUGCCCAGAGUGUGUGUGCCAGAUGUCCUUGGGAGUUUCAAGAUGCCCAGAGUGUGGGUGCCAGAUGCCCGGAGGUGUGUGCCGGAGGUUCCUCGUGAUGUCAAUUGGGGUACGAGAUGCCCGGAGUGUGUGUGCCGGAUGCCCGAAGGUGUGUGCCGGAGGUUCCUCGCGAUGUCAGGUUGGGUGCGAGCGAUAUAUAUAUGGGAUGCAAACAAUGAUCCCUGGAAGAAAAUAAGAUCCUUUUGAGAAUUAAAAUUGGGAAUUGAAUCAUGUGCAUGUGUGUGCAUAUGGCAUGGUGCACGAAUUGUCUAUGAAAUUGAAUUGGUACUAUUUGGCAUUGAGAAUGCGGUCAUGAAGGCAUUGAAUGGAUCUCAUGAGGAUAUGUAUACAUGAUUGUGUGGAUGACAUGAAUCAUGCGUAUGGGUGUGUGCAUAUGGCAUGAGAUAUAAUUGCCCACGAAUCUUGAAUUGGUAUCGUUUGGCAUGGGAAAUGUGAUUAUCAAGAUUAUGAAUGGAUCUCAUUGAGACAUAUGAAUGAUAGCAUGGAUGAUAUGUGCAUUUCACAUGAAAUCGUGGUUGUCUUCCUUGUUGCAUUAUGUAGUUUGAUGGAUCUUUACUGCUGAGUGGUUGUGCUCACCCCUUUUGGGGACUAACAUUUCAGAUUGAGAGAUGCCUCUAUCACCUAUCACGCAUGGUACAUUUUAUAGCCUACCGUCUGAUGUUGAGGUCAUGUGCUCGGAGCACCCCUGCGUUGGUGUUCAUGGUCUGGUGUUUAUCCGCGUCCGUGUUUUGGUUAUGUAUGAUAUAGGCCUACCUGAUGGCCCCGUAGUCCAGGAGUUCCCAUCCGUCCAUGUUCGUCAAGACGGGAGGAUAAUGGGGAUGCUGCCGCCCCCAUCGAUCGAUGCACCGGGCUAGGUGUGAUAGGAGCGUGUGAUUGGUGGAGGUUGACACUUUUUGGAUAGUGGACACUGGGAUGAUGGAUUGAUAUACUUGUCAGAUGUAGAGUCGGGUUCUUUUGGGUUUUAGCCGAGCUUAGUUAAAGCCUUGGCCUUUUGUUGUACCGACUCAUGAUGUCCAUCAAAGUAUGUAAAUAAAAGUGGUUCGGCAUUAGCUUCUAUAUAUAUGAAAAGUGUAGUUGGUGUGCAUUGCAUUGUAUUAUUUAGUUUAAGUACGAGUUAGGGAGAUGUCAAGUGUGCUUCCGUUAUAUGAACUGCGCUGGGACUGAUUAAGAAAAUAUAAACCCCCAGGAUUUAUGGACCCACUAUAAUUAAAUGGUAUCAGAGUGACAUGUUAUUAAGACAAGCGAAAGGCAAGCGAGCUGUGGCGACCCUGGCGGAUCGGGGGCCAUGUCGAGGGGUGCCACAAAAGGUCGUUUCCUAUUCAAAUUCUCGAGUCCGAUGCAUUAGAAUUUCUUAACGGCUUCACUUGAUAGACUAGUUAUCCCAUGAGUGAUCAGUUCAGGGAAAGAACUAUAUGCGUGUAGAUGAAAUGCCCAUUUCAAUUUACUGAAAAUAGAAUUGGAAAAUCAGGAUAUCACAGGAUGUCCCUCGCUUAUGGAUGGUGAGGACGGCCCUCACCAAAUUGGGGGAGGGCGACCCUCACUCGGCCCUUUUCAGGCAUCAUCGAUGGUCGAGUCGGCCAUUGGCGAAGAAGAAAGGGAAAACCAUAAAAAAGAAAGAAGGAAAAGAAUAAAAGGAAAAAAGAAAAAAAGAAUUAAAAAUGAUAACUGACAAAAUUACCUUUUACCAAUUGGAUAGUCAGGCUCUUCUUUGAAAUUAAUAUAGCCACUUCAAGCUUUUAUAUUAAAGAAAAUCCAUUUUACACUCUUAUUUAAGAAAAUGACGGCACUUUGGGUUCUUGGGAUAAGUACACUAAUGGUGCCAUAAGUUGUGUACAGCGCUCACUUUGGUGCCAAAAGUUUCCGUUGGAUCACUUAAGUGCCAAAAAAUUUGAAAAAUGCUCACUUUGGUGCCAACGUCGAUCUAAACUGCCGGAAAUUCGACGUGCCCUUUUUUUAAUUAAUUUCUUAUACUGAUGUGGCUCGCUCGAGAGUCCAGUCAGCAUGUAAACCACCAAACGACGUCGUUUGGCGUCUUAAACCCCAAGUCGAAACCCUAAAUUCCCAAAUCGAGAGAGAGAGAGAGAGAGAGAGAGAGAGAGAGAGACCAUGGCGGCGGCGUUGUCUUCUUCCCUGAAGAACAACACCAGCAGAGAGAGAGAAGCCAUGGCAGCAUCGUCUUCUUCUUCUCUGAAGAACAACACCAUCAGAGAGAGAGAGAGAGAGAGAAGCCAUGGCGAUGUCGUCUUCUUCCCCGAAGAACAACACCAACAAAGAGAGAGAAGCCAUGGCGGCGGCAUCUUCUUCCCCGAAGAACAACACCAGCACCAGCCACUCUUUGAAUAGAGCCCAAUCCACCAUCUCUAUCUGCACCAUCCUUAUUUCCCUCGCACUCCUCGUCUUCUCUCUCUCUCUGCACCUUCAAUCCCCUUUCUUCCUCCACCUUUUCCGCCCUCGCCUCCUAUUUUCCCAUCACUUCUUGGCCGAGCGAUGGUGGCCAAGCACGGUGGCUGAGCGAUGGUGGCCGAGCACAGUGGCUGAGCGACGGUGGCCAAGCGACGGUGGCCUAGCAAGCUAGGUUGGUGAGGAUGAACAACAAAAAAAAAAAAACCCUAAUUUCAAUCACAAAUGAGCUAUACGGUGUCGUUUUUCCUAAGCCAUCCACAUAGGACAGCAAAACGAUGUCGUUUUCUUAAGUAGGACAGAAAACGACGUUGUUUAAAGGGUUUAUUGAUUUUUUUUUAAAUAUAAAGCCACGUAAUUAUUUUGGCCGGAAUUUCUCGCCGGUGGCACCAAAGUGAUUGUUUUUUUUUCUCCGAUUUGGCACUUAAGUGAUCCGGCGGAAACUUUUGGCACCAAAGUGAGCGCCGUACAUAACUUAUGGCACCAUUAGUGUACUUAUCCCUUGGGUUCUUAUUUGAGAUAAUAUCCACUUCAGGUCCUUAUUUGAAAAAAUGAGAGUACUUCAUGUUCUUAUUUAGAAUUUUCCCACUAUUUUCGUAAGCAAUAAGAGAAAUUGGCAAUUAAAAAAAAUAUUUGGUAACUAACUCAAAUAAAGAGUGAGUGACGCAAAGUUAGUUAGUGAAACUGGUUGGUACAUAAGGCAAAUAAAAAGUGAUAAUUCAAUAGAAAACUUCAUGAAUGCGUUAGAUGUUGCCUCAUAAUCAAGCACGACAGAAGCUUUUUCCGUUCCCCUCUACUUUUGUAGGUUUUUCCGUGGCCUACCAACGAUAGGGGUAUUCCUUUGCAUGGAACAAUUGUAUGUUAUAUAUCUAAGUUGCCCGUAUAAAAAGGAUGAUCUACUAUCAUUUGGAGCAUCCUCAAUAUAGAACAAUCUUGUACGACACGUCUCAUUUUCCCACAUAAAAAGUAUGCCCUUAUGUUCCAGUAACACCAACAAGUGUUAUGUUUUCCACAAGUGUUGGCCUUGAUUAUUUUGAUUUCUAGACUUCCUUGGCCUAUUAUUGGGCAAAAGUACAGUUUAAAUGUAAAAAUUUGGUAAGUAGGGACAUUUAAGUAUCAAAAGUUACACAAGGUAUACAUAAGUGCCACUUUUUUUGAAAAAAUGGACAUUUAAGUGCCAAUUCCGAUGAAAGAUGCCAGAAAUCUCAUAUGACAUUUUUUUAAUAAUAUAACUUGCCUACGUGGCUCACUGGAGAGCUAAGUUGGCAAAGUAGAGCCCAAACGAUGUCAUUUUGCCCCUUAUUUGAAUUUUAAUAUGAAUAUUAAUUAAAUUAAAUUUAAAACUAAAUUUAAUAAAUAAAUAUUUUAAAAAAAAAGAUGGGUUUGCAGCUCAGGCCUCACCGCCGCCUUCCCAUCGUUGCUGGGAAGGGCCAGCAAUGGUGGGACAAGCAUUGCUUAGGGUCGCCAGGCCUUGGUUAGGGGAUGCAACCAGUGGCAACCCUAGCCAAUCGGCGUCGAGGGCCUAUAAGCCCUCGCCUAAAUCUGGGGCGAGGGUCCCAACCUUCCCUCAGAUGCAACAAAGGUUGCUAGUCCUCACUCAGUCGAGCCAAGGGCCACUGCUGGUUGGGUCACCUAGCUAAAGCCUAGUGACUCUAAUCGACCCUCCCUCCACCAUUGCUAGCCCUUCUCAGCAACGGUGAGAGGCUAUGCCCUUGCUAUUCUACAAACCCAUCUUCCCUUUUUUUUAUUAAUUAUUUAUAAAAUUUAGUUUUAAAUUUAAUUUAAUAAUAUUUAUAUUAAAAUUCAAAUCCCAAGCAAAACGUCGUUUUUGGCUUUUCUUUCCAUGUCAGAGUGCAAAACGACAUCGCUAUACACUUAUCUCAUCGGAAAAAUGUUAUGUCAAUAUUUUGACUAGAUUUUCUCGUCAUUGGUACUUAGUUGAUCCAUUUUACUACUAUUUUGGCACUUAUGUGUACAUUUCGGCACUCAAAUGUUUCCCCGUGUCAAAUUUUGGCACUCCAAGUGUAUGCGUCCCCUUAUUAUUGGCUCUCUAGUUAUUCCUACUUUGAGUAAACUUCCCAUUGACAUGUUAAAGUAGUUUUAUUUAUGAAUAAACUUGGUUUAAUCGAUCUUGUUUUGGAUAGUUAUCUACUUGCUUUUGAUAUAAAUUUCUUACUCAAUAUAUAAGAUUUUGAGUUUUUCAACUCAAAGUAGUUUUCAUUGUUUGGUUUCCCAAUGUCAAGUGAGUGAUGCUUAUCUCUUCUAAGAUUUGGAAACCCGUGUAUUGAAACAAUUAAAAAGGAAAAGUGGUGUUUCGAGCAUAUUUGUUGCAUAAAGCUAGAUCAACCCGUUUGUUCAUUGGAUAUUGCAUAGUAAACCAUUUCUUAAAAUAGUUUGUGAGUUAAUUAUUUGUUAUAGGGUUUGGGAAAUGCUUUGUAAAAAGUAUUGUGCUUGAUGGAUUAAACUAUAUGAUUUGUGAAUCCAAUUUAUGAAAUGGAUUCAGAAUUGGCUUUAUAGAUGGUUGGAUAAUGAGUUAGUUGUUUAUCAUAAUCACUAUGAUCUAAACCUUUAUGGGGUUGAACAUAUGCAUAUUGUUCUUAAGAAUUGGUUUUGUAGAUGGUUGGAUAAUGAGUUAGUUGUUUAUCAUAAUCACUAUGAUCUAAACCUUUACGGAGUUGAACAUAUGCAUAUUGUUCUUAAGACAUGCCAUUAGGGCCAAGCCACCAGUUGUCAUUGGUGAAGGCAUACGUGACCAAAUAAACAUUGUUAAGCUACAUAAAACAACUAUUUGUGAGAUAAUUGGAGCAAGGUUUGCGAAUCAUACAAAAAAGGAGUGCUGGACACCCUAAGUGCCAAAACUUGGUACGGGUAAAUACUUAAGUACCAAAAUUUCUAAAAGGUACACUUAAGUACCAAAAUCAGAGAAGAAAAGAACAUUUAAGUGCCAACAGUGAGAAUUUCCAACUAAACUAUUGAUGUGGCUCUUUCCGGCAAGAUUUUUUUAUUGAUGUGGCAAUUCUUUAAAAAAAAGACUUAUCCACAUGACGCUAACGUAGCUAGAUAUGCCCAAAAUGAUGUCGUUUUGACUCCAAAUUUGAUUUUUAAAUUAAAAAACUAAAUUACAAAAAAUAAAAAAAUAAAAAAAAAGGAGGCAGCAUUCAGCGAGGGCCUCCCUAGCCCUUGCCAUUGUCGCUGCCACCCCACCAUUGCAGAGAAGGGCCAACGACGGUGGGAUGAGGGUUACCCGAGGUCACCAAACCCCAGCAAGUGGCCAACAACCUUAGUUGACUGCCAGUGAGGACCUGUAGGCCCUCGUCCAAAUCUGGGGCGAGAGGUUGUGGGUGACCCCACCACAACUAACAAUGGCCCUUAGCCCCUUUGGGCAAGGGCCAGUGACCCCAACUGACCUUUGCCCCACCAUUGUCAACCCUUUCCGGCGAUGGUGGGGCAACCAUGGCAAGGGUUAUGGAGGCCCUCGAUGAAUGCUACCUCUCUCCUUUUUUUAAUUUAGUUUUUAAAUUUAAUAUAAUUAAUAAUUAUAUUAAAAAUCAAAUUUAGGGGCAAAAAGAUGUCGUUUUGCACAUUGAUUGCUAAGUAGACAACUCUAGUGAGCCACAUAGACCAUAUUUAUUAUUAAAAUAAUGCCACAUUGGAUUUCUAGCUAUCUUCACUAGAGGAGGCAUCUAAUUGUCCAAUUUUCAAAAAUAGUUGCACUUAAGUGUACAUUUUAGAUAUCUUGGUACUUAAGUGUCCACCUGUGCUAAAUUUUUGCACUCAUAGUGUACUUUUGCCUACAAAAAAGGUUAAAAUUUUCAAAUAAUAGUAGUAAACUCAAGGUGUUGCCAAGAAAGGUAAAUUAAAAUUAGUAGAAGAUAAACAAAGGUUUUUGUCAAAGAUAGAAGAAGAUGGCAAUUUAAAAACAAAAACAAAAUAAAUAUUGGCAAGUAUCUUAAAUAAGAGGUGGUAACUUGAUUGGAAAUAUACUAGUAAUCACUCUAAUGAAGUUGGCAAUUUCAAAAAAAGAGUUGGUAAAUUGAAAAUGUUAGUGAGUGAGGCGAAUAAAAGUGGUAACACAAUAGAAAAGCUAGUCCAUGUAAGUAAAAAUAAUUAACUAUUGAUAAGCAACUCAAACGAGAGUUAGUAACUCAAAACUAGUUGGUAAUUUGACCCCCGUAACUUUGUGAGGUCACGCAAACAAAGAUUGAUAAUUUCAUAUAGUAGUUGGUAAAUUUAAACCUUUAGCAAGAAAGGUAAAUAAAAGAUGGUAAGUAAUUAGAGAAGCUUUUUUUGGUUAAAGAUAAGAGAAGUUGGUAAUUUAAAAGAAAAUCCCAAAUAAACAUUGGUAGCUAACUCAAGUAGGAGUUGGUAUGCAAAAUAAAUUGGAAACUUAAUUAGUUAAAAGUAGGGAAUUGCUAAAAGUUUCUAAAAACAACCGGUAGAUUUAUAAAGUUUGUUAAGAAGGCAAACAAAAGAAGUGACUUAAUAAAAAUUUUAUAAACAAAAAAUAAAUGAACUUUAUAUAAGCAACUCAAAUGAGAGUUGGCAACGCUAGCCACUAGGUUACUUAAUUGGAAUGACAUAUUAGUAACUAAAAAUAUAUGGUAGUUGAUAAAACAUUGGUGGUAAACAGGAGAAGUUUUUUUUUUUUUGGGGUCAAUCACAAGGGAAAAAUUUAAUUGAAAAUAAACAAACAUCAAUAGCUAACUCAACUAAGUAUAUGUACUGCAAAUUUUGUUAAUAACUUGAUUGGAUAAUGUUGAGAAUCACUCCGAUUCCAAUUCCCAUUAGCAAUUUCUAAAAAGGAGUUGGUAGAUUUAACAAGUGGAUAAAGGAGGCAAAUCAAAGUUGGUAACUCAUUGAAAAAGUGGAUAAAAUUUUUAGAAAAAUAAACAUUGGUAGGCAAUUCAAAUGGAACUUAGUAAAUCAAAGCUAUUCAACAAUCUAAUGGGAGAACAACUGUUAACUCACACAAUUAAAGGUUGGUGAAGUCAUAUAAAAGUUGAUAAAUUUAAGUCAUCUAUAAGAGAGACAAAAAAAAAGUUGGUAAUAAUAAGAAAAUUUGAUAAAUUAAAGUAAGAUAAAAUAAAUAUCGAUAAGUAAUUCAAAUGAAAGCUGGAAAACCAAAACUAGUUGGUAAUUUGAUCGGAAAAAAAAAAUUGAUAAGUCACUCAAAUAAAUAUUAAAAGAUUCAUAUAUUUGUUGGUAAAUAUUAACGAUUCAAACAAGAAGUUAGUGUAAACUGUUAAAAGAGUUGGUAAUUUUAUGAAACUCUUGCUAAAUUACCAAUAAGUUACGGAAUAAUAAGGGACCGGUAGCUUAUUUCUACUUGUAUUUUUAUAUUUAUUAACUCUAUCAGAAAUCUACAAGCAAUGAACAAAAAUCAUUUUUUUAGCAAAACAAUAGAAUUGUCCUAUUUACAUUUCAUCAUAAUUAUUUAAAAUAUAUAUAAACAUAACCAAAUCACUUAGUGGCUUGAGAAAUAAGAAAUUAACCCACUAAGCCAUGAGUAUUCUCAUAACUUUUAUUCCUAUUAUACAGAUACCAAUUUAAUUAUAAAUCUUUUAUUUUUGUCAAUUAAGUGAUGAAUCUUGCCAAUAUCGUACUUUCAGUCAAUUUGAAUUAGAAAUUACUGACAUAGACAUUGGUUGUCUUAUGUGACACAAUUGUCGCUGAUGUAGAUAAUUUUUAUAAUUUUCUUAGACUUUUUGAAUUUUUUAUUUUAUNNNNNNNNNNNNNNNNNNNNNNNNNNNNNNNNNNNNNNNNNNNNNNNNNNNNNNNNNNNNNNNNNNNNNNNNNNNNNNNNNNNNNNNNNNNNNNNNNNNNNNNNNNNNNNNNNNNNNNNNNNNNNNNNNNNNNNNNNNNNNNNNNNNNNNNNNNNNNNNNNNNNNNNNNNNNNNNNNNNNNNNNNNNNNNNNNNNNNNNNNNNNNNNNNNNNNNNNNNNNNNNNNNNNNNNNNNNNNNNNNNNNNNNNNNNNNNNNNNNNNNNNNNNNNNNNNNNNNNNNNNNNNNNNNNNNNNNNNNNNNNNNNNNNNNNNNNNNNNNNNNNNNNNNNNNNNNNNNNNNNNNNNNNNNNNNNNNNNNNNNNNNNNNNNNNNNNNNNNNNNNNNNNNNNNNNNNNNNNNNNNNNNNNNNNNNNNNNNNNNNNNNNNNNNNNNNNNNNNNNNNNNNNNNNNNNNNNNNNNNNNNNNNNNNNNNNNNNNNNNNNNNNNNNNNNNNNNNNNNNNNNNNNNNNNNNNNNNNNNNNNNNNNNNNNNNNNNNNNNNNNNNNNNNNNNNNNNNNNNNNNNNNNNNNNNNNNNNNNNNNNNNNNNNNNNNNNNNNNNNNNNNNNNNNNNNNNNNNNNNNNNNNNNNNNNNNNNNNNGAGGGCUACGAAGCCCUCCCCCAGUCAUGGUCAAGGGUCGUCAGCCCUCGCUUGUGGUCGACGAUGGUCAAGUGGCCCUCAUCGAACUUGGUAAAAAAAAAAGGAAAAGAAAUAAAGAAAUAAAUAAUAAUAAAUUAUAAAAAUUGUCCACAUCAUAGUGUCAACAUCAACAAUUUUCAAUUAAAAUUGGCAAAAAUGACUACAUUUAUAAAUCAUCAAAAGUUUUAGGAUUCAACUUACAAAAUUCAAAGGCUUAAAACUAAAUUGACAUCUAUACAAUAGGUUUAUGACUUUUUGGGUAAUUUUACUCAUUUGCUAUUGAUAAUGCUUUGAAAAGUUCAUUUAAUAUCUUAUUAAUCUUUCAAAAUGAGAAGGGGAAAAAAAAAAGAAUCGAUUGGUUUUAUUUUCCUUAAAGACAGUUUUUUUUUUUUUUUUGGUCGAUCAAACAUUAUGUAAAUCAAAUCCUUUUCAUGUAGGCUCCUAGCAAGGUUUAGAUAACCAGGGAUACUGGAGUUGGCAAUUGAUUAUCUAGACUUUGUUGUAAGGCAGCCAGUCCAACAGAGUGCAUUUCACCCUCUCAUUUUCACCCUAGACGUGAAAGGCGAUUAUACCUGCCUCCUACAGUAGCCAGAGUAUUUCCAUCCUAACGUGGUGUCUAUUUUCAUAACUAAAGGGCAUCCUAAUUCCCCUCUCUAUCUUUUUCUUCCCGAAGAGGAGGGAAUAUGGGAGUGACAUUAUAGGGUCUUUCAUCUUAGGGUGAAUCUCUCGCCUAUUUCUUCCCUUUAAGUAUCUUAAGGACGUGCUUAGGUCAAAGUCUACUCUAUUUAGUAUCUCAUCAUAGUUGUUUUCUUUUCAUAAGUUCACGAGAAUAGAAUAUAUAUAUAUAUAUAUAGGUUUUCAUAAGCCUGGAAGAAUUUUAUACCAAACGGUGGUCAUCUUAAUGAACAGGACAAGAAAAACGCUUUAAUGUCAACACAAGAAAGAAAUGAGAAGAAACCCUUUCUUGUGCGAAGGAAAAGAUGAAGAAGAAGAUAAGAAAAAUCAAUCCAUUGCUUUCUAUUUUCCACUUACUUAUCUUAUGUUUAGUGUCCGUUGAAUACAAGCAAGAAGCUUUUAAUAAUUAUUUAUCAUAUAUAACAUAAUUGAAUCGUCAAAACAAUAAUUCGAUUCUUUUUACUAAAUUAAUAUUGAAAAUUUAUAAAACCUAGAAAUCAAUUUCAGACAAUUGAACUUCUCAAGUUGUCUCUUGUUGAGAACAAAAGGUAUUUGUGCCAAAAUAUUAUAUGCUUAAAAAAAAUGCCUAGAACAUGGAAUUGAUCUUAAAGUACUAUUUCUAUAUCAUGGCAGGAGAGAUAAUUAUCAAAUCAAUGCUAAAUUUAUUGUAUAAAUACUAAUUCAAUCCUGAAUUUUUUAAUUUUGCCAAUGUAAUUUUAAACCUUUGUGCAAAAUUUCGAAAAAGUUCUUCCGUCCAACUGCCGCCAAAAACUAUUGAUGUCAUGCCUAGUCAUCUCCGGUCAUCCUACAUAGUAAAUGACAGUGAUGGCUUUGCUCAAAGCAACAUCUUAUGUGCACCACAAUGUUAGCAAUUGGCUAGAAUGACUAUUUUGAAAUUUCGUACAAAGGUUUAUGUUGACACUCGAAUUUUUAUAGACGUUUUAAGUAUUCGCUCAUUUUACAAGAUAUAAAAAAUAAAUGUAAUAAUAAGCAAACAAGAAAAUUAAACAAAAAGUAAUGGUAAUAAAAAAAAUAAAAAAGAGAUAUAAAACGAAGGAGAUAAAAAAAAUGGUAAUAAAAUUCGGAGCCCAUAUUCCUUAGCAAAUUUCGGACCUGACGAGCCCGCGUAACCAGCCCAUUUCUCUUAUUGCGUUUAUGUCUUUCAAACUCACUUUCCUUGGCCCAUUUUCCUUUCUUUGUUCACAUAAGCCCAUCAGAACUAAAAAGAAACAAAAAGCCCAGCCCAGCCCAGCCUUUCCUCUGGCCUUGCUUCGGUAAGGACCAGCGUGCAUGGGGAGAAGAAAAGGAGAAUCGAGACCGCGGCUACACAGCAGAAAGACGGGAGCGUUCGGCCAUUGUUGAGGGAGGGGAGAGCAAGGUUGGCUCUGCAAAAAAGUGACAACCAGAGGGAAGGAGAGAAGGAGGGACAGCCAGGGGAAAGUUCACUAGAGACGUGUGCUCGCUCGAUGGAGGAGAGCUCGCUGGAAGCAGCCAAGGAGAAAGGAGAAAUCUGAGAGAACGAGAGAGUGCAUCCCGUUUAGGAGCGACGGAAAACCGCAUCGCCGGAGCUCGCCGUCGAUUUUCAGAGCUCCGGUCAAAGGCCAAUCCGCGAGUUGUUCUUCACAGUUGCUCUAACCAGACGCUCCUCAUCGUCGUCAAUCGAGACCUCGAUCCGCCAAACAAACCGGGAACAAUCUCGCUUCCAAACGCUCUUCUCUGUCUCUGUUUUGGCCGAGAAAGAAAUGCUCGACUCGAUCGAUUUUCUUGAAAGAAUCUUUGAUAAAACGAAUUUUUGUAUUGUUGCUAAAAAUGGUGUUUUAAAGUCUGUACGUAACGUGUGAAGCUGAGGAUCUCGUUAAAAUCAAAAUCAGAGAACUAUUGAAAGAUCUGCAUAUUGCAUGUUUGAUCAAAAUGCCUAACAGAGGGCCGAAAGUUCAAUCACGUUUAAACUCAUGAUCGAUUCGCACUUGCUGGGUUAUUUGUUGAAUCAUGUCUAAUACUAGCAUUUUCUCUGUGUUUCUAUGCGAUUUGAUGAAAAAUCUUUGCCCGAGUCCAACGUGCAUGCAUAUAUCUCCAAUGCUGGAAAGCUUUCCGUCGGAGAAUUCCAUCGCACCCAGCGAAGUCAGCGUUUCAAGGGCAUAUUAGUUAGCCCAUCUCGCUUCAUUAUAAUGUAAGUUUUCUUGUUAACUUGCUGGGGUUGCUGCUGUUAAAAAUGUGGAUUCGGUAGGAUGGUUUUUGUUAAGUUUUCGGAUAGAUGGAGUGGGCAGCCGGAGGUGGUCAAAGUGGGUCGGAAUAGGCGAUCGGCGGUCGGAGAUAGGUCGGCGGUGAUCUAAGCUAUCGUCGGUGAUGGUAGUUUUUUCGUUAAAAAGGAAUAAAUAAAUAAAAAAUGGCCGCGAAAGAUGGAGUUGCAGGUUGAAGAUGGUGUUUGGGUAGAGGAUGUCGAGAGGAGAAGGGAGAAGUGCAGGCAGCACAAGACAAAAACAGGAAAACACAAAAAAAGAAGAAUUCAAAAUAUUUAAAAGAAUAUUAAAAAUCGGUUUUUAAUCCGACGCAGGUCGGAUCCGGGUAUACGGCUCGGGUCAGAGAGUCGGUCGGAUAAACGGUCCGAACCUGUUCACUGAAUAAAAUAAAAUAAAUGAACUCAUUAAAAAUUCUAAAAAAUUCAUAAAAGAUAUAAAAAUCGUACAAAUCAAUAAAAAAUUAGGAAAUUCGAAGAUAUAAAAAAAAUUCCGAAAAUUUAUAAAAAUUAUUGUUAUAAAAAAUCGAAAAAUCAGAAUAUUCGUAAAUAACAAUAAAAAUAAAAAAUUCAGAAAAAUUCCAAAAAAUGAAAAUAUUUAAAUAUAUAUAAAUUUUUAAUCUCGAAGAUAAAUAAAAAUAAAAAGUAUUUAAAAAUAUGAAAAAUUCAGAAAAAUCAUUAAAAAUUCAGAAAAUUCUAGAAAAUCAGAAAAAAAAAUUCAGAAAAUUGGAAAAUUCUUAAAAAUUUUAAAAUCUAAAAUUGGAGAAAGUUUUACAAUAGGGUUCUUUAUUUUAAAUUUCCCAACAAAUUGAGGAUUUUUAAUGUGUUUAUCUCUUGAAUAUUCUAUUUUCACUAUAAAUAUCGCAAAUCAUAAAAUUCUAAUGAUUGGUAUGAUAGAGAUAUUUAAUUUUUUUCUGAUUCUCUAUAUUUAUUUUGGUUAUGUAUACCUAAUUAGAUUUCUUUUAUCUCAAUUAUUCAACUACUCUUUUCUAGAACAUCGAAAUUUACAUAAAUUUCAUAUUAAUCUCUUCCGCAUCAUUAUUCUUAACUUAAAAAAACAAAACAAAACUCUAAAUUUUUUCACCACAAAUCAUUCAGCUUCUCUGUGGCUUUUUCUCUCUUCAUCAGUCACAUCAUUCACUGUAAGCUCAAGCUCAAGCGGUCUCUCUCCGUUCGUCUUUGCUUUCGCCAAUGUUUGUGCCUAGUGAGUGACGCUAACUCUGGUUCGUCUCUGUUCAUCAAUGGUGUCAUUUGCUGUGGUUUUUUCUAUGUUCUUUUCUUCUUUUCGGUUUGGCUUUUUUGAUAACUUGGAAUUGGAGUUAUGCGGGUUCAUGACUUGUGAAUCAACUCGAUAUCUGUAAAAUGUAUUUGCUAAUUGUCGAUUGUGAUGUGAACCCAUUUGUUCUGAUUUCCUUUCCAUUGAUUCUUACAUAUAUAUAUAUAUAUAUAUAUAUAUAUAUAUAUAUAUAUAUAUAUUCUGCUUUGGUUUCUUUUCUUUUUCUUGGUUUGCAAGUUUUAACCUCUGUUAUUUUACUGAUAGAUUCCAACUUCCUACUUGAAUUAUGGGGUUUUACCCUACUUUGUCUUCCUUCCAAUUCGUGCAGUUUACGUGAUUUGAGUUCCAAUUGCCGUUCAUACUAUGCCUCAGUCACAUUGUUCAAUGUCCUAAAGAUUCAUUCCAAGUGAGGUUUUGAACUUUUAAAAGCUCUUUCCUUAGGAUUCCAUGUUGGGUUUCGCUUGCAGGGGUUUACGUCUAUUUAUUCAUGGCUUUGCCUCUCUUAUUGUGGCCAUUUUCUGUUACAUUUACGAUCUUAUCGGAUAUUCUUGUGACCAUUCGCCUGCAGCAAAUGAAGAUAAUGGAUGGGCAUUUUAAUCAAGUUUCGAUCUCUUACUAAGAAUUGUUAAUAUUUCUUGUCUUGGUGAUUUUUAUCCAUGGGAAACACAAGCCGCAUGGUCAUACAUGUGGGUUUAUGCGCAGUGCAGAUUGUUGUGCGGAAGAACACCCUAACUAGAUGAGAAAGAAAACAAGAAUAAUUAAGAACACGGAGAUUUACGUGGUUCGGCGAAAGAUCCGCCUACAUCCAUGGGAGAGAGAGAGAGACGAUUUUUUAUUUGAGCGUAUGUCAAGAGUACAAGGUACAAUGCUGAAAUAAAUAGAUCUUUAGAUCCCCACUUUCCUAAACCUAGUAGGAAAUGAAUUCCACCAUAAAGAUAUUAUCAAAUUUGAAACCAAAAUCUAGGAAAUAUAUUAGGAAACAAAUAGUUCAAAAUCUUCAAGCCUUCCUAGAUUUCUGAUUGAAUUUUGUGAAAUUCAAGACAACAUCAGCAAAUCUCCACCUUUGGCUUGAAUAAACCACAAAGCCUCCACUUGAACCAAGAAAACGAAUAUAUCUCUCCCUCCACCGUACCUUUGCAAAGGUACGCCUGCACCUGGAUCGGUGCGGCCUCCAUAAACUUCAAUGAUGAGUGCGAGAUAUCAAGUCCCUGCAGGACUUGAACUUCUCUGUAGUAACCAUCUUCGUGAGCAUAUCUGCAAGAUUAUCUCUAGUAUGGAUUUUCUUAAAAGCAAUGCUACCAUUCUCCACAAAUUCUCAAAUUUUGUGGUACCAAACUUCAAUGUGUUUCAUUCUAGAAUGGAACACUUGAUUAUUUGCGAGACAUAUUGUGCUCUGGCUAUCGCAAUAUAAUGUAGCACUUUCUUGCUUUAUACCCAACUCUGUGAUCAAACCGGUCAACCAUAUUCCCUCCUUUGCAGCCUCAGUUAUUGCCAUAUACUCAGCUUCGGUUGUAAACAAUGCUACAGUAGGUUGAAGCAUUACCUUCCACGAAACAGCUCCACCGCCAAGAGUAAAGACAUAUCCUGUGAUGGACCUUCUCUUGUCCAAAUCACCAACGAAGUCUGAAUCAACAUAACCUGCUAAAUCGAUCGAUCAUCCCUUGGAACUGAACAUUAAACCCAUUCUAGCAGUUCUAGCCAAAUAACGAAAGAUCCACUUAACAGCUUCCCAAUGCUCCUUACCCGGAUUGCUCGUGUAUCAGCUAACGAGACUCACUGCAUGAGCCAAAUCCGAUCUGCUACAAACCAUAGCAUACAUGAGGCUCCCUACUACACUGGCAUAGGGUACUUGAGACAUCUUUACAACUUCCUCAUGUGAAACAGGGCAUUGUUUCUCAGAUAAUUUGAAGUGAUUUGCUAAGGGUGUACUAACUAGUUUAGCUUUACCCAUGUUGAACCGCUCCAAGACCUUCUCAACAUACUUCUUUUGAUUCACCCAAAGCUUACUUGCAUGUCUAUCUCGAAAGAUUUCCAUGCCAAGGAUCCUCUUUGUAGCACCAAGAUCCUUCAUAUCAAACUCACUACUUAACUGAGACUUUAGGGAAUUAAUGUCUCUCAUUUUUCUUGCAGCAAUUAACAUGUCAUCAACAUAGAGCAUCAACAGAAUAAGCGACUUAUCAUCCAAAACUUUGUAGGAGACACAAGAAUCAUGCACACUCCUCAUGUAGCCAAUAAGAAGCAUAAAAGAAUCAAACAUUUUAUUCCAUUGCCUCGGGGAUUGCUUCAAACCAUAAAGUGAUCUCUUGAGCAAAUAAACAUGAUCCUCUUUCCCUUCCACCUUGAAGCCUUCGAGCUGCUCCAUAUAAAUUUUCUCCUCCAAGUCACUAUGAAGGAAUGCCGUCUUCACAUCUAGUUGCUCAAGCUCCAAGUCAUACAUGGCUACCAUAGCUAGUAAUACAUGAAUUGAUGUGUGUUUUACAACCGGGGAAAAUAUCUCGUUGUAAUCAAUCCCCUCCUUCUGUGCAUAGCCCUUAGCAACAAGUCAGGCCUUGUAUCUCUCUUGCUCUUUCUCCGUUGCUGCUUCCUUUCUUCAAAGAACCCAUUUGCAACCAAUGACAUUCCGAUCAUUGGGCUGCUUCACAAGUUUCCAUGUCUCAUUCUUUUGUAACGACUCCAUCUCCUCCAUCAUUGCAGUCAUCCACUUUUCUUUGUGAUCACUUUUCAAAGCUUCAUGGUAGGAGCCUAGAUCGCCAGAGCCUACGGUAAGAGCAUAAACAACCAUAUCCUCAAAACCUUACCUCUCCGGUGCUUUGGGAGUGCGCCUUCCUCUACCCGUCGCAAUGGUACGAGGAACUUCUACCGUUUCUUUGACUUCCGGAGCUUCAUCGGAUAACUCGCCAUUCUCUGCAUAUUCUCUUGUUUCAAGCUCCACCUUAACGAUAGAUUUAUCACUCUCCUCUUCAGCAUUCGCGCGUGGCACACAGCUUGACUUCAUCAUUGCAGAUUCAUCAAAUAUAACAUCCCUGCUCGUCAGAACUUUCUUCUCACUUGGAUCCCAUAAUUUGUAGCCUUUCACUCCUUUCUCGUAACCGAGAAAUAUGCAUUGUUUUGAUUUUGGAUCCAACUUCGAUUGUUUCGAGCUCUGCACAUGUACAAAAGUAGGACAACCAAAUAUUCUUAAAUUAGAAUAAUCGACAAUUUUACCAGUCCAUACCUCUUCAGGAAUAUUGCAUUUAAUUGCAGUUGAUGGAGACCAAUUCACAAGAUAACAUGCCAUGCAGACAGCCUCUGCCCAAAACUCCUUGCUUAGUCUCGCAUGUAGCCUCAUGCUUCGAGCUCUCUCUAAUAAGGUCUGGUUCAUCCUUUCCGCUACGCCAUUCUGUUGGGCGUAUCCGGAACUGUGAAGUGACGUUCAAUCCCUUCAUUCUUGCAAAGCUCCAUGAAUGGUAUUGAUUUGUACUCUCCUCCAUUGUCCGAUCUCAAGCACUUAACCUUCUUCCCCGUUGAAGUCUCAACUUUAGCUUUCCAUUCUUUGAACUUUUCAAAGACUUCACUUUUGUGUCGCAUGAAGUAGACCCAAAUUUUGCGAGAGAAAUUGUCAAUGAAUGUCACAAAGUAUUCCUUCCCUCCUUUUGACUUUUCCAGGGAAGGACCCCAUACAUCCGUGUGUACAUACUCGAGCACGCCCUUGCUUGUAUGAGUUGCAGCAUUGAAUUGUACUCUGCAUUGUUUUCCAAACACACAAAAUUUGCAAAAAUCUAAUUUGCAUGUUUUUAUACCUUUGAGUGCAUUCCUCUUGUGAAGCUCCAUCAACCCUCUUUCUCCCAUAUGCCUGAGAUGCAUAUGCCAUAGAUAGGUGUUAUCUAUCUCUGUGCUCGCAUUCGUGGACAUAGAUGCUCCACCUUGCACUGUGGUUCCUAUAAGUCGAUAUAGGUUCACGUGCCUCUGUCCCUUAAGAACAACCAGAGCUCCCUUAAUCACCUUCAAGACUCCACCUUGAGCCGUGUACUUGCAUCCAUUGGAUUCAAGUGCUCCUAAUGAGAUAAAAUUCUUCCUUAGACCCGGAACAUGACGUACGUCUGCCAAGGUUCUAAUCAUGCCAUCAAACAUCUUGAUUUUCAUGGUUCCAACAUCCACAGUCUUGCACGAAGUAUCAUUCCCCAUGAGAACUGAACCACCAUCAUAUGCCUUGUACUCAUCGAAGGCUUCUCGAUGAGGAAACAUGUGAAAAGUGCAUCUGGAGUCCAUGAUCCACGAAUCUUCAAAGGUGUCCUUCCCCGACGAUAUGGACAAGACGUCCCCAUCAUUGGUCUCAAUGCUGUCAGCUAUACUUGCCUCAUCCGAGCUCUUCUUCUUUUUCUCGUUCUUAUUUGGACAGAAUCUCUUGGUAUGCCCUUCCUGAUUACACCUGUAGCAUCUUCCUUUGAACCUUCCCUUGGAUUUUGAUCAACCCCUACUACUUGAUCGUCGAUCCGUUGAUCUUCCUCUUCUUUGAUUGCUUUUCUCCUUUGCAAAGAGUCCCUCUCUUGAAGAUUUUGAACUACUUGCCCUUUUCCGGGUGUCUUUUGAAAUUAGGGUAGCAGUCUCCUCUCUGAUCUCCGGGGUUUCUUUGCCAUAAAGGAGUGUAGUCACCAAGUGGUUAAACGAAUCCAACAACGAUGCCAAUAGUAGAAGCGCUAUGUCUUCUUCCUCAAACUUUACCUCCAAGCUUGUAAGUUCACUAAUCAUCUUAUUGAACACAUUGAGGUGUUCCAACAGAUAUCCUCCUUCACUCAUCUGAAGUGAAUACAAUCUCUUCUUCAAGAACAACUUGUUCGUAAGAGAUUUUGUUAUGUAAAUGCUUUCGAGUUUAAGCCAUACCUCCGGAGCAAAUUCAAUUUCCGCUACAUAUUGAAGGGCCUCAUCCGAUAAGUUCAAUCGGAUUGCGUUGCAAGCCCUCUCCUCCAUGUCAACCCAAUCAUUAUCAGUGAUGGUGUUUGGCUUGUUUAAUCUUCCUAGAAGAACCUUUGAUAAACCUUGUUGAAUCAACAGAUCCUUCAUCCUUCUCCGCCAUAGUGUAAAACUAUUCUUCCCAGUAAAUCGUUCAAUAUCAAAUCGAACAGUUGAACCUUUUCCAGUCAUCUAGUUAGAAGUCGCAAUACAGGAACAAAGAACCUGGAUUGCUUUGAUACCAAUUGUUGUGCAGAAGAACACCCUAACUAGAUGAGAAAGAAAACAAGAAUAAUUAAGAACACGGAGAUUUACGUGGUUCGGCGAAAGAUCUGACUACAUCCACGGGAGAGAGAGAGAGAGACGAUUUCUUAUUUGAGCGUAUGUCAAGAGUACAAGGUACAAUGCUGAAAUAAAUAGAUCUUUAGAUCCCCACUUUCCUAAACCUAGUAGGAAAGGAAUUCCACCAUAAAGAUAUUAUCAAAUUUGAAACCAAAAUCUAGGAAAUAUAUUAGGAAAAAAAUAGUUCAAAAUUUUCAAGCCUUCCUAGAUUUCCCGAUUGAAUUUUAUGGAAUUCAAGACAACAUCAGCAAAAGAUAAGCUGUGAAUUAGAAGAGAAGGUUGAAAAAUUACACAAUCGCAAUGAGCUAAAUUCGAAUUCAGAGACCGAAACUGAGUAGCCUCAAGAAGAGACUACAAAUAUGAAUGCAUUAGGUAAGACCUACCUACAUAUAUAGCGUGUAUUUUUCGUCAUACUAUACUAAAAUGGUCCGAGUAUUGAUCUGGUUUGAUAAUAUUAGAUCCAUCUUUCAAUAUUUAGAAUUUCUUGUCUAGUAGCUGCCACUAGAAAAAGGAAGCGUAGCUUUACAUGUCUAUUGAGUGUAUACAGUCUCUCUCCUGGGAAAUACAUCAUUGUCAAGUUAGGGAACAAAAUGCAACCUAUUGGAGGUUUGGGAAGUUUCUUGGAACCAUUGCUUGCGAUUUAACACCAUUGUUUACAACUUGAAAGCAAAUUACCAAGGAUAUGAGAAACACUAUGAUUAGGAUUGUAGAGGUAGUUAGCUUGUUCUGGCAUGAAAUUCCAUUUUAACAUCAUUAUUGGUUGUGGUGUUUAUAAGAUGCUUUGGCCACUCACAACUAUGUUUUUUGCAAUGAAGUGAAUGGAGCUCUUCUGUUCAUGUCUGCAUUUUUUUUCAAGUGACGGGAAAUGUGGCUGAUUAGUUCUUGUUCAUUCUGUUUUAACAAAUAAGCUUCUCUACGUUUUGAUAUGCUUUACAGAUUAGUUAUGAGCUCCUCUGUUCAUUUAUUUUAUUACUUUAUGUGAUCUAAGCUUCCUCUAAAUCCUUCUCCAAUCCAAAUUAUUGAAGGUUAAUUGUGCAAUGUUCAAGUAGUGACCACUAACAUGAUUUCUUGUGCUGGUUUUGCACCCAUUAUGCUUGAUCCUCUUUCCUGCACUUAUUUGCUUUGUAGGAUGGUGACGAUCAUAACACACAAUAGAGAUCUCCAAACAUCAGUUUACGCUCUCCAUCAUUGAGUCAUGAGCCACACUCCAAGGGAUGAGGUUAAAUUUUAUCUCCAAAGGUACAGUGGUCAUUGUAGAGCCCGCAUUCGAAUUAUUUGUUUUUGUUAUAAAUGUCUUAGGUCCAGCAAGAAAAGAAUAAAACAGCUUCUUGUGCCCGUUGUUGGAGAAAGUUCAUUAAUGAACUAGUAUAGUUCCCUCAUCUUCAAGAUAUGACGAGGCUAGAAAAGAUUUUAUAGCGAUGACCGGACCUCUUUCAUGUGCAGUUGAACCUUAUGUCCGAGCUACAGCUAAAAUUGCUUUAGAAUGCGAAAAAGGAAAACACAUCAACAUACCAUUUUUGUUGCAGUCAUUCUCUCUCGGACAUAGGGUGUCUCUCUCUCCCUCUCUGAACCUCCCUUGUUUAAUUAUUCCUUUCUUGCAUUGGAAGUGUACAAAGAACAAUCUAGAGAGUCUAAUAACUAAUGGAUGUUGGUGAAAAAUUGACCAUCGUCCUUCAGUACGUCUAGACAAUUUUUUUUUGGAUUGCACGAAAAAGGCGAAAGUCCAGUCAUGAGAAGUAUUCACCUUUUUGUUGUGAUCUGUGUGACGUGAUCGAAUGGAUUAUUCAGGGAUUUCAUAGCUGUUGUGUGACGGCUAAGCACGUUGAGCGUCAUAACUUCUGAGCACGUAAACUUUUUUUGAUUUUGAAUUUGUUGUUUUUUGAAUCUUAUGACUUUGAUAAGUUAAUAGAUUUAGCUUUGAGAAGAUUUUGGAAUCAAGUACCCAAUGGAGACGAGGAUUUUGCAUUAUUCAUCCGUUGAUUUUUUUGGGUGGAUAUGUGAUGCAUUGUCCCGAAGGAUGCUGAGGACAUGAGGCGAUUCUCUUGUUCCAUUUCCGAUGACUAGCAAAGCAAACAUCUUGGGAAUCAUCUAUAGCGUAAGAGCCAAAAAUAAAGAUAAAAGUAAAUAGGGAUGCGCUACGCAAACGCAAUAGAUCUUAAAGAGUUUUUCUUAUACAUCUAUUGGUCAGCCUUUGUAAUUUAAUAUUUGAUUGUGGUUAUUUCACUAAUUUCAAUGACAUGUUGUAGGUGUCAAAUUGUGUAAUACUACACUCAUGUGACUUGCACACUAUGUUAAUAAUUUAAAAGGAGUUUAGGAAAAUGAAAGCAUGAUAUUACUUUCUUUUUUCUUUUUUUUUUUGAGAAAUAGAGAUGGAGUUCAAGCUUCAAAGUGUGAUUUAGUUUGUAAGUUAUCGAUAAUUGAAUUGAAUCAAGUUUAAUUUCGAAUGCAAAUGCUAUACAGAGUUGAGCUUGAGCAUGGGAUUGAGAAACAGGGUUUUGGCAUACCAACAGUACAAUAUCAAACCAUCAAUUUCAACUUAAACUUUAGAUCAACAAACUACUUCAAAUAAAUUUAUAGCUCGAUUGCGCCUUAAUAGCUUCUUCUUUUUUUUUUUUCAAAUGAAGUACCUUAUCUUAGACACAUUUAGUGCAUUGACCCACCAAAUAAUAUGCUACUUCAUUCCUCGCGUGCCAACAAGAAUGAUGCUAGUAGUCUUCAAAUCUUCACCAAGCCUCUCAAAUGUGUACAAGUCUUGUGAGAGCUUGAUUCCUGAAAAUUAUAAUCACUAUCAAUCUUUCGAGAAAAUUUCAGAAUAAAAAUAAGAUAAUUAAACUAUGUAGUCAAAUCAACCAGUAAUACAUACCAACUUAUUUUUACCGUGUUUAAUCUAUUUGUCAAUGGCAUUAUUUACAAGAAAUAGAUAGAAGAUGUUAAUUGCAUUCAUUGAGAUUGAAUUACUCAAAAGUAUACUGAUGAAAGUCAAAUAUAUAAAUUAAUUGCAUUCAUUGAGAUUGAAAUAUGAGAAAUGAUCUACAUUUAAUAGAAAACAAUAUCAUGUAAAAAGAUACAUAAAUCUGGUGAGGUUUACUGCGAUUAAAGGAACGGGAUUAUAUGUGCAGAUUCAAUAUAUCAUGUAAGUUUAUUUCUUGCACCACCAAAUGCAAACAAUUUUAUACUUAGCCAUUCACCAAAUGUUUGGCUCAUACCCUACCUGGUCCAUGAGAUUAGUAAGGUAUGAUAUGGGUAUGGCGCCUUAUCUGCUCAAGAUAAGUUUCUUGGAAAGAGAAACAAUAUCUUUUUACCAGAAAAUGAGUAGGUUAGCAGUAUAAAAAGUAGAUAUAGCCCCCUCCUCCUUUCACCCCUUUCGAUCUAGUGCACUUAUGGAAGUAGGUUAAUGAAAUUUCAUCUAUGUGAAUUAGCGUACACAUACACACACCUUUUUUUUUUUUCACAACUUUUAUGAAAACUGGUUUUGUUCUCAAUCUAGCUAAAUUCAGAAAUUUUUAUGUACACAAUCUACUAAGUAGAAGAUAAAACUAAGACUCAACCUAGGCAUCAAAAGUUAAAUGAGCAGCAGAAACAGACACUUUAACUCUACCCGACACGAAUCCUUCAUGACUAAAAGAAUGAAUUCCUAGAAGAUCGACUACUUUAACUCCUAUUUGAAGUGACUUUUAAUCGAAUGUAAAAAAUAGGGGAGGAUACAGAAAUACAUCAUCCACCAAUUAAUAAAGUAUUUUAGGUCUGAAGUUUGGGAGUGAAGUCAAUGUUUGAGACUUAGUGUAAGGAGAUGCGACAAGUUUUUCCGACCUGCCUAUUUCUCCUUUCCUUCUUCGUUCAUUCUACCGGUAAGCGGCUGCUGUUCUUCGGUCAUUCCUGGUGAGCAUCGGGUGCUGUGGGUAUCCUUCUAUUGGCGUCAUGAUCUCUAAUUGCAAUCAUCAUCAUCGUGUUAUCCACUUUUUUUUUUUUUUUAAAGCUCCAGUUCUGAUUUGCUUUAUAUAUCAUGAGACUACACAAACGACACAAAAACUCCAUUGGCCGUUUUUCUUUUGGUGCUCUUUGCCACUUUAUUUGGAAGCACAAGAACACCAUACUAUUCAAAGACCAUACUAUCGUAGCUGCGGCAAUUAAAAAUCACCUCAUCUAUGUGGUGAAGGAUAAGGCCUUAACCUUCAGAAAUAUUGAAGAUACUCCAAGAAACAGAAGACUCCAACGUAACUGGGGGAUAGAUCCUUGUAUUUUCCUUCAAGGGGUUCAAAGACAGCUUGCAACUGGGUUGCGGCCUUAGUCUCCUCGGGCUCUACGGCGAUGACUCCUUCUGGUUGCUUUUUGUCUUGUUUUGUUGCUGGUUGUAUUCGUGAGAUUGGUCUCCAUGGCUUCCUCUUGGCCCUGCGCGGCCUUCUUUCCUAACUGUCCUUUUGCCUGUUGUUUAGGCUUUUGUGUGCUUUGGCCGCUCUUGCGGGUUCUUUUACAUCCGUCUCCCUUCCACUCGCAUAGACUUUUGUCUUGACGAGUGCAAGUUUUGUGGUGCCGGAUCUUGUGUAAAUUUUGGUUCAAAGCUCUAUAUAUUAUUACUUCUUACCAAAAAAAAAAAAAAAAAAACGACACAAAAAAGAAAACCUGUCUUUCAUGGGCAGUUACAUAUCUCGCUCUGCAGCUCCUUGGCGAGGCUUGCACGUCUGUGCUCCUCUUAUGUUCUUGUAUUUUGGUAGUCACUGAUGUAGCAUUUGGCGAGCUCUUCUAAUAGAUUCUCUCCCUUUCAUGCUGCAUAAUGGCGGCCCACUAAGGAGUAGAAGUCCAAGAAUGUGAACAGAAUAAGAAACAGAAUUCAAAUUGUUCGCGGGAUGUGAAGGUUCUAGGAUGAAUAUUCUCUUCGUAGCAUUAUAAUAGUCCAAAACGGGAGUUAAACCUCACCUUCGCAUGACUUGGGUUGUAACGUGGCCAACACCUUGCGCUUAAAUGUCACCAAUUUCUUCGAUGCUCUUGUGAUCAAGCUAUACAUGGUAAUAGUCUGUGAAUCCAUUAUUCUUCUUGCAACAACAAAGUCCACUUCUUUUUAUAUAGAUGCUUUUCUUUUUGCUUUGCAUUGUCUAUGUUAUAUUGCAGAAGCUCCUAGCAGAAUCCUGAUAUAACUGCGAUAGUCAACAGAUUGUUUCUUCUGUUGCAUUCAUCCGUUGCUUCUGUUGCAUUUAGUAGAGCCUUCAGUUGCCAAAUCGAAGAAUAGCAGCCAGAAGAUUGAGGGCGCUAAUGUCUAAAUCAAGUGGUAUAACUCCUAAUGAGGUUGACUCAGAGUUUAACUGCUACUGUGUUCUUUGAUCACCAAUUCUCAUAGCAAAAACAAGUAGGAAUUGGUUUUAUGGUUGUAAUAAGUUGUGGAUUGAUCUGAACACACCAGAUUGAGCUAAGGACAUGAUAAUCGACAUCCUUGAAAUGAAUCAAGCAUUGUGCGAAUCCAGCCAAUCAAGGCACAAGGAGGUUAACAUGAGCUAACUUCCACUGAAAUCAAGGCUCAAAGGGCCAAGUAUAGACGUUAAAAGGAGCAAUUGCAUGAAUAAAGAAAAAAAAAAUGAUAAUAUCAAUGGUCAUUUGUUCUAUGAAGGUGUUGUGUCAUUGUGCUGGUUGUGUCUAACGCGAGAGUUGGUGGGAAGUUUCUAAGCGUUCCAUAGUUUAUUUAGGGGUGAGUGUGCAUUCGUGUCAGGUUGAACUACUGGAAGUCCUGCUUCCCUCAUCUUCAGUACGCUUGUUCCGGCUUCGUGCUUCGGAGUUGCUUCACCACUGAAAACUAGAUAUUCUAAUGGAAAGCUGUUGGCUCUUUAGCAAUAUGACAGAAAGCUUUCGUCGUUCUUACCAUUCUUAUUAAAGAACUUCUGAUACCAUUUCAUUCUGUUACGAAAAAUCUAGUGAACUUAACAGAUUUGGCCUCUGGUAUAGUCUAAUAUAUCACCAGAUGUAAUGGCACAUGCUAAUCUUGAUUCUAGAAGAGGCGCCUGUGAAGCGAGACAAUGAAAUGCCAACCCCCUCGAGCGGAAAACAUUCCAACAUAAACAGUGAUUUAAAAUUUGACCCUGAAUGGUCAGGGCAGGACGAAUGAAAUGAAGUCUCAUUGUUUUCUUUUUCUUAACCCAACGGUUUAUCAGAGGUCUAAAUACUUGUGUACUUCCACACUAAAGACACUUAAAUACGUGAUUUUCAACAAUACUUCCACAUCUCUGCAUAUUUGCAGACCUGUAGGGAAUACUCGUUCUCGUGCUGAAUAUGUUAGUUUUUUUUCUCUUAUUGAAAUCAUCGAACAGGUGCAUAUGUACAGCUUGGGACUCCACUUUGCUUUUGUUGGGUCCCUUGGCUCGGAUUCGUGGUCAUUGGUUUCACAGCACUUCUGGGCGUGUCAGACACAGGCCCUCAUCCACAUUGAAAGCAAUUUCCAUAAUGCUAGGCCAUUUUGUAGGUCUAACUCAAUAUUUCAAGUCACAUAUGCAAGCCACCUUUAGGCUUUUUAGGUAGGUCCAUGAUAUAUUUUGCCAGCCUCGUCGAUCAGAAUGCCUAAGUCUUGGGUGAUUGAUUCGGAUAUAAAAGCAUUCCUACUUGAAUGUCAAGUCUUCUAGAAGUCCAUGAUAUGUAGAGCAUCCCAUAAAUCAAAUAAGAUACGAAUUCAAAAUCUCAAAACUUCAUUCAAGUAUGAAUUUUUUCACACCGGAUGAUACAAAUAACUGAAUGCAACCAAAAACGAUAUGACUAUUUCAAGCUCAGCAGCUUCAAAGCAUUCUAAUUAUAAAUUAGACGUACAAAAACCACUAAAAAUUUGAGAGUAACCCUUUUUCUCAGAACCAAUUUCUCUCAACAUAGACACGAAUUCCGUCCAAUACAAAAAAGCCACACCAACUGCCAAUGCAAUAACCAAAAGCAAAUCGUAAUGAAAGAACUAGAUGUACCUGGACACAAGUAGUGGCGUCCUGACCAGACACGAUGUCGUGCCUCAUCUGCUUCACCAUUGCCUGUCUCUUGUUCCUCAGCAGCUUUAUACUCGCCACCGUCAUCUACGCUGCCGUUUUGCUGUUCAUUCCCAAAACAAAAUUUCAAAAAACUCUCCAUGAAUAUAACUACAAAAAGCCCUCACCUCUUAUUUGCUAUUACCAUAACAUAGAAAAGAAAAAGCCCCCAAAGUAAACCAAGUUCAUGUGGGGAUUUUAUGUUGCGUACCUUGUGAAUAGUGGCCAAGCGUUUGGUCUCUUCCUUGAUCCGACCCAGGUGGGAGAGGAAGCAGUCGCAGAUCUCCAUCUUCUUCCUCUUGAUCUCCUCCUCCUUGGCCCUGAAAGUGGACGGAGCAGCCCUCGACAUCUCCUUGUCCUCCCUCAACAGCAAUGUGUUGCUGCUGAAGCUCAAGUUCCCCAAUGAGCUCUGCAGGAUCAGCAGCAGCUGCUGCUGCUGUUGCCACUGGGCCUGUUGCAAGGCCUGCUGCUCGCACACCUGCACCAUGAUCUUCUUCUUCUUCUCUCUGAUCUUCAAGCAAUAGAAACCCCCAUGAUCUCUGAUAAACCAAGUGUAUAAACUUCAGUACCGUCCCCACUGAUAAACCAAGAAUAUUCCACCAUCUUUGCUGUCUAAUACUAAUAAACCAAGUAUUUGAACUCCAGUACAGUCUGCACCAAAUGCAACCAAACCAAGUGUUCAAACUUCAGGCAUAUGGCUAGCCUACCGACGGGAAUUUACCUCAAAUGGAGCCAGGAGUUCCUCCAUCUUUCCUGGUAUGCACAUUUGUUCUUGUGCGCUGCUCUCUGCAUGCGAAACCAACAAUGGGUGCCAAAACAUCGACAGGUCUGUUAAUGCAGCCGGCACACUCUCUUCCUCCUGCAAAAACAGGGGACAUUAACAAACCCAGGGCAUUGUAUUUCGCCAUUUUCAUUGCCUCACCAGAGGAAGGAUGCCUAAUUACCACAUGUUGGCCCUACUCAAAUUCGAUUUGACAAAGAAAUGACUACACCAAUUUUAAGAUUCACAAACAAACACAUUUUAUCCAGGUUUUUGUUUCAUUGCCCAAAGGGCUCCAAGCAACAAAUUUGGCAACAUGAAAAGAAAAAAGAAUACCGUCUUCCCUAAGUCGCCAUCUAAUGCUGAUGAUUGUAACAUUGAAAACAUGCUUCUUCUUUUUUCACCCAUAGCACGAACGAUGCUGUACCAGUAAAAGCUUCAGCACCUUGGACCAGAUUGUCCUUGAAAAUCGGCGCUCCAAAAAUAGAUAUCACUUUGGAUUGUCAAAUUAGGUAGGCCAGUUCAAGCUCUAAAUUGAAAAUAUCCCAAAUACAAUAUUAAAGAAACCAUAUAUUCAUUGGAUAUUCAGGAGAUUCUAAGUGAAUAAAUAGCACUUUAAGUAAAGAUGACACCUUUAUUUUGACUCCCCAGUCCAAAAGAUGGAUUCAUAAUAAUUUGAAAUUGACUUUUCAGAAAAUUUCGGAGGGGCAGCAUGCAUGAUAAUCAAGCCAAAUCCCCAAUUCUUUUAAGCAUGUUUCUAAAGCAGAGAACAACAAAAUUGAGCAUUAAAUAUAGUUGUUACCGCCUUAAUUAACCCACAAAAUCAUGCGAAGAAUCUGUGUCCUUUUUUUAUUUCGUUUUGGACAAUCCUAUCUCUUCUUUUGCUGAGACCACUAAGAUCGCAAGAACUUCCCGUGUUUGUGCAUAUACUCAUUGACAUCACUCCCAAACUUCAGACCUAUUUAAUCCACAAGAGAAACGCCUCAAACGAGUUCACAUACCUCCAUUGGACAAAAGCAAAAUACAAGAAAAGGGGAUUAAGCCUCAUAUACUGGUUUUUAAAACCUUUGUUCAAGCCAUUGGGCUAGGAUGAAGAGGACCUGACGUCACCGUCAGCCUCAUAGAGCUCUUGCGCAAGGACUCAAUGUCGUCGCGCUCAAACGAAGAGGAAAUUUGGGGACUUGACGAAGAAGGACACUUAGACGAAGAAUAGGAGGAUCGAUGAACAAGAAGCAGACUCCACGAACAAGAAGUACACCAUGGAGGCAUGGCGAAUUAGGAGAAGUGAAGAAAACUGGAGAAUAAAACUCAGUUAGGUCUUGGAAAUUUGGAGCAAACCUUAAAUGGAGACAUUUUUGCACACAAAUCUUUUCUUUUAAGCUCUACACCGCGUAGGAGAGUGAAAUUUAAAAAAAAAAAAAAAAAAAAUGCGCCAAAUGCAACCGAGUAUUUAAACUUCAGUACAGUCCCCACCGAAUGCAACCAAACGAAGUGUUCAAACUUCAGGCAUAUGGCUAGUCUUCCAACGGGAAUUUACCUCAAAUGGGGCCCGGAGUUGCUCCAUCUUUCCUGGUGCGCGCAUUUGUGCUUGUGCGCUGCUUUCUGCAAUCAGUGGGUCUGUUGAUGCAGCCGGCACACUCUCUUUCUCCUGCAAAAAUGGGAGACAUUAACAAACCCCGGGCAUCGUAUAUCACCAUUUUCGUGGUCUCACUAGAGGAAGGACACCUAAUUACUACAUGUUAGCCCUACUCAUAUUUGAUUUGACAAAGAACUGACAAGACCAAUUUUAAGACUCACAAACAAACGCAUUCUAUCCAGGUUUUUGUUUCAUUGCCUGAAGGGCUCCAAGCAACAAAUUUGGCAACAUGAAAGAAGAAAACAAAUACCAUCUUCCCUAAGUCUCCAUCUAAUGCUGAUGAUUGUAAUGCUGAAAACUUGCUUUUUUAACCCAUGGUGCUAUACCAGUAAAAGCUUCAGCACCUCAGACCAGAUUGUCCUUGAAAAUCAGACUCCAAAAAUAGAUAGCACUUUGGAUCGUCAAAUUAUGUAGGCUAGUUCAAGCUCUAAAUUGACAAUAUCCCAAAUACAUAUUAGAGAAAUCAUACGUUUAUUGGAUAUUUCUGGAGAUUCUAAGUGUACAGAUAGCACUUCAAGUAAAGAUGACACCUUUAUUUUGACUCCCCAGUCCAAAAGACAGAUUCAUAAUAAUUCGAAAUUGAUAUUUUCAGACAAUUUCGAAGGGGCGGCAUGCAUGAUAAUCAAGCCAAAUCCCCAAUUUUUUCCAGCAUGUUUCCAAAGCAGAGAACCGCGAAAUUGAGCAUUAAAUAUGGUUGCUCCCGCCUUAAUCAACCCAAACAAAAUCAUGGGAACAACCUGUGUCCUUUUUCUGUUUUGUUUUGGACAAUCCUAUCUCUUAUUUUGCUACGACUAGUAAGAUCACAAGAACUUCCUGUUUUUGUGCAUAUACUCAUUGACAUCACUCCCAAACUUCAGACCUACUCAAUCCACAAGAGAAAACACCUCAAAUGAGUUCACAUACCUCCAUUGGGACGAAAGCAAAAUACAAGAAAAGGGAAUUAAGUCUGAUGUAGUGGGCCUGUAACACCUUUGUUCACACCGUCGGGCUAGGACGAAGAGGACCCGAUGUCGCCGUCAGCCUCAUAGAGCUCUUGCACAAGGACUCGACAUCGUCAUGCUCAAACAAAGAGGAAAUUUGGGGACUUGACGAAGAAGAAGGAUGCUCAAACGAAGAAUUGAAGGAUCGAUGAACAAGAAGCAGACUCCAUGUACAAGAAGUACACCAUGGAGACAUGGACGAGAAAGGCCGAUGAAGAGGUAAGGAGAAUUUGAGAAGAGAACUCCAUAAAUUAGGAGAAGUGAAGAAAACUGGGUUUUAGGGCUUGGAAAUUUGGGGCAAACCUUAGACAGAGACAUUUUUGCACACAAACCUUUUCUUUUAAGUUCUACACCAAGUAGGAGGGUGAAAUGAAUAAAAAAAUGCACUGUCAGCAUUUCCAUUAGCCAAAUUGAACAGCAUUAACAAAAGGACUCAGUUGCACCAAAUUGACAAGUUUUAGUACUUGAUUGCAUUUUCUCGACCAAUUCUAAAACUUAUGGUACACUUAUCCCUUUAACGUUCUAUUUUUACUGUAAAUAUUGCAAAUCGUGGAACUCAUCUUCAUAAUGAUCAGUAUUAAGUAAGAAAUGGACAAAAAAGUGGAACAUAUUACGUAGAAAAUAUGCCAAGUAAAAACAUUCGUGUGACUACAAAAUGAGAAAACAUUUUAAAUAAUAGGCUCUAAGCUAUUCUUUAUAUAUAUCUCCUACGAUAUGAAAUUUUUCCAAAUAUCUGUGAUAAAAACUGAAGUUCUCUCUGGUCUUCAAGCAACAGAAACCCUGGUGACCUCUGAUAAACCAAUUAUUUAAAGUUCAGUGCAGUCCCCACUGAUAAACCAAGUAUAUUCCACCAUCUUCGCCGUCAGGAGGAAUACUAAUAAACCAGGUACUUAAACUUCAGUACAGUCAACACUGAAUGCAACCAAACCAAGUGUUCAAACUUCAGGCAUAUGCCUAGUCUACCGACAGGAAUUUACCUCAAAUAGAGUCAGGAGAUCCUCCGUCCUUCCUGGUACGCGCAUUUGUUCUUGUGCACUGCUCUCUGCACGCGAAACCAACAAUGGGUGCCAAAACAUCGAUAGGUCUGUUGAUGCAGUCGGUGCACUCUCUUCCUCCUACAGAAACCGGAGACAUUAACAAACCCAGGGCAUUGUAUAUCACCAUUUUUGUGGCCUCACCAGAGGAAGGCCACCUAAUUACCACAUGUUGGCCCUACUCAAAUUCGAUUUGACAAAGAAAUGACUAGACCAAUUUUAAGACUCAAAAACAAACACGUUUUAUCCAGGUUUUUGUUUCAUUGCUUGAAGGGCUCCAAGCAACAAAUUUGGCAACAUGGAAGAAGAAAAAUGAAUACCGUCUUCCCUAAGUUGCCAUCUAAUGCUAACGAUUGUAAUGCUGAGAACAUGCUUUUUUAACCCAUAGCAUGAAUGGUCCUGUACCCGCAAAAGCUUCAGCAUCUCAGACCAGAUUGUCCUUGAAAAUCAGCACUCCAAAAAUAGAUAGUACUUUGGAUCGUCAAAUUAUGUAGGCUUAGUUGAAGCUCUGAAUUGAAAAUAUCCCAAAUACAAUAUUAAAGAAAUCAUACAUUCAUUGGAUAUUCUGGAGAUUCUAAGUGUACAGAAAGCACUUUAAGUAAAGAUGAAACCUUUAUUUUGACUCCCCAGUCCAAAAGAUAGAUUCAUAAAAAUUUGAAAUUGAUAUUUUCAGACAAUUUCGAAGGGGCGGCAUGAUAAUCAAGCCAAAUUCCCAAUUUUUUCCAGCAUGUUUCCAACAGAGAGAACCGCAAAAUUGAGCAUUAAAUAUGGUUGCUCCUGCCUUAAUCAACCCAAGCAAAAUCAUGGGAACCCAUUUUCUGUUUUGUUUUGGACGAUCCUAUCUCUUAUUUUGCUAAGCCUAGUAAGAUCACAAGAACUUCCUGUGUUUGUGCAUAUACUCAUUGACAUCACUCCCAAACUUCAGACCUACUCAAUCCACAAGAGAAAACACCUCAAAUGAGUUCACAUACCUCCAUUGGGACGAAAGAAAAAUACAAGAAAAGGGAAUUAACCCUGAUGUAGUUGCCUGUAACACUUUUGUUCACACCGUCGGGCUAGGACAAAGAAGACCCAACGUUGCCGUCAGCCUCAUAGAGCUCUUGCCCGAGGACUCGAUGUCGUUGUGCUCAAACAAAGAGGAAAUUUGGGGACUUGAUGAAGAAGAAGGAUGCUCAAAUGAAGAAUUGGAGGAUCGAUGAACGAGAAGAGGACUCCAUGAACAAGAAGUACACCAUGGAGGCAUGGACGAGAAAGGCCGAUGAAGAGGUGAGGAGAACUUGAGAAGAAAACUCCAUGAAUUUGGAGAAGUGAAGAAAACUGGAGAAGAAAACCCAGUUAGGGCUUGGAAAUUUGGGGCAAACCUUAGACAAAGACAUUUUUGCACACGAACCUUUUCUUUUAAGCUCUACAACACGUAGGAGAGUGAAAUGAAUAAAAAAUGCACCUUCAGCAUUUUCCAUUAGCCAAAUUGAACAGCGUUAACAAAAGGACUCAAUUGCACCAAAUUGACAAGUUUUAGUACUCGAUUACAUUUUCUCGACCAAUUCUAAAACUUAUGGUGCAUUUAUCCCUUUAACGUUCUAUUUUCACUGUAAAUAUUACAAAUCGUGGAACUCAUCUUCAUAAUGAUCAGUAUUAAGUAAGAAAUGGACAAAAAAGUGGAACAUAUUACGUAGAAAAUAUGCCAAGUAAAAACAUUCGUGUGACUACAAAAUGAGAAAACAUUUUAAAUAAUAGGCUCUAAGCUAUUCUUUAUAUAUAUCUCCUACGAUAUGAAAUUUUUCCAAAUAUCUGUGAUAAAAACUGAAGUUCUCUCUGGUCUUCAAGCAACAGAAACCCUGGUGAACUCUGAUAAACCAAUUAUUUAAAGUUCAGUGCAGUCCCCACUGAUAAACCAAGUAUAUUCCACCAUCUUCGCCGUCAGGAGGAAUACUAAUAAACCAGGUACUUAAACUUCAGUACAGUCAACACUGAAUGCAACCAAACCAAGUGUACAAACUUCAGGCAUAUGGCUAGUCUACCGACAGGAAUUUACCUCAAAUAGAGUCAGGAGUUCCUCCGUCUUCCCUGGUAUGCGCAUUUGUUCUUGUGUGCUGCUCUCUGCACGCGAAACCAAAGAUGGGUCCCCAAACAUCGAUAGGUGUGUUGAUGUAGCCCCCACACUCUUUCUCUCCUACAAAAACCAGAGACAUUAACAAACCCAGGGCAUUGUAUAUCACCAUUUUUGUGGCCUCACCAGAGGAAGGACACCUAAUUACCACAUGUCGGUCCUACUCAAAUUCGAUUUAACAAAGAAACGACUAGAUCAAUUUUAAGACUCAAAAACAAACACGUUUUAUCUAGGUUUUUGUUUCAUUGCUUGGAGGGCUCCAAGCAACAAAUUUGGCAACAUGGAAGAAGAAAAAUGAAUACCGUCUUCCCUAAGUCGCCAUCUAAUGCUAAGGAUUGUAAUGCUGAAAACAUGCUUUUUUAGCCCAUAGCAUGAAUGGUCCUGUACCAGCAAAAGCUUCAGCAUCUCAGACCAGAAUAUCCGUGAAAAUCAGCACUCCAAAAAUAGAUAGCACUUUGGAUCAUCAAAUUACGUAGGCUAGUUCAAGCUCUAAAUUGAAAAUAUCCCAGGUACAAUAUUAAAGAAAUCACACAUUCAUUGGAUAUUCUGGAGAUUCUAAGUGUACAGAAAGCACUUUAAGUAAAGAUGAAACCUUUAUUUUGACUCCCCAGUCCAAAGGAUAGAUUCACAGUAAUUUGAAAUUGAUAUUUUAAGAAAAUUCCGAAGGGGCGACAUGCAUGAUGAUCCAGCCAAAUCCCCAAUUUUUUCCAGCAUCUUCCCAAAGCAGAGAACCGCAAAAUUGAGCAUUAAAUGUGGUCGUUACCGCCUUAAUCAACCAAAACAAAAUCAUGGGAACAACCUGCGUCCUUUAUCUGUUUUGUUUUGGACAAUCCUAUCUCUUAUUUUGCUAUGACUAGUAAGAUCGCAAGAACUUCCUGUGUUUGUGCAUAUACUCAUUGACAUCACUCCCAAACUUCAGAGCUAUUCAAUCCACAAGAGGAAACACCUCAAAUGAGUUCACGUACCUCCAUUGGGACGAAAGCAAAAUACAAGAAAAGGGAAUUAAGCCUGAUGUAGUGGCCUGUAACACUUUUGUUCACACCGUCGGGCUAGGACGAAGAAGAGCCGACGUCACCGUCAGCCUCAUAGCGCUGUUGCGCGAGGACUCGACGUCGUCGUGCUUGAACAAAGAGGAAAUUUGGGGACUUGUCAAAGAAGAAGGAUGCUCAGAUGAAGAAUUGGAGGAUCGACAACCAAGAAGAGGACUCCAUGAACAAGAAAUACACCAUGGAGGCAAGGACGAGAAAGGCCGAUGAAGAGGUGAGGAGAACUUGAGAAGAAAAGUCCUUGAAUUAGGAGAAGUGAAGAAAACUGGAGAAGAAAACCCAGUUAGGGCUUGGAAAUUUGUGGUAAACCUUAGACACAGACAUUUUUGCACACAAACCUUUUCUUUUAAGCUUUACACCACGUAGGAGAGUGAAAUGAAUAAAAAAUGCAUCGUCAGGAUUUUCCAUCCGCCAAAUUGAACGGAGUUAACGAAAGGACUCAGUUGCACCAAAUUGACAAGUUUUAGUACUCGAUUGCAUUUUCUUGACCAAUUCUAAAAAUUAUGAUGCACUUAUCCCUUCAACGUUUUAUUUUCACUGUAAAUAUUGCAAAUCGUGGAACUCAUUUUCAUAAUGAUCUGUAUUAAGUAAGAAAUGGACAAAAAAGUGGAAUAUAUUAUGUAGAAAAUAUGCCAAGUCAAAACAUCCGUGUGAAUAUAAAAUGAGAAAACAUUUUAAAUAAUAGGCUCUAAGCUAUCCUUUAUAUAUAUCUCCUACGAUAUGAAAUUUUUCCAAAUAUUUAUGAUAAAAACUGAACUUCUCUCUGAUCUUCAGCCAACAGAAACCCCGUCUAAUAAAAGAAGUAUUUAAACUUCAGUACUGCCCCCACUGAUAAACCAAGUAUAUUCCACCAUCUUUGCCGUCAAGAGGAAUACUAAUAAACCAAGUAUUUAACCUUCAGUAUAUUCCCCACCGAAUGCAAAGAAACCAACUGUUCAAACUUCAGGCAUAUGGCUAGUCUACUGAUGGGAAUUUACCUCAUAUUGAGCCAUCAUUCCUUGUACAUGCAUCCAUCCUUGUUUGCUGCUCUGUAGAAGCCAAACCACCAAUGGGUCUGUUAAUGCGGCCUCAAAACUCUCGUCGUCCUGCAAAAACCGGAGACAUUAACAAACCCAGGCCAUCGUAUAUCACCAUUUUCGUGGCCUCACCAGAGGAAGGACACCUAAUUACCACAUGUUAGCCCUGCUCAAAUUCAAUUUGACAAAGAACUGACUAGACCAAUUUUAAGACUCACAAACAAACGCAUUUUAUCCAUGUUUUUGUUUCAUUGCCAGAAGGGCUCCAAGCAACAAAUUUGGCAACAUGAAAGAAGAAAACGAAUACCGUCUUCCCUAAGUCUCCAUCUAACGCUGAAAACUUGCUUGUUUAACCCAUAGCACCAAUGGCGCUGUACCAGUAAAAGCUUCAGCACCUCAGACCGGAUUGUCCUUGAAAAUCGGCACUCCAAAAAUAGAUAGCACUUUGGAUCGUCAAAUUACGUAGGCUAGUUCAAGCUCUAAAUUGAAAAUAUCCCAAAUACAAUAUUAAAGAAAUCACCCAUUCAUUGGAUAUUCUGGAGAUUCUAAGUGCACAGAAAGGACUUUAAGUAAAGAUGAAACCUUUAUUUUGACUCCCCAGUCCAAAAGAUAGAUUCAUAAUAAUUUGAAAUUGAUAUUUUAAGACAAUUUCGAAGGGGCAGCAUGCAUGAUGAUCAAGCCAAAUCCCAAUUUUUUCCAGCAUCUUCCCAAAGCAGAGAACCACAAAAUUGAGCAUUAAAUAUGGUUGUUCCUGCCUUAAUCAACCCAAACAAAAUCAUGGGAACAACCUGCGUCCUUUUUCUGUUUUGUUUUGGACAAUCCUAUCUCUUAUUUUGCUAUGACUAGUAAGAUCACAAGAACUUCCUGUGUUUGUGCAUAUACUCAUUGACAUCACUCCCAAAUUUCAGACCUAUUCAAUCCACAAGAGAAAACACCUCAAAUGAGUUCACAUACCUCCAUUGGGACGAAAGCAAAAUACAAGAAAAGGGAAUUAAGCCUGAUGUAGUGCCUGUAACACUUUUGUUCACACCGUCGGGCUAGGACAAAGAAGACCCGACGUCGCCGUCAGCCUCAUAGAGCUCUUGCACGAGGACUCGACGUCGCCGUGCUCGAACAAAGAGGAAAUUUGGGGACUUGACGAAGAAGAAGGAUGCUCAGAUGAAGAAUUGGAGGAUCGAUGACCAAGAAGUGGACUCCAUGAACAAGAAGUACACCAUGGAGGCAAGGACGAGAAAGGCCGAUGAAGAGGUGAGGAGAACUUGAGAAGAAAAGUCCUUGAAUUAGGAGAAGUGAAGAAAACUGGAGAAGAAAACCCAGUUAGGGCUUGGAAAUUUGUGGUAAACCUUAGACACAGAUAUUUUUGCACACAAACCUUUUCUUUUAAGCUUUACACCACGUAGGAGAGUGAAAUGCAUAAAAAAUGCAUCAUCAGGAUUUUCCAUCCGCCAAAUUGAACGGAGUUAACAAAAGGACUCAGUUGCACCAAAUUGACAAGUUUUAGUACUCGAUUGCAUUUUCUUGACCAAUUCUAAAAAUUAUGAUGCACUUAUCCCUUCAACGUUUUAUUUUCACUGUAAAUAUUGCAAAUCGUGGAACUCAUUUUCAUAAUGAUCUGUAUUAAGUAAGAAAUGGACAAAAAAGUGGAAUAUAUUAUGUAGAAAAUAUGCCAAGUCAAAACAUCCGUGUGAAUAUAAAAUGAGAAAACAUUUUAAAUAAUAGGCUCUAAGCUAUCCUUUUUAUAUAUCUCCUACGAUAUGAAAUUUUUCCAAAUAUUUUUGAUAAAAACUGAACUUCUCUCUGAUCUUCAGCCAACAGAAACCCCGGUGACGUCUAAUAAAAGAAGUAUUUAAACUUCAGUACUGUCCCCACUGAUAAACCAAGCAUAUUCCACCAUCUUUGCCGUCAAGAGGAAUACUAAUAAACCAAGUAUUUAACCUUCAGUAUAUUCCCCACCGAAUGCAAAGAAACCAACUGUUCAAACUUCAGGCGUAUGGCUAGUCUACUGAUGGAAAUUUACCUCAUAUUGAGCCAUCAUUCCUUGUACACGCAUCCGUUCUUGUUCGCUGCUCUGUGCAGGCCAAACCAUCAAUGGGUCUGUUAAUGUGGCCUGCAAACUCUCUUUGUCCUGCAAAAACUGGAGACAUUAACAAACCCAGGCCAUUGUAUAUCUCCAUUUUCGUGGCCUCACCAGAGGAAGGACACCUAAUUGCCACAUGUUAGCCCUACUCAAAUUCGAUCUGACAAAGAACUGAGUAGACCAAUUUUAAGACUCACAAACAAACGCAUUUUAUCCAUGUUUUUGUUUCAUUGCCAGAAGGGCUCCAAGCAACAAAUUUGGCAACAUGAAAGAAGAAAACGAAUACCGUCUUCCCUAAGUCUCCAUCUAACGCUGAAAACUUGCUUGUUUAACCCAUAGCACCAAUGGCGCUGUACCAGUAAAAGCUUCAGCACCUCAGACCGGAUUGUCCUUGAAAAUCGGCACUCCAAAAAUAGAUAGCACUUUGGAUCGUCAAAUUACGUAGGCUAGUUCAAGCUCUAAAUUGAAAAUAUCCCAAAUACAAUAUUAAAGAAAUCACCCAUUCAUUGGAUAUUCUGGAGAUUCUAAGUGUACAGAAAGGACUUUAAGUAAAGAUGAAACCUUUAUUUUGACUCCCCAGUCCAAAAGAUAGAUUCAUAAUAAUUUGAAAUUGAUAUUUUAAGACAAUUUCGAAGGGGCAGCAUGCAUGAUGAUCAAGCCAAAUCCCAAUUUUUUCCAGCAUCUUCCCAAAGCAGAGAACCACAAAAUUGAGCAUUAAAUAUGGUUGUUCCUGCCUUAAUCAACCCAAACAAAAUCAUGGGAACAACCUGCGUCCUUUUUCUGUUUUGUUUUGGACAAUCUUAUCUCUUAUUUUGCUAUGACUAGUAAGAUCACAAGAACUUCCUGUGUUUGUGCAUAUACUCAUUGACAUCACUCCCAAAUUUCAGACCUAUUCAAUCCACAAGAGAAAACACCUCAAAUGAGUUCACAUACCUCCAUUGGGACGAAAGCAAAAUACAAGAAAAGGGAAUUAAGCCUGAUGUAGUGGCCUGUAACACUUUUGUUCACACCGUCGGGCUAGGACAAAGAAGACCCGACGUCGCCGUCAGCCUCAUAGAGCUCUUGCACGAGGACUUGACGUCGCCGUGCUCGAACAAAGAGGAAAUUUGGGGACUUGACGAAGAAGAAGGAUACUCAGAUGAAGAAUUGGAGGAUCGAUGACCAAGAAGAGGACUCCAUGAACAAGAAGUACACCAUGGAGGCAUGGACGAGAAAGGCCGAUGAAGAGGUGAGGAGAACUUGAGAAGAAAAGUCCUUGAAUUAGGAGAAGUGAAGAAAACUGGAGAAGAAAACCCAGUUAGGGCUUGGAAAUUUGUGGUAAACCUUAGACACAGACAUUUUUGCACACAAACCUUUUCUUUUAAGCUUUACACCACAUAGGAGAGUGAAAUGAAUAAAAAAUGCAUCGUCAGGAUUUUCCAUCCGCCAAAUUGAACGGAGUUAACAAAAGGACUCAGUUGCACCAAAUUGACAAGUUUUAGUACUCGAUUGCAUUUUCUUGACCAAUUCUAAAAAUUAUGAUGCACUUAUCCCUUCAACGUUUUAUUUUCACUGUAAAUAUUGCAAAUCGUGGAACUCAUUUUCAUAAUGAUCUGUAUUAAGUAAGAAAUGGACAAAAAAGUGGAAUAUAUUAUGUAGAAAAUAUGCCAAGUCAAAACAUCCGUGUGAAUAUAAAAUGAGAAAACAUUUUAAAUAAUAGGCUCUAAGCUAUCCUUUUUAUAUAUCUCCUACGAUAUGAAAUUUUUCCAAAUAUUUAUGAUAAAAACUGAACUUCUCUCUGAUCUCCAGCCAACAGAAACCCCGGUGACGUCUAAUAAAAGAAGUAUUUAAACUUCAGUACUGUCCCCACUGAUAAACCAAGUAUAUUCCACCAUCUUUGCCGUCAAGAGGAAUACUAAUAAACCAAGUAUUUAACCUUCAGUAUAUUCCCCACCGAAUGCAAAGAAACCAACUGUUCAAACUUCAGGCAUAUGGCUAGUCUACUGAUGGGAAUUUACCUCAUAUUGAGCCAUCAUUCCUCGUACACGCAUCCAUUGUUGUUCGCUGCUGUGUGCAAGCCAAUUCAUCAAUGGGUCUGUUAAUGCGGCCUGCAAACUCUCUUCGUCCUGCAAAAACCGGAGACAUUAACAAACCCAGGCCAUCGUAUAUCACCAUUUUCGUGGCCUCACCAGAGGAAGGACACCUAAUUACCACAUGUUAGCCCUGCUCAAAUUCAAUUUGACAAAGAACUGACUAGACCAAUUUUAAGACUCACAAACAAACGCAUUUUAUCCAUGUUUUUGUUUCAUUGCCAGAAGGGCUCCAAGCAACAAAUUUGGCAACAUGAAAGAAGAAAACGAAUACCGUCUUCCCUAAGUCUCCAUCUAACGCUGAAAACUUGCUUGUUUAACCCAUAGCACCAAUGGCGCUGUACCAGUAAAAGCUUCAGCACCUCAGACCGGAUUGUCCUUGAAAAUCGGCACUCCAAAAAUAGAUAGCACUUUGGAUCGUCAAAUUACGUAGGCUAGUUCAAGCUCUAAAUUGAAAAUAUCCCAAAUACAAUAUUAAAGAAAUCACCCAUUCAUUGGAUAUUCUGGAGAUUCUAAGUGUACAGAAAGGACUUUAAGUAAAGAUGAAACCUUUAUUUUGACUCCCCAGUCCAAAAGAUAGAUUCAUAAUAAUUUGAAAUUGAUUUUUCUUUUUUCAGACAAUUUCGAAGGGGUGGCAUGCAUGAUAAUCAAGCCAAAUCCCCAAUUUUUUCCAGCAUGUUUCCAAAGCAAAGAACCUCAAAAUUGAGCAUUAAGUAUGGUUGCUCCCGCCUUAAUCAACCCAAACAAAAUCAUGGGAACAACCUGCGUCCUUUUUCUGUUUUGUUUUGGACAAUCCUAUCUCUUAUUUUGCUAUGACUAGUAAGAUCCCAAGAAACUUCCCGUGUUUGUGCAUAUACUCAUUGACAUCACUCCCAAACUUCCGACCUAUUCAAUCCACAAGAGAAAACACCUCAAAUGAGUUCACGUACCUCCAUCGGAUGAAAGCAAAAUACAAGAAUAGAGGAUUAAGCCUGAUAUAGUGGCUUUUAAAACCUUUGUUCAAGCUGUCGGGCUAGGACGAAGAGGACUGGAUGUCGCCGUCAGCCUCAUAGAGCUCUUGCAUGAGGACUCGACAUCAUCACGCUCGAACAAAGAGGAAAUUUGGGGACUCGACGAAGAAGGACACUCAGACGAAGAAUAGGAGGAUCGAUGAACAAGAAGCAGACUCCACAAACAAGAAGUACACCAUGGAGGCAUGGACAAGAAAGACCAAUGAAGAGGUGAGGAGAACUUGAGAAGAAAACCCACAAAUUAGGAGAAGUGAAGAAAACUGGAGAAGAAAACUCAGUUAGGGCUUGGAAAUUUGGAGCAAACCUUAAAUGGAGACAUUUUUGCACACAAACCUUUUCUUUUAAGCUCUACACCGAGUACGAGAGUGAAAUGAAAAAGAAAAUGCACCGAAUGCAAUAAAUCAAGUAUUUAAACUUCAGUACAGUCCCCACCAAAUGCAACCAAACCAAGUGUUCAAACUUCAGGCAUAUAGCUAAUCUACCAAUGGGAAUUUAUCUCAUAUAAAGCCAGGCAUUCCUCCCUCUUUCCCCAUACACUCUCUUCCUCCUGCAAAAAUGGGAGACAUUAACAAACCCUGGGCAUCGAAUAUCACCAUUUUUGUCGCCUCACCAGAGGCAGGACACCUAAUUACCACAUGUUGGCCCUACUAAAAUUCGAUUUGACAAAGAACUGACCAAAUCAAUUUUAAGACUCACAAACAAACGCAUUUUAUCCAGGUUCUUGUUUCAUUGCCUAAAGGGCUCCAAGCAACAAAUUUGGCAACAUGAAAGUAGAAAAAUGAAUACCAUCUUCCCUAAGUCACCAUCUAAUGUUGAUGAUUGUAACGCUGAAAACAUGCUUUUUCUACCUAUACCACGAAUGGUGCUGUACCAGCAACAGCUUUAGCAACUCAGACCAGAUUGUCCUUGAAAAUCGGCACUCCAAGAAUAGAUAGCACUUUGGAUUGUCAAAUUAUGUAGGCUAGUUCAAGCUCUAAAGAAAAUAUCCCUAAUACAAUAUUAAAGAAAUCAUACAUUCUUUGGAUAUUCUGGAGAUUCUAAGUGAACAAAUAGCACUUUAAGUAAAGAUGACACCUUUAUUUUGACUCCACGGGCCAAAAGAUGGAUUCAUAAUAAUUUGAAAUUGAAUUUUCAGGAAAUUUCCAUGGGCGUUAUGCAUGAUAUUCAAGCCAAAUCCCCAAUCUUUUUAGCAUGUUUCCAAAGCAGAGAACCGCAAAAUUGAGCAUUAAAUAUAGUUGCUCCCGCCUUAAUCAACCGAAACAAAAUCAUGCGAACAAUCUGUGUCCUUUUUCUGUUUUGUUUUGGACGAUCCUAUCUCUUAUUUUGCUAAGAUUAGUAAGAUCGCAACAACAUCCUGCGUUUGGGCAUAUACCCAUUGACAUCAUUCCCAAACUUCAGACCUAUCAAUCCACAAGAGAAAUCAACUCAAAUGAGUUCCCAUACCUCCUUCGGAAUGAAAGCAGAGUACAAGAAAGGAGAUUAAGCUCGAUGUAGUGACUUAUAACACCCUCAUUCACGCCACCCGGCUUUGGACGAAGAGGACCCGACAUCGCCGUUGGACUCAUCGAGCUCUUGCGCAAGGACUCGACGUCGUCGCGCUCGAACGAAGAUGAAAUUUGGGGAUUCGGCGAAGAAGAAAAAGGACACUCAGAUGAAGAAGAGGAGGAUCGAUGAAUGAGAAGCGGACUCCAUGAACAAGAAGUACACUACGGACGAGAAAGACUGAUGAAGAAGUGACGAGAACUUGAGAAGAAUACUCAAUCAGGGCUUGGAAAUGCUAAGUAAAACCAAUUGUUUCUUAUAAAAUGAGAGAAAAUUUUAAAUAAUAGGCUAUAAGCUAUUCUAUAUAUAUAUAUCCUAUAAAAUGAAGUUUUUCCAAAUAUUUGUGAUAAAAUCUGAACCUCUUACUGCAACUAUGUAACUUUCUCAUAUACAGAAAAAAGGAAAAGCCAAAAAAACGCAGAGAGAGAAAACAUCACAUGCGUCUACUGGUUUUUAAAGUAAGUGAGACCGAGACUUAUUGUAUGAUUGUUUCUUUUUUUAUUUUCCACAAUUAUUAUAAAUCUCCUUAUAGUUGAAUUUAUGUUUGUGAAUGGUUUUGCUGACUCACCUUAUAUUGCUUGAAAUCUUGGACGGAGCCUUCGAAUAUUGUCUUAAGCCCAAGUAAUUUCGGGCAACAACUAAUAAGUAAGUGGCAAUCAUUUGGCAAUUUGGUGGUCGAUACAUCAAUCGGACUUUCCAACAAUGGGUUGCUAAUAAGGGUUAACAGCUCCAAAAACUCCAUCUUGUCAAGGCCCUCGACAAUUCCAAGCACAGGGCAGAAGUCUAUGUGCAAGCACUUGAGAUUCUUUAAUUUUGACAAACCACCAAGACUUUGCAAAUGAUAACCAUAAGGUGUCGUUGUUUGCAACAAUUCUAACGUAUCAACAACUUGAAUACCGAGUAUAUUAUUGCAACACUGUAUGCAGAGUCUCUCCAACUUAUUGAAGACUCUCGAUGCAAAGACUAGUGAAGANNNNNNNNNNNNNNNNNNNNNNNNNNNNNNNNNNNNNNNNNNNNNNNNNNNNNNNNNNNNNNNNNNNNNNNNNNNNNNNNNNNNNNNNNNNNNNNNNNNNNNNNNNNNNNNNNNNNNNNNNNNNNNNNNNNNNNNNNNNNNNNNNNNNNNNNNNNNNNNNNNNNNNNNNNNNNNNNNNNNNNNNNNNNNNNNNNNNNNNNNNNNNNNNNNNNNNNNNNNNNNNNNNNNNNNNNNNNNNNNNNNNNNNNNNNNNNNNNNNNNNNNNNNNNNNNNNNNNNNNNNNNNNNNNNNNNNNNNNNNNNNNNNNNNNNNNNNNNNNNNNNNNNNNNNNNNNNNNNNNNNNNNNNNNNNNNNNNNNNNNNNNNNNNNNNNNNNNNNNNNNNNNNNNNNNNNNNNNNNNNNNNNNNNNNNNNNNNNNNNNNNNNNNNNNNNNNNNNNNNNNNNNNNNNNNNNNNNNNNNNNNNNNNNNNNNNNNNNNNNNNNNNNNNNNNNNNNNNNNNNNNNNNNNNNNNNNNNNNNNNNNNNNNNNNNNNNNNNNNNNNNNNNNNNNNNNNNNNNNNNNNNNNNNNNNNNNNNNNNNNNNNNNNNNNNNNNNNNNNNNNNNNNNNNNNNNNNNNNNNNNNNNNNNNNNNNNNNNNNNNNNNNNNNNNNNNNNNNNNNNNNNNNNNNNNNNNNNNNNNNNNNNNNNNNNNNNNNNNNNNNNNNNNNNNNNNNNNNNNNNNNNNNNNNNNNNNNNNNNNNNNNNNNNNNNNNNNNNNNNNNNNNNNNNNNNNNNNNNNNNNNNNNNNNNNNNNNNNNNNNNNNNNNNNNNNNNNNNNNNNNNNNNNNNNNNNNNNNNNNNNNNNNNNNNNNNNNNNNNNNNNNNNNNNNNNNNNNNNNNNNNNNNNNNNNNNNNNNNNNNNNNNNNNNNNNNNNNNNNNNNNNNNNNNNNNNNNNNNNNNNNNNNNNNNNNNNNNNNNNNNNNNNNNNNNNNNNNNNNNNNNNNNNNNNNNNNNNNNNNNNNNNNNNNNNNNNNNNNNNNNNNNNNNNNNNNNNNNNNNNNNNNNNNNNNNNNNNNNNNNNNNNNNNNNNNNNNNNNNNNNNNNNNNNNNNNNNNNNNNNNNNNNNNNNNNNNNNNNNNNNNNNNNNNNNNNNNNNNNNNNNNNNNNNNNNNNNNNNNNNNNNNNNNNNNNNNNNNNNNNNNNNNNNNNNNNNNNNNNNNNNNNNNNNNNNNNNNNNNNNNNNNNNNNNNNNNNNNNNNNNNNNNNNNNNNNNNNNNNNNNNNNNNNNNNNNNNNNNNNNNNNNNNNNNNNNNNNNNNNNNNNNNNNNNNNNNNNNNNNNNNNNNNNNNNNNNNNNNNNNNNNNNNNNNNNNNNNNNNNNNNNNNNNNNNNNNNNNNNNNNNNNNNNNNNNNNNNNNNNNNNNNNNNNNNNNNNNNNNNNNNNNNNNNNNNNNNNNNNNNNNNNNNNNNNNNNNNNNNNNNNNNNNNNNNNNNNNNNNNNNNNNNNNNNNNNNNNNNNNNNNNNNNNNNNNNNNNNNAAGUUGAGUAAGGGAAGCUAACUCAGUGGGAGCAGGAACAUGGAGGAGACACAAGCUUAAUUUUUUUAGUUUGGAUAACCCCUGAUCGACUCUAAAUCACCCAAUAUAAGUUCCAUCACGUUCGUCAAUUUUUUUGGAGCCGUCAUCUAGUUUCAACCUAACCAAAUUAGUCAAGUUUGAGAGGUCCGGCAACUCUCGGAUUUCAUCAAACCCUUUUAACAAGCCAAUUUCAGAAGGAAGUUGACUUUUCAAAUUUCCUUCAACCUGAAGCGGUUUCAGAUUCUCAAACUUUCCGAUGGCACUCGGUGACUCCACUGGAUGUGCAAUUGAAAGCUGCAACUUCCGCAAUGAUUUCCACUUAAAUAUGAAAUCCGGUAAUUCCUUCAUUGCACAACAAGAUCGUAAAGAGAAGUGCUCUAGAUUCUGUAGGUCCCUGAUUUUUUCAGGCAAACCUUCAAGGCGAAUGCAAAGAUCAAACUUUAAAUCUUUCAGAUCCUUUAACUUCCCAAUAGAGCCAUCAAUCUUCGUUAAGCCGUCGCAAGCGAAAAAUGUCAGCCUCUCUAAUUUUGAGCAUUCAGAUAAGUCUGGUGUUCUAGUUAUGCCAUGACAUUUAGCAAGACUAAGAACUUUCAAUUUUGUUGUCCCCUGUAAAAAGUGAAUGCAUUAUCCAAUGGAAGAGCAAUUCAAACGUUCAUUUUAAGGACAAAGAAAGGAAAUAAGCAUAUGACGCACCUUUAUUAACUGCAAUAAUUUCUGAUCGUCUAUACCGUGAACGAAUGAAAAGUCAAGGACAACCACAUUCUUGAAGCACAUAUUGGUCAGCUCACACUCUGAAAACAGAGAAUCUCUCAAAUGAAUCCAUUUUAGUUUGGGAAAACAAUCCAUUAGAUCGCCAACAAAGUUUCCUCCAUUUAAUCUAAGGAACCUUAGUUCUUUAAACCUUCCAAUCUCUUCACUUUUGAUACAUAUGCUUUUUUGAGUUACUUCCAUCGCUUGAACUUUCUUCAUCUCCAAAUAGCCAAGCAAGGAUCCUCCAUUUAAUCUAAGCAAUUCUUUAAAACUUCCAAUUUCUUCACUUUCGUGAGUUACUUCCAUCGCUUGAACUUUCUUCAUCUGCAAACGAGAACAAGAAAGGAGUAGCAUUCAGCAUUCCAUUUUAUUGAGGAAAAGUAUUAAAACCAAGAAGCAAAAAGAGAAUCUAUUAGUUCUCUCAUUAAGUGUUCCACCUCCUUUGUCUUCAUUGUAGUGAGGACUUCAUCUUGAAUCCAUAACCUACUACGCCCUUCAGGAAUUGUUCGAUUUUCUUGACGAACAAUUUCCCUUCCAAGACCUCCAAGUUGAUCGUGCAUCCAAAACUCAUUGUCGUUUACAAUCUUUAUCAAGGACUUGCUUUUGAGGACCUCAAUUCCACGGAUUGGGGAAAAACCACAAUCUGUCCACAUAUAAAUUGGGUUUGUCAUUAUCUCACCAAUGAAAAAGCAUGCAAUAUCCAGAAAAAUUUGUUGCUGCUCAAAAGUCAAUGCUUUAUAGCUAAUCCUCAACUUUUCGAAAACACUCUCUGGAGGUGCUUUGCGUAAAUCGUCCAAUGUUUCUUUCCAUAGGUCUUGUGUUCCAUGGUUCAGAAGUGAACCAAUUACUACAAUAGUCAAAGGAAGGCUUCCAGUAGCAAAUACAAUUUCCUUUGAAAUAUCAUCGCGAUCAUCUGGAGGAGAGUCCUUGUUAAACGCAUGUCUGCUGAAGAGCUGAAGUGCAUGAUCACUACUCAUCAUCUUCAUUUCAUAAGGUAAUAUACUGUACUUCAGUUGAGAGCCUUGCAAAAUAUCCUUGUUUCUAGUAGUAAUCAAUACUCUAGACCCUGAACACAAAGCACCUGUUCCAACUAAUUUCUCCACUUGUUCCCUUUCAUCAACAUCAUCCAAUACAAUGAAGACCUUCAUAUUGCAAAGUGUUUCUUCGAUCCUCUUCUUUCCAUAUUCAAUUGCAUCGAUGCAUUCUAUUCCUGCGGCACUUGCUAUUUCAGAUAAUAACUUCUUUUGCAAUUCAACUAAGCCAUCCAAUCUUGACGACUUUUCUCGAAUAUCUUCAAGAAAGGAGCAACGCUUUCCAAAGUGGGUAGAAAGUUCAUUAAACACGACAUUGGCAAGAGUUGUUUUACCGAUACCCCCCAUGCCAUGAAUUUGAACGAGCCGUCCACCUCUAGAGCCUACGUCUAACAAAUUUUUUACUGCUACCACUUGAUCAUCGAUUCUAAUUAAAUGUUCAGUCACAGACUUUUGCUUUGUCUUCAACUUCUUCACAACCUCGUCAACAACCAACUUAAUGAGUUCCCCCUGGCUGCCAUGAAGGAAAACCAUUUCAAUAGGGGAAAAUUGCAGGGAAGAAAAAAAAAAUCUAAAUUUCAUUCGUGAUACGAUUCCAUCAGACUUCGACGGAAUCUCCUUUUUAUUUUGUUCGUUUCCUAGCAGUUGAUGUUAUUCAAUUACGUUUGCUUAACUGCGCAAUAAUUCAAUAACCAAUAUGACAUCAACAAUCAAGACGUUUCUUCUCAAAUUUUGUACUGAAUGUAAGGUUUUCUUAGUUAUCACUUUUGAUAACUUAACAUUUGUAAUUUGAUGUGUUGCGCAAACCUUGUGUACUUGAUCUUGUAAAAUUCCAAAAUAACACCAAGCAUGCAUAAAACAAAUAUUUUGACUAGAAUGAUGUAAUUGACCUUAAAGGAUUUCAGAUUUGAUUUUUCUAGCUAAUUCUAUGAACCAUAAAAAAUAUGAAUCUACAUCACUUUCAAAGGCACUUUUCAUUCACAUUGCUAGGUGCCACGAGUUGCAUUGUGUCAUAAUGAAAAUUGACAAUCCCAACAUGUGAUUAGCAAUCCUCAAAUUAUGUUAAUCUUCUUUGUGCAAGAUGAAUGUACAAAUAUUUAUGCAUUGCGAAUUAGAAUUUUAUCAGUUAUAUUCAUGGGACAACCUUAGAAGUGGUACAUAAUAUGUUCAGGAGGAGAAAUGUUUGAUGCAUUAAUUGAAAGAUCAAAUUAUUAGACAGGAACGUGCAUGGUAUUCAUUUAUUCCACUUUGUCACCCAUAGUUCACAUUUUAUUUUACACGCAUACCAUUUAGUAUUACCUGUGGAAGUCCCACCUCAAAUGUUGUGAUAUAUCUCUAUUACUAAGUUUUGAGCAGUAGUUCUAGAAGCAUUAGAAUUUUACUAAGAGUUGCUUACUAAAUGACAGAAGUGAAAAAGGAAACAAAAUUCAUACAGACCAUCAAAGAAAGGAAAAAAUGAGCGUUUGUUUCUAUUUUUAUUUCUUCAUUAAAAAUAGACAUAUAUGAUAGUGCUUCUAGUGAAAUCAAGAACACUAAUAUUUUUAGUAGCUCUAGCAUGAUUCUUAUGUUUUUGGAUUCUCUUCUCCUACAUUUAGUAUGUUCCUUCUUUCUAUGAAUUAUAUACUUAGUUUUUGCAAUCAGGAAAAAGAAAUUAGGGAAAAUAGGGAUCUUAGAAUGCAGAAAGCUCACCCUUUGUAUUUCUUGACUUCCCACCCCUUUAUUGCAUCAACCUCUUUCAAAGCCUCUCUCCAGGAAUCUACUUGUUCAGUGCUCAAGUUCUUCUCACGCUCCAAGUUGAGUAUGGCAUCGCGAUACAAUGGAGUUUUCAGCUUAACAUCGUUGGGUUCCACGUCAAAGAAAAUAGGCAGGAUCUCUUUAUGCCCGCUGGACUUGGAAGCGUUCUCCAUAAUCUGUGCGAGCUCGCACAGACACCAUUGGCUUGAAGCGUAAGUUCGAGAGAAGAUGGGGAUGUAGAUCCCAGAGUUGUCGAUUGCUCUCGGGAGCGCUCCAUCAAUUCUUUCACCAAUAGGGAGCUCUUCAUCAUCUCGAAAGACACAGAUGCCGGCAUUGGUCAAGCUAUGGUAGAGGAAGUCGGUAAAUCCAUCACGAGUGUCGGGUCCUCUAAAGUUCAGGAACACUUGAUACUCGCUUCCUGACGAUGUUCCUGCCUCUGAGCUCCCCAUUUUAAACUUUAGCUUUAGCAGCUCUCUUCCACCCUCCCUCGUGGGUGAACAAGAUAGGCCUUCGCCCUUGGCUGAUCGAAGGUCUCAACCACAAACAUAUCGCGUAAAUAUAUCAUGAAUGAGAUUACCAAUGAUCAGAGAAAAGCAUAAAAAAUACCAUCGCAGACUAUUAUAUAAUUUUUUUUUUUUGGUAAAGCAGAUUUUUAUAUAAAUUCAGCUACAGAAUAACAAAAAAGAAGCACGUAUGUAAAUUCCCGCAUUAUAUUCAAACUCCCAAUGAUCCAUAUCAUUUGUAAGUCAAAGUUUUGGAAAGGUUGAGAUUAUCCUGCAAUCUUUUCAUAAAUCCACUUGUCUAUUCUUGUUAAGAAGUUGAUCAGGGAGACUUCGGUCCAAUUAUACAGGAAGGAACGCAAAAAAAUACAAAUGGGUAUAUCAGUCCCGACGAUCAGAUCCGUCCUCGAUCGUGGACAACCGCGCUCAUUCAGAGCAAGGUUUUCAUGAAACCGAACUCUUCAAGGCAAAUCCAGAACAAGUCAGAAGAGAAUCGUACCGUGUUCGUGGUCACUGCUGCUGGGAAAGGGCUUCGUGAAGAUGAAUAUCGAUGGCUCCUGGUCCUGGCUAGCCGAUUCGUCGGAGGGGUUCGUUGCCGGAGUCGCUCGGGACGACCGGGGGACGUCGAUCGCUGGGUUUGAGAAGAAGAUCGUGGCCUCCUCUCCCCUGCAAACGGAAAAACUAGCCCUCAAAGAAGUGUUUGUCGGUGGCUGUGCGAGGAAAGGAAGCUCGAAGACUUUUAAGUCUUCCAAGCGAUCUGAGAGUGCCUUCCAGCUGUAUGUACGGUGCAUGGGCCCCCCGGUGUUUCAUUUUAGACAAUUGAAUUUUCUCAAAUUGUUUCUUGUCGUGAACAAAAAGUGUUUGCGGCAAAAUAAUAGUUGCUAAGGAAAAAAAAUGCCUAGGACACGGAAUUGAUCUUAAAGAACUAUUCCUACAGCACCUAACCAAAUCCACCUACGUUAGGAGAAAUAAUAUCAAAUGAGUAAUAAAUUUUAUUGUACAUAUAUUAAUUCAGUAAUAUUUUUUUUUACUAAUAUAACUUUAAACCUUAGUACAAAAAAUUCUAAACAAAGCCUACUGCGAUAUAUUUAUCUUAAAUUUUUUAUGACAUCAAAAAUUCCAAAUUUAUAUUUAUUUCACACAUUAUAUUUAUCCCAAAUUUCUUCUUGUGACACUAAAAAUUUCAAACUUGUAUAUAUGUAAUAGACUUAUCCUAAAAAUAUGGUGUCGCGUAAAAAUUUAGAGUUUUUAAUGCCAGAAAAAAAAGAUUUGAUAUAAAUGUAUCACCCUAUGACACAUAAUUUAGAAAUUAUCUGUAAAAUUUCUAUGCAUAGAGUAGCUUGCUUGAUGUGUCAACCGUUAUCAGGCACAAUACUUCAAUGCGAACCUAAGAAGGACAAUAAUGCACUCGAAAAGGGUAAAAAGAAACACCAAAGAAACACUCCAUGUGCAUACUUUAUGGAAGUGAAGCAAAAGCAAUAGUCGACAAAAAGUUGAAGGGAGGCAUGAAGUUUCUAAAAAAUGCCAAACAACUUUAUAGAAACUGGGUCGAAAGGUGCCCUUGCUUUUCCUAAAAUAAAUACAUAAAAAUAAAAACCAACCUGCCUUUUGAGGCAAGCACAUAAAAUUCUCUAUGGAGGCUUGUUCCAUUUUUCAAUUCUAACCAUUAGAAAGGGCAUCCGGAAAACACAAACAUAAUUCAAGGAGGUGGCUUAUAUUUUGCAUAUAUCUCUGUGCGUGCAUAUGAUUUAGGCAAUGGGAUUAUAUCACGAAUCAUGAAAUUGAUUGGAUACUCUUAAUUACUCAAUACUCAAUAUCAAUAGGAAACAACAUACAACCUAUUUUCUAUAUAUCUCAAAGUGUAUUAAGAAUUUUGAUUCAAGCUUAGCUCCCUACAUUUUCUAGCACAAGUUGAUCUCUUUGAAAGGGAUUAAAAUGAUGACUAUAUAUGUGCAAACACUUUAGAAUCUUCAAAAGAGCGGAAGAAAGAAUAUAGUCAAGAGCGGAAGAAAGAAUAUAGUCAAGGGCUAUAUCUUAAGAAGGAACAAGCUUAGCUCGUGAUUAUUCCCUUUAGUCGAUCUACAUCUCUGAUUGGAGAUAAAAUCUCUCAUUUUCCAUAAGCGUAUUGAAUCGACAUAGAAGGAGAAAAAUAAAUGAAGUGCAGGCUGUGUUGAUGUCAUGACGAUUGUAAGUGGGGGCAGUUCCGCUGUUUUCAAACUCUCAAGCAACCCUCAUCAACGGUUCCACACCCUACGAAUUUCUUUUUUUCUUCAAUUUUUGUCUCCUUUUAUUUAGGUUUUCUCUGAUUUUUUAAAUAAUUUCUUUGGUCUUUCUUCGCCUCAUUAGCACCAAUGUAGAAAGAAAUUACAAAGCGCCACAUCCAAUUUUGGAAUCUAUGUUAGCAAAUUUGGUUAUGAGUCUGUCAUAAAGAUUAAAUUGUACCCAACAAAAAACGUUUAGGACUUGAUUGCACACAUUCAAAAUUUGGGACUUGACUGCAUAUUCGGCCAAACAUUAUGGACUUUUUGGUGUGAUUUUCAUUUAUAAGAACCUAAAAUGAGAAUCAGCAUAGUGGAUAGUAAAUAUUUUUAUAAGAUAAUAACAAAUGAGGGUUACUCAAAUAAAAAUUUAUAGUUUGAUUCCCAUCCUACAUUAAUCUCUCCCACCGAGAAGAGCUCUACUAUUGACUGGUUUUCCCAUGCAUCUCUUGUCUUGAUUUGGCAUGUCCUUCCACAGCUGUCGAAUAAACUUGUAGAUUAGCAGCAAAAAUAGCAUAUUGGUUGUGAGGACAAACUUUCACGCCAACAAGCGCAAGGAGAGGGAAAUCGCGUGGAGUGGGGUCGCUGUUCCAGCCAUGCGUGUGUAAUGAACACGUGAAAGUUCAACUCUAUCUCCUUGUGAAAUCCCCCAUGUAAACGCAAAAAAAAUUGAAAACGCGUGGCACGACUCUAUUAUAUGUUGGCAAAAGCAAAAGGGGAAAGACUCGUGCAUGAUUUUUAUCUCUUUAGUGUUUUUCCACAACUUUUUGUUUGUCAUUUUGACAAUUCAACUCAAUUGUAAGUCAAUGAAGGAUACAUAAAAGAAAAGGAGAGGAAAGAGACACGAAGAGGACAAGAGACUUUUGCAAUGAGGUCGAAACUUUAUGGGGCUUCUGAGUUGAUGGGAUGUUAAGUUGAAAAUGAGAGAAAUUGAGUCGGAAGGUACCUGUGCCUGUCCUAAAGGAUAAAAAUUAAAUUAUCUUUUGAGUCAAGCACAUAAAUUUCUCUGGUGGGUUGUCCCAUUUUUCAACUUCAAUUAUGCAAAAGGCAUCUUGAAAACACAAACAUAAUCGUUGAGAAGUGCCACAGAAGUGAUCUAAGGUAUUUGGACUAUAUCACGACUCAUUGAAUUGGUUGCAUGUACAAAGCAUCAAAUAUUCAAUAAGAAAAAAAAAAACAAAACCUCUUUUUGUAUAUCUCUGUGCGUGCGUAUAAUUUGUUUCAUGUUUAGCUCUCUCCAUUUUUUAGUAUAAGCUAAGCCAACGAAUCAUAAAAUAUUAAUGAAAUAUAUAACUUACAAUUUAAUAUAGCUGAGCCUCACAAUAAAGGAAAUUAAAAUGCCUAGGUUCGACAAACUGAUCAUCCGUUUAAAAAUAGGACUCGCGCGUAAACCAAUUUGGUGGAAAAUUUCUAUGCGAUAUAAUCAGUUAUUUCAGCUCUAAUACCAAAUAAUUCGAGACAAUAAGGAGAAGAAGUGAAUCAGAAGCGGAAAGGGGAUGCCAAGAUCAAAAUUGACAACAAAGAAGAGAAAGAAAUUGAUUUGUGAAAUUGAUUGAUGCUCUCAAAAAAAUCAGAUACUCAAUAUCAAACAACAUAAAACUUUUUUUUAAAUAUAUCUCCAUGUCUGCAUAUAAUUUGGUUCAACUUUAGCUCUAUCCAUUUUUUGGCAUAAGUUGAUUUAUUUGAAAGGGGAUAAAAUGCCGACUAUAUACGUAUAAAUAGUUUAAAAUGAGAGAGAGAGAGAGAGAGAGAGAGAGAGAGAGUAGACAAAAACUACAUCUUUAGGAGGAAUAAGCCUUAGGCCCCGUUUGGUUCGGCAUUUAGAAGGGGCUUUUGGCCUCUAAAGGGGUUUGGGCAAAAGCGGAUGGUGUUUGGUUCAACAUUUUGGGGACUUUGGAGAGAUGCAAUUGCAUCUCCAAGGGGCUUGAAGGGGCUUUAGGGGAAUAGAGGGGGAGAGGUCCAUUGGGAAGUUGCAUUUUCGGAAUGCAACUUCUACUGUUCAUCUUCACCGGAGAGAAGCCGAUUGGAGGCCGACGACCGCCGGCCAAGGGGUCGCGCGCGCCGGCAAUGCGCCGGCGACCGCCAGCCAAGGGGUCCCCCGACCCCGGCGACCGUCGCCGGACCUCAGGCGACGCCUGGGUCGCACGAACCAGGCGGCUGUCGCCUGAAUCGCCCGACCCAGGCGGCCGCCUGAGGUCGCGCGACCCAGGUGGCCAAAUCCGGCCAUUCGGCGGUCCGGCCGCCAAAUCCGACGGUCCGGUGGCCGAACUUCAAAAAAAAAUAAGACAAAUGCUUUUUUGUUUUUUUAAUUUAAUAAAAGUCAUUUACAAAUGUAAAUUUUACCAAACGGUAUUUUGACCAAAGUUGCAUCUCCAUGCAAAUUUUACCAAACGAUAUUUGCAUUUCGGAAAACCCCAUUCACCCAAAGGUAUUUGCAUUUUGGCAAAUGCAUUCCCCAAAAGCCGAACCAAACGGGCCCUUACUCGUGAUUACUCCCUUCAAUCGGUCUACAUCCCUAAUUCGAGGUAAAAUAUUUUAUUUUUCAUAAGCUCUUUGAAUCGACAUAACAUUCUAAAAAAUCAAGCUAUAUGAUUUAAUAUUUUACAGGCUUGUGGCAACUAAAAUGAAUAGGAUGAUGAGGACAAAGAAAAAGAUGUGUAGGCUCUGCUCAUGGACAUUAUAGUGGGGGCAGUUCUGUCGUCUCCAAACCCUCUAACAGCCCUCACCAAUGGUUCCACUCUCUAUGACUUUCAGUUUUAUCUAGUCUUUGUAUUUUUUUCUCCAAUUUUUAAAUUUUUUUAAUUUUCCUAACGUGGGGCCACAUCAGCACGACAUCAGAGCCAUGUAUGUUAAAAGAAACUACAAAAUGCCAAGUCGGAUUUUGGCAUUUAUGUUAGCAAAUUUGACCAUGAGUUUGCCAGCAAGAUUAUAUUGCACUCAAUGAAAACCGUUUAGGAUUUAUUUGCAUAAAUUCAAAAUUUAGGAUUUGAUUGCAUAUUCGAUCAAAUGUUCUGAACUUUUGGUGUUUCACUUACAAAAGCCGAAAACGAGAAUCUAGAAAGAUAAGAAAAUUUCACUUAUAAGUACCAAUUAUUAAGAUAAAAAUUCUAGUUUAAUUCGCAUCUUAUAUUGGUCUCGCCAACUGAGAAAAACUCUGCUAUUGACAAGUUUCCCAAUGCAUCUCUUUUCUUGAUUUGGCUUAUCCUCCCCCAACUUUAGAAUAAUAAACUUGUAGAUUAGCAGCUAAAAUAGCACAUUGGCUGUGAGGACAAAUUUUCACACCGACAAGCGGCUGGCACAAAAUCUAUAUGGUACAAUAUGUGUUCUUGGUUGUAAUGUUCCAUCAGUUAAGCGAGAUUGACAAUUUUCUCAUUGAUUUGACUCACUAACCCUUGCAAAACUUCCGAACCAAAAAAGAAAGAAGAAAAAAACUCUUGCAAAACAUGAACAUGGCGCACCCAUUUCUUUAACUUUUUGUCAUCAUAAGACUCACUAAAACCAUAUUACAGUUGAAAAAACCUUCAACACAAUUUAGUCAGUGCUUUUGGCUCUAAAAUUAAAUAAUGCAGGAUGAAUAUAGUUCUAAUACCAAUUGAUGAAGAACGUAACUAGAAGGAGAAGAAGAAGGAGAAGACGUCAAGAUUGGUAAUGGAUAGAAGAGAAUAGAAAUAUAGGAGAGAACACAAAAAUCAAUAUUAAUUUAAUAUUCAAUCAGUCUCUUGUUUUAAUUGUGAUCACAAAGCUAGCUUUGGAGGAUAUUGGAUAUCAUACAUGUUUCUCGUCCAUGAUUGUCCAUGUUUAAACCUAUUAUGUUGAUAGAUAAGUCUCCCAUAAGCUCAAAUUAGUACAAGACGAUUUAAAAUUGUGCAAGGUUAGCAAGCCGCCGUCAAGACGGACAAUAACACUAGCAUCAGCCGAAUGGGACUGCCUAGUAGUCCAAAUCAAAGUUUUAUCCCCCUCAAAACAAGAUCAAAUUGAAUCGAUCUGAGAGAUGGCACAGUUUUUACACACAUGAUUAAAAUGUAAGAGAUAAAAUGCAAGGGAUAAAAUAAUGCCAAUUUCUUUGGCUGUAAAAGUAAUAAUAGGCCACUUUAGUCAAGCCAUGUCCAAGUAAUAAACACACGAAGCUUUCGCUCAACUCCUCGUGAAAGCCCCACGUAAAUGCAAAGAAAGUGAAAUGGGUGGCUCGAUUCCAUUAUAUGUUGGAAGAAGAAAAAGGGGAGGCACGUUUCUAACAUUAUCUUUCGUGUUUUUCCACAGCCUUUCUUUUUGACAAUUCAACUCAAUUGCGAGCAAGGGAUGAAGUAUACAUAUAAAAUAAGAAAGGAAAGAGACACGAAGAGGGCAGGAGACUCUUGCAAUGGCGUCGAAACUUUUUGAGGCUUCUUAGUUGCAAGGAUGUUAAGCAGUAAAUGAGAGGAAAUUGUGGGGGCAAGUAAACACAAUGAUUUUGUGUUCUCUUUUGUAACCAACCAUGACCUAAGUCCACUCUAUUUGGUUUUCUAUAUUUGCAAGACAAACUUUAAAGUAUUUAAUUGCUGGAAGCUAGAUUUCACUUGAUCUAGUAACAUCUAUUCAUAUAUCCUGACAGAAGAUUCAAAAUAUGACAAGAUAAGAGUUAUAUUUUCCUUCGUGAAUGGAGGAAAUUUUCUCCAGCUAUGCCUCUUAUUAUUAGGUUAUAAGUCAUGGAUAUCCCUCAUAUGGAAACUAAACUAAAUAGGAAUGCAGGUGAUGUCUAUAUUUUUCACUCACCAAUCAGAGGUAUGAUUUCCUCCAACUAUGGACACAUGAAAAACAUGGCUUUAAUAAUAGUGUACAGCAAUUUAUUGCCGUAAUUAUGUAUCUAUCUCCACAUUAUGAAAUGGCAUCAGUCAUACCUACAAUAAUAGAUAGUAUGUGGCCCAUCUCUAUUUUCCGUAAGAGUCAUUAUAUGUGAAUGUUUCACAUCUCUAGCAAUGUUUUUCAAUUUUCUAGUUGAUUCCACUUGUCCUAGAGCCUCAAAAAGGACUUGAGUCAAUUCUUCAGUAUCACUCUUUAAAAAUUAUUCAACAUGAUUGUAUUCUUGCGACUAUUUUAAUGAUGACAAAUAAUUAGAAGGCUAACAAUAUGUACAUUUGGAGUGGCAUGUUGAUGAAACAUCAAAUGUUUUGACAAACCUCAAUAUUGGAGAAGGUAAACAAAUUACAUGACAUUGUAUCGCGGCCAAAGAGUUUUGAAUGUAGAUUUGUAAGGACCUUGGUACAAGUAGUGAAUACACAACGGCACCAAAUAUUGUCAAGUUAUCUGAGCGAAACUAUAGGCAGAAAGUGGACAAUCUACAAGAGAUGAUGGACUUCUAUAACUAGAUUUUGAGUGUCUACAUGCUUGAUGAAAAAACUCAUCUUAAAAAUUUGAUUUGAAUUCAAAUUGGUAAUUUGUAGUAGGAUCAAGGCAACGGAAUAUAAGGAAAAUAGGUAGGUUAGAGAAGAUGGAUUAGAUCUUAAUUUCAAGAAGUGUCCCGGGAAAAAAUGUAAAUUGCAUUGAGAGUGAUAUUAUAUUGAAAGGAAAUACACGGAAUUGGAAAUUGACAUCACUGAAAGGACAUUGCACAGAGAUAAAAGUGCAUGAAAACGAAAAUAGAAGGAAAUUGAAAGCACAAACUCGGUGUGAGUCUUCAUGUUGUUUGUGAGUGUCCAAGAUUAGUCGAGUCCACCUUAUUUUUCUCUAGCUCCCGCACUUCACAUGUUCGGUAACUUCUUAUGUCUUCAUGUUUGAUAAAUUCAUUCAACCUAGUUUGGUCAAAUUCAUACAUGACAUGGUUAAAAUGGACACUCGUUAAUGGUCGCCCAUAGCACCGGAUUGCAACUUAGUCUAAGUGCAAAUAAAGAUAAGAUGAAUUAUGUAUAAACCCAAGUGAUGAACUAGGUUUAGAUAAAAGUAACUAGACCAAAGAUAUGGAACUCUUAUCCAUCAACCAGAAUUUUUGCUUGGUGAGUUACAUGUUAGGCCGUCAUUGACAUGCAAACUUAACAAAAAUUAAAUGUUGGUGAUAUUUAUGUUGGUAACCUAUUAAUCAAAAGACUAACUAGAGAAAAUGUCCUUUUUUGAAGGGAACAUAAAUCAAGUGAAAAAUCUUGAUAAUGAUUAUCACGUUUUGUUAUAGUAAUUAUAUCAUAGACAAACGACUGUAUAUACACUUCUUGGUGAGAAAAUCCUCAAAAUCUCCCGUUAUUCUACAAUCACGCUUGGGUUCGAGUAUGAGCCCGGAAGCUCUUUGCUUAUUGAUGACCAAAAUGUAAACUGGGCCAAUAAUCCUUACCCGGAAGCUCUGGACUUUGUUAGGUUUGAGCCGUUAUUUGGAUUGCACCAAACAUACGUGAUUUCUUCCUUUUUCAGCCCAUGGAGAUCACGUUGAUAUUCAAUUUAGCGUGUUCAAAAUUUGAGACACCAUCCGUAGGUGGAGCGUAUGUCAGACGAAUAGAAGGGACGAUAUAGUUAGAGGCAUCCUACCAAGCAUGGCCUCAUGUCGGGACCUUACUCAGCAGGGUUACACAUGUAUUAAAAUAAAAAUGAGUUUAUUGUUUUCAUACUAAGUGUGGAUAAUAUGCACAUCUUAUUGAUUUCGAGAUUUUUUUUUUUUUUUGGUACUGUGAAAAGAUGUAAAACAUUCGAGGUCGAUUAAUCUAUAAUCGUAAAUCAUGAAGGAGCAAACACCAAGUGGGGUUGGCGAGGGUCAUCAGCUCCUUUGAGCGUUCUGUAUUUACUGCAAUUUGAAGGACCUAAUUGCAAAUAGUGAAUAGAUCAUGGGGCAAGGGCCAGAAAGUGAACAAUCUACCAGACAUAAUGGAUGGCUCUAUUGCAGAAGAGCAUCUAUAGACUUGGUGAGAAGACUCGGCUUCAAAAUAAAAUGAAGUUAAAGCUUUAUAAUCCAUGGAAAGUAGGAUCAAGGCUUUAAAUCCAUUGAAAGCAGGCCAGAGAGAAAUCGAUUGGCUUUUGCCUUUUUCAGGGUAAGUAUGGAAGGCAACGGUGAAUGCCAAAAGCAAAGAAACUAUUUUACUUGGAAUACAGCCAUCGGAAAAAUUUGAAUUUACAAGGUCACUUGGAAUUCAUGACCAAAAAAAAAAAAAAAAUUCUCAACAUGGUUCAAGUAGGACCCAACAAUAAUCCCCAAAAAAAAUUAUUUUUAUCCGGUCCCAUUACUUUGGAAUAAACAUCGCCCUCAUCGAUUCGUCAGUCAUCGGAAUUUGUGACUUGUUUUACUUUUGGGAAAAUUAUCCAAUUAGUUGUAAACUUAUCAUAUAAAUUAUAAUUUAGUCGUAAACUUUUUAAUUUUGUCAAUUAAUGUUAAACUUUUGUUCAAAAUUCCCAUAGUUGUUUCGAUCAAUUUUUGCUGAAAAUUGCCCUAUGUCGGCAAUUUCAAAUGAGGUGUGCACUUCCUUUAUUCAUCAGGGACAAACUUAACCUUAUCACUCAUUGACCUUCAUACACCUCGCUAUCAAAAGAGUUGGCAAUGAUUAAAAGAAAGUUUCUUAUAACAUUAAAAUCCUUCUUAUCCUAAACAUUGUCAAUUCCAACCUUUCAUCCACCUUUUGACUAAUUAGAAGGAGCUUGGAAUUUUAUAUGCUCUUUUUACAUUAAAUUGCCUUCAAAUAAGUAUAUAAGUUCGGAGUUUUUGGUAGUAAACAAAAAUUAAUUUAUAAUAAAUUUGUUAUAAAUAUCAAUUUUGGGGUUUUACGUAAUAUAACUCUUUACCAUUUAGGGUUUUUGUGAUAUGGUGACAAGUGUCACUAUCUCACGGGUGAAAGUAUAAAAGUACGUAUUAUCCUUGUGUGACUAAUGGCAAGCUCACAAUGGUAGGGAUUUGGGUCAAUGAGAAGGUGCCAUGUCGGGUGAGAAUUUCAAGCUAUAGAAAGAAAGGUGUGAUAUGAGGUCGAAUUAGGCCCAGCUCUAUCUGAGCUCUAUCCGACUGGGCCUAAUAAGUCGGCUCCAUCUCGGUUAAAUUGGGUUAACCAAAGUCUUUAUAGUCUUUCAUAAUUAACAAAAUCUUUCAUAAUUAACAAAUUUUUUUGGCUACGUUUGGUCGUCCGGAUUUCUAAUCGGGAUAGGAUUGGAUAGGAUAGGAUAUGAAAUCCUAGGAUUUUUUUAUGUCCUGUCCAAUGUUUGGUGAAUCACAGUAUUAAAGUCGGAUAUGUUCACAUCAUAUACAUUUUUAUUUUUAUUUUUAUAUAAACGACAUAUCAUUAUAAAUGAACAUAAAUGUUCAUAAAUGAAGAUGGUGAAAAUAUCUCGUAACACUAUUCCUUAAUUUAUUUAUUAUUUAUUAUUUAUUAUAUUUUUCCUCUUUUUUAUAUUAUUUUCAUUAUUAUUUCAUUUUUCCCUUUCAUCUUCUUUAAUAAAAAUUUAUCAAAUAGUAAACUAUACUAACAUAUUUAAAAUAAAAAAAUACCUAAAAUAUAUAAUAAAUAUAAAUAUUUAAUUUAUAGAUUGAAUUUUUAUUAUAAAAUAGAAUUAAAAUAAGAUUAAUUAAAAAUAAUUUUUUAUUUUUAUUUUCUUAAAUUAGAAUUCAAAUAUUAUUUAUAUUGAAAUAUAAUUUCAAUUUUGUUAAUUUAAUAAAUUUGUUAUUAAAAAAAAAUAACUUUCCUAUUAUGGACGUUAGAAAUCCUAUCCACCUUUAUCCCACCCCCCAUGGGAUAAUUUUAUCCUGUUUGUAUCCCCCUUAUAUCCGACUUUAUCCUAUCCUGAGUGAGCACCAAACGUAAGAUAGGAUAAAUUAUAUUAUAUCCCGAAUUUUAUCCUGACUGCCAAACGCAGCCUAAUAGUCUUUCAUAAUUAACAAAAUCUUUCAUAAUUAACAAAUUUUUUUGAGAUACCAGUUAGGAAAAUUCAUAUGUCAACACUACUUACAUAUAUUUAGGGAAGUUUCUUGAAAAAAAUCAAAUGUCGUAUAUAUAUCGAGAGAUUAUUUGAUGGGUGUAUUAUAUAUACUAAAUUGUAAUCGAAUCAUCUGUGGUCAUGAGAUCCACGAGGGUUGACGUGAGACGUACCAAAUCUUGCCGUUUCGAUGCAGUUUGAUAUUUGUGACACUCACCCAAUGCCCGCCCCUCCUAGAUAAGAAGGCAAUACAAAAAAAUCUCAGGCUAAAUGACCGACGAAAUUAAGGCGACAAAGAAAAAUGGAUCACAAUUCCUUCUCACUUUUAUGUCCUUUACUCACUUGAUGCCUAGCUUUGCGUUGAAAGAACAUAAUGAUAAGACACCACUUAUCUUAUAAGACACGCCCCACCCCGCCCCCCCACCCCCAAGCUUCAGCUAUGUGUUCAAGGAUUGCUCUAAGGCUGAGUUUAGUUCAAUGGAAAUGAUAAUGGUGUGGAUACAUCUCUUAUGUUUGAUUUUCCCAUUUGAAGGACAUGAAAGGGGUGUAAACGGUUCGGUUCGGUUCGGUUAUUUUGAAAAACCGAACUGAACCGAACCGUUAGAGAAAAUUUCCAAACCGAACCGAAUAAGUCCCGAAACGAUAACGUUCGGUUCGGUUCGGUUCGAUUUUUCGGUUUUCAACUUUUGGUUUUUUUGAGUUCAACUUAGAUGGAAACCGAUAAAAACCAAGAGACACGAAAGGACUAGAGAUGGGAGUCGGGAGAGAACCGAAUUAGAUUUGAUUUUAUCGGUUUUCGGUUCGGUUAACUGAUAAAAACCGAACCGAUAAAUUUUUUUUGGUUUUUGAUGAAAACCAAACCGAAAACCGAACCGAACCGAAAAAAUCAAAUUUUUCGGUUCAGUUCGGUUCGGUUUGCGGUUCAAUUUUCGGUUCGGGUCUUGAUGCCCCUAAUGAAUAUGUUCUUUUAUAACAGUUUGUGCUUAAUUAAUUAAAUGAAUUUAAGAAGAAACUGCAGAUUUUCCUUUUCUUAAAACCGAACAAGACGUCCCUUCGACUGAGCAUUCCCAAAAAAUAUUCCCUUUUUUAGUGACAUUUCCAAAAUUGCCCUAGCAUUGAACUCCAUUUGAACACGAGUCAUCCGUUACCAUCCCAAUCACGCAAAAAGCAUAUUUUUUUUAAUGCAUUUUUGAAGGAAAACAAUGUACCUUUUUUUCAACCUUGUUAAUAUUAACAUACUAUUCAAUUGAAAAAAAAAAUUUGAAAUACUAUAUUUGAAUCUUCGAAACUCGAAAAGGUCAACAAACUUGAGCACAAGAUUUAGGAGAAGCGAAAGGUAAAAAUUAAAGAGUAAAAGUCAUUCCAUACAUAUAGGAACAUGUACGGUGAUUAAACAACAACAUACAAACCCCUACUAUACGUCAACAAAACCAAUUAUAAUGAGGACUGAGACUUUUGAAAAUCUUAUCUGUAGAAGUCUCCAAAAAGACAAUAUCCCUAGAUCCUAGCCCUGAUCAAUCUGAGAAAAAAGAGGUUAAUGAAGGAAUAAGCAAUCACUACCUCAGCAAAUGAACUCUCAAGACUUAGAAUAGGACAUCAAGUGCAUUCUUAAAUGAAACCUUGCGAUUUAACAUAAUAAGCCGUGAACACAAAUAUAAAUGUGACGUGAAAUUGUCUCACUCCAGAUCAAUCACCCAACCAACAUAGAAGCUCAACCAAUCACAUAUCAUAUUAUGAGACUAAAGUCCGUAAGUGUAUUUCAACCCAAUAACUAAGACAUCCCUGACAACAAGGCAUUGCUUUGAGAGAGUUUUUUUUUUAUUUUUUUAUUGAUUUAAAGUAAAAACUUCAUUCAAUUCUCAAGAUGAUGCAUGAGAGGUUCAAAACAAAGCAGAUACAAAAUAGCAAAGUAGAAUAAUAAAGUAAGCACACUUUCAUCCCACAGGAAUAUAUUUGUCUCAGCAUAAAAAAAAAAAUGAAUAGUGGCCAAUCACCAAUCUCACAUCAUCAUAAGUAAUAAGCACAUACUAUAAUCUUCUUCUUCAAUAGCUACAGCUUUCCGGAUAGUUGAUACAUGCUUAGGUUCAAUGUUCUCAAUGCCAUCACCAUAUAGAGACACCAAAAACAGGUUAAACAGGCUCCCAAAUCUAGAUCUAGAUCGGGAGAUGUUGAAGGAGCACAGCAAAGCCUUUAAGGAACUCCCAAAUAUAAAUAUAGAUCAAAAGAGAAGAGCUUUCAAAUCUAGAUCUAAAUUAUUUGAGAGAUGAGAACUUCCAAAACUCGACGGAGUCGUAUAACCACUUUCAAUGAGUAUGAACUCGGCAUAUUUCUCUUCAAUCCCAUUGUACUUCUUGGUUUGGACGAUCUAUUGCCUAACGAUGGAAGCUGAAGAUACGCCCAGCGAACAAAGAAUUGUAUCAACAGUGAGCAAAAGAAAAAACAAAAAAACUUAUUUACAAUAGGCUAUUUCUAAACUAAACUUAUUUGUUGAUGUGACUUCAAUCACUACUUGUUUAUGGUGUUGGUAAGAAAGUUGAAUAAAAGUUGGAAAUAAUAAGAGAAUUAUUUUUGUUAGCAAUUAGAGAAAUUGGUAACUUUUAUAAAAAAAAUAUAUAUGUGUGGGUAACUAACUCAAAUAAAGAGUUAAUAACACAAAGUUCGUCGGUAAUGCAAUCAUAGAAAGAAGGUUGGCAAGGCAAAUAAAGGAUGGUAAUUCAAUAGAAAAAAGAUGAAUGCUUUAGCAUGACAAAAACUUUUCCCGUUGGCCUACCAACGAUAGGGGCAUUUCUCUGCACAGAAAAAUUAUGUGCUAUAUAUCUAAAUUACCCGCAUAGAAAGCAUGAUCUACUGUCAGUUGAAGCAUCCGUUAAUAUAGAACAAUCAUGUGCUACAUGUCCAAUUUUCCUACAUAGAAAGUAUGCCCUCAUACAGACAAGUGUUCUAUUCCCACAGGUGUCAUAAGAGCCCUGAUUAUUUUGAUUUAUGGACUUUCUUGGCAAAAUUAUUAGUCCCGUUUGGUUCGGCAUUUGGAAGGAGCUUUUGGGCCCUAAAGGGAUUUGGCCAAAUACAAACGUGUUUGGUUCAAUUUUUAGGACAAUGUUGGCAAGAUGCAAUUGUAUCUCCAAAUGACUCUAAGAACCUUUUAGCUCAAAGCAGCUUUGGAGAUACUUUGGAAAGUUGCAUUCACGGAAUGCAAGUUCCACGAGUACUGUUCAUCUUCUUCAAAGAAACAAACGGAGGCCGACGAUCGCUAGCCAAUGAGUUGCCCAUGCCGAUGACCACUACUUGAGGCGUCGCCUAACCCCGGCAAUCACUACAUGAGGCGUUGCCUAACCCCAGGGAUUGCGGCCACCCAGUGACCGCCGUCUAAGGUUGUGUGAUCUUAGGUGAGGCGGCCUGAGGUCCGACACAUAGGGUUCGUGACCCAGGCGAUUGUCGCUUGGGUUCAUGCGACCUAGGCAACCGAACCCAUGCGAUAGUCGCUAGACCUCAAGCAACUCCUGGGGUUCGCGACCCAAGCGAUCAUCGCUUGAGUCACGCAUCCUAGACAGCCGCUUAGGUCACAACCCCAGGCGUCGCCUGAGGUCAUGUGACCUUAGGUGAGGUUGGCCGCUUGAGAUCACAUGACCUUAGGUGAGGCUAUUUGGCAACCAGAUCUGGCCGCUGGUGGCUAUAUUAAAAAAAAAUUAAAACUUUUUUUAAUGAAAAAUUUAGCAAGAGUCAUUUGCAAAAUGUAUUAAGCCAAAGUUGUUUCAUAAUGUACCUUAAAAUUGCAAUUUACCCAACGUUAUUUGUAUUCUAAAAAUCCCUUUAGCGCACAAGUAUUUGCAUUUUCCCAAUGACAUUUGCCUAAAGCUGAACCAAACGAGGCCAUCACCUCUUCGUUUAUUACCACUUUGAGCUUUGAGUAAGCUUUCCAUUGGCCUGUCGAAAUUGUUUUAUUUACGAAUAAACUUGGUUUAAUCAAAUCUUGCUUAGGUUUCUACUUGAUUUUAAUAUAUGUUUUUACUUAAUGAUAGGAUUUUCAUUUUUUCUACUCAACGCAAUUUUUCUUGUUUGGUUUUCCAAUGUCAGAUCUAGCAAGAGAGGCCUCGUUGGUGUUCACCUCACCUAGGUGCGACCUAACGAGGCCAACUCUCACCUGGGAGAGGCCAUCCCUCAUCAACCAUGGCCUGAGUCACCAGAAAUUGCAAAGAGAACAUGGAAAGAUAAAAAAAGAAGAAAAUUAUUAAAAAUUUAUUUAAAAAAAUCUACAUUAGCGUCAGUUGUGCUAUAUAAUACGAAUGAUGUCAAUGUCAGUAAUUUCCAACCUAAAUUUGUCAAAUGAACAUAAUUUGGACCAAUGUGAAAAAAUUAAGUAUUAAAUUAGCUCAAUUGAAAAGUUAAUGACUAAAUUGAUAGCAAUGACAUAGGUGAGGACUUUUUUUGGCACUUUUUUUCUUAAAUAGCAUAUUAUAAUACAACAACUAGAAUAACUAUCAACGGUUACAUACCAACAGCCAUGCCCAACAGCUGAGUUCGUGUUGUCUAGACUAGGCCUGAGCGGUCAUAGUCCGCUGUCCUCACCGAUAUACUCGGUGGAGAUUGAUAUCACCGGAAUUUUUCUUUACCAAGGUUGUCAAAUAUUUGGCUUGUUUAAAUGGACGAAUACCAUUAAAGACAACUUUUUAAAAAAAAAUUUCACCGAUGCCUAUGCCUAAUGAGUGACUUGUUGGCUUUGGUUCGUCUCUGUUAAUCGGUGGUGUCAUUUGCUGUGGUUUUUCCUAUGUUCUUUUGGUCUCUUGGGUUCGGCUUUUUUUUAUAGCUAGGAAUUGGAGUGAUUCAGGUUUUUUGACUCAUGAAUGAACUCGACAUCCUCAAAAUGUAUUUGCUGAUUGUCAAUUGUGAUGUGAACGGGUAUGUUCUGACUUGCUUUCCAUUGAUUUCUGCAUUUUUUUUUCGCCUUGGUUUCUUUUCUUUUCCUUGCUUUGCAAGUUUUAACCUCUGUUAGUUUCCUAAUAAAGCCCAAUUUCCCACUUGAAUUAUGAGGUUUUACCCUGCUUUUUCUUCAUUCCAAUUCGUGCAGUCCACAUUAUUUGAGUUUCAAUUAUCGUUCAUGUUAUGUCUUGGUCACAUUUUAAUGUCCUAAGAAUUUGUUUUGAGUGAGGAUUUGAACCUUGUUGACAUCCAAAUGUCUACAUUUUAAAUAUCCAUUUAUAUAUAUAUAUAUAUAAAGAUGAGUAAAAUAGGUGAUAUAAAAUGAAUAAAAAGUAUUAAAAAAAGAAAAAAAGAGUCGAGUGGGCCGGCGAAGUUAAGCCCAUUCUUUUUUAUGCUUUCGCAGCCCAUUCCUUUAUUUCUUCUUCAGCCCAUCCAUUUUUUGUUUAUUCUUUGAGCCCAUCUGAAACAAUUAAGAAAAGAGGCCCAGCCCCACAUGCUCUCUCUCUCUCUUUUCCCUUCGCACGACCGACAUGCGGGUGACAGAAGGAGACGAACUCAGCAAAGGAAGCGGCCAUGAGCGGGACCUCCACCUGAUCACCAUCUCCGUCUCGACUUCCAGAGCUUCUUUCCUUCUUCUCGGACGUUCUCUCGUCGCCUACUCAGCUGCGACGGCGCCCUCGAAGUUCCGAUUUCUCCUUGUCGUGUAGAGUCUCCCUUCUUUCUAUCGGCGCGUGGCGACGUCGCUGAUCGUAGUUGUCCGGCGGCGAGAGCGAGCUUGAGAGUUCGAGGAGUGCGAGAUGUUGUCGAUCCUGUGACGAAAAGCCGCCGCCAGAGUCACGGGUGCUAUGCUGUUAAGGAAGAUACCGGAGAGAAGAGGGAGGACUCGCGUUUUUGAGGAGAGGACGUUCGGCCGUAGAGGGAGGUCGGGAGGAGAGAAGGUUUUUGGCUGGAGGAGAAACGCCGGCCGAAGGUCUCUUCAGAGUCGUCUGAAGCUUCACCGGAGGCCAGCUCGCCGUCCACCGUCCGCCAUAACCGAUUCUCGAUCCAGGCGAGUGCCUUCCUCCUUUGUAUGUGACGUGUUCCUACCAUAUUGGAACUCGAACCGUGCACGAUGAAGUCGCGGGGAAUUUCGUGUAGAAUGACACUGAUUUGUUGCUUGAUGAUCUCAUCCGAAUGCCUGUAUGCCGCAUUUAGACCGAAAAUCAGACGAUAAUCGGAUCAGAAGCUUGUUCUUGAUACUGCCCAUUACCUGUUUGAUGAAAUGUCUAAGAGAAAACCGAAGAGCAAUUUAUGUUUAAACUCAAGAUUGAUCCAUGUUUGAAUCUACACUUAUUGAACAAUGUCUGAUAUUCGUAUUUUCUUUGCAUUUUUCAUGCGAGUUGGUGAAAAAAUUCCUGUCCGAGUUGGUCGUUCAUGGAUCUUCCCCUCGCCGGAGCUUCACCUCCCUUCGCCGGCGAGCCCUACGGUUCAAGGCCGUCCGAGUCAGUUUUUCUCUUCAUUCUAAAUGUAUUCAUGCUUGGUUGAUUGUUGGAUUGCUGGUUUUAGAAAUUCCGGAUCGAUAGGUUUUUAUUUCGUUAGAUUUUGUGUUUGCCCGGCGGGAGACGACGGACGCCGGCAGGAGUAGGCGGCAGGUGGUGGCCCGGUGGCGGCAAUCACGUGGCAAGGGCGGAUCACUGUGGCGUUGAGAGCUGGCAGUCCCAGUUCGGUAAGUUGCAGGGAAGAAGACGUUCGGUGAAGAAGACGUCCUGAGGUUGAAGAUGAUGCGAGGUGAAGGAGAUGGGCAGAAAAGACAAAACAGAGAAAAAGACCAAAAAAAAAAAAAGAAGAAUAAAAACCCCUUAAAAAAUUCAAAAAAACAUAAAAAUAUUAAAAAUAAUUCGCUUUGAUCCGACCAGGUCGGAUCCGAGUAGACGGGUCGGGUCAAUGUGCCGGAUCGGGUGAAUUCGGUCCGAACCCGUUCCCCAAAUAUAAUAAUAAUAAAAUGGACAUUAAAAAUUAAAAAAAUGGAAAAAAUUAAAAAUUGAGAAAAUGAUAAAAAUUAAGGAAAUAAAAAAUUUAGAAAAUUUGGAAAAACAUUAAAAAGUUUGUUAAAAUCAGAAAAUUCAUAAAAUUUAGAAAAUUGAAAAAUAAUAAAAAAUUAGAAUUCAGAAAAUCAUUAAAAAAUAGAAAAUCCAGAAAAUAACAAAAAUUAGAAAAAGCAUUAAAAAUUCAUAAAAUUAUUAAAAAAAGAAAAUUUUAGAAAAGUUGGAAAACCCUUUAAAAUGUUAAAACCUAAAAUUGGAUAAGCCUUUAGGGAUUUUUUUUUUUUUUUUUGUGUUUUAGAUUGUCUUUUCUUUUUAGAGACAAUUUAAGGAUGCUUGCAUACUUCCUAUUAUGAUUAUAAUUGACUGCGCUUUUCAAUAUUUGGAUUUUAAUUCCUUGUUUUAGUAUGGUUAGGACAAAUUUCGACUUUUUUUAGAUAGGUUGCUAUGGUGUUAAUUAGCACAUGACCGAAUUAGAUACCAAAAUGGCGUUAGUCUUAGGGCUAACAUAAUCAAGUCCUUGAGUCUUGAAUCUCUGAUUGCGUAAAUAUUAAUAUUCUCCCAUAUCUUACUGCUUUCUAGCCUACCCAAAAAGGUUAGUGGCGACUUAUUUAUUAAAAUUUUCAUAGGCUUAAUUGAUGAAAAUCUUGAACGCCUAUUGCGCAAGAUAUGGGCUUGGGAGAGUCCAAGUCAAUGGAUGGCCGUCGGCCCGAGGUCAACAAUACCCUUAAACCUAAUAGGCUCCCUUCCCAUGAGAGAGUUAGGUCGCGACAGCUCGGCAACUCUACUGGGGAUCAAACCUAGAAUCUCUAGUUGCUUAAAUACUAAUAUUAUCCCGUAUCUUAUUGGGUUUCUAGCUUACCCAAAAAGACUAGCGGCGACUUCUUUAUUAAAAUUUUCAUAGGCUUGACUAAAUUUUGAACAUCUGAUUUUGCGUGAGAUAUGAGUAGGGUGAGCAGUUUCAGCUUCCGUAUAGGUUCUACUUGGACCUACUCGUUGGAACAGGUUUCUCAUUUUUUGGAACCUACAACCUACCCUCAAUAUCCUAGAAUUUAGAACCUAUCUUAUCACAGGUUCCGAUGGUCUAGUCAAGUUUCAUUUAUAUUAUUAAUUGAACGAUUGCAGUGAAUUAAGACCUUUAAUGACUGUACUCCCUACUACAAUUCAUUGAUCAUAAAGACAUACUAAAAGUAUAAAUAUUGAUAAAGUAAAAGUCAGUCAUAAAAUGGAACUUUAGACUAAUAUUUCUAGAUUAUACACUAAUCAUCAAACGACAUGGAAUAUUACAAGAAUGAGUGAAGACAUGAACAAAAAAAAAAUUGUUACAAGUUUAAGGUUCUAAGUUUUUUCAACUAAGAACCUGAAACCUAUUAGCUGAAACAAGUUUCUCAUUUUUUGAAACCUAGAGUCUACUCUGCAAACCUUGGAAUCACCCCUAGAUAUGGGCUUGGGAGAGUCCUAGUUAAUGGAUGGCUGUUAGCUCGAAGUUGGCAAUACUCCUAAACUUGAUAAGGUCCCUCCUUGAAAGAGGGGUUAGUUUGUGACAAACUUUUAAGAGCUUUUUCUUUACAAUUUUGUGUUGGGUUUGUUGACACCCAAAAUUUUCGUCGACAUUUUAAUCAUCCAUUUUGCAAGAAUAUAAAAAAAAUAAAGAGUCAAUAAAUAAAAAAAUAAAAAAAAUAAUGAAAAUAUAAAAAAAAUAGAGAGAGAAAAAAAAAGAGAAGUAAAAGAAUCAAUAAAAGAAAAAAAAGAGAAAAAGAAAAGAAGAAAAAAAGAAGAAAAGAAAGAAAGAAAAGAAAAGAAAAAAAUGAAAGAAAAUGAAAGAAAAAAUAAGAAAUAAAGAAAACCAAAAAGGAGAGAAAAAAAGAAAAAUAAAAAAAUAUAAAAGGAAGGGACGCUCUCUCUCUCCAUGGACGCUCUGGCUCUCCACACUUCGCACAGAGUCUCUCUCUCCUCACACGGGCUCUCUCUCUCUCUCUCUCUCUCUCUCUCUGCGUUCGUAUUUUCUGUGGAGUCAUCAAUGGAGUUCGAGGCAGUUGCAGCAGAACCCUAGCCUUCCCACGACGUCAAUAGCGGCAUCUUUCUUGCGCUUCUCCUCGGAUCAUCUUCAUGCCAUCUUUUGAGCUCAUGGACUAGCGAUCUUCCUCUCGCGGACCUCGUCUUCUCUCGGCCGACUCAGCGCUCGAAGCUCAUUUCGAAGACGCGGCCGCUAGGACUCAGAUCUCGGAUCCCUAGCCUCGAACGAUCCCCGUAGACAUCCGUGAUUCCUCAGGGGAAAAUCUCGACUUCGCUCGCGGUCCAUCGAAGGGAGUUUCCGCAUCCGUCUCCAGUACUUCUCCGUUGAGCUCAAGUCGAAGGCGAGGGUUUUUCUCUCGUUAGCGAGGAUCAGAAAUUGAAGACCGGCGGUUGGGGAUUGCGAGGGGAGUUCCGUUUCGCUCUUUCUCUAGCGAUUCUCACUCAGCGGAUCCCUCUCUUUGUCGGAGAUCAGACGUGAGCUCUUUUUCCAUCCUCCUCGAUCUGUUAGGGUUUUCGAUUUCUGUUCUCUAUUUGCAUCCAUUUGGGUCGUGGAUUCUGAUCUCUCUCUAUCCCUCCUUCGGACGCUCACUCGCUUAAUCAAUCCGACGCCUUCGUCGCGGAUCACGCCCUUCCGGAGCUCGAGAUACAGGUAAUCAGGUUUUUCUCUUAUCUCUCUCUCGAUCGCUCUGUCUCACGCAUGGUUCGUUACUCUCUCCCUGGUUUGAUCGCUGUCUUUUUUCUUCUCGAUCACUCUUUCUCUAUCGAUUUUGUACUUGUAUCUGUUUUUUUAGUUCCGAGGUUGUGUGUUUUCAUUAGCCUCUUCUGCCAAGUCACCUUAGCUUGUGUGUCGUUCAUGCUAAUUGCUAUGUUUGUGAUGUUCUGUUGAUGCCAUUUACUCCAUAACCUGGAAAUGUUCUCCACCUGUUUGAUAAAAUUCCUGAAUUAGACCAGUGUGUGUUUUGAUUCAGAAUAUGAUUGAGAGCUUCCCUUUGCUUGAUCGAUACACUAGUUUUGUUGUAUAGACUUUACUUGUAUUUCGUUUCCUUUCAUUUCAGAACUUAGUAACUAGCCGUUUUAGGAUUUGUUAUUGAAAUUCUUGGGUUAGAUACAUAUCUAGUGCAAAGCAAGCUGAGCAAACAGGACAUGUACAAGAAGAAAAUUGAUUGGUUUUAAUAAAAUUGGUCCCCUGCUGUUGCUGUGUUUUUUUUUUUUUUUUUUUUUUUAGAAUUCCUUGUUCUUAAUAUGGAAUGUGUUCUUUGCUAGAAAGCUGUGAGUUCAUUGGUACACUUCAAUCUGGAUUGCUUUCUAUAUUUUGCCCCUUGAUGAGCUUGUAGUUGUCAGUAAACCAAUAUGGUUGUGCGGCCAUUGGAAGAGUUUUUUUUUUUAUGCUCCUUUCUAGAAACUGCUGUCUUCUAUCGGUUGGGAAUAGCUGUUUGAAACAUGAUAGGCAAGCUACAAUUUUUUAUUUGGUUGUGUGUAUACCCAAUCGUGAUUUGUUCAUUUCUUUUUGUGCCUCUUUCGAUUUGAUUUGUGUAAAUGAGGUGUAUAUGUAAUGCAUGAAUGUUAUAUAGUCUCAAUGUAAGACAUGAAGAAUCAGCAUAAUUUGUAUCACUGUGCUUGCUGCCAUCUAUGAUUGUCUAGCUUGCCACGAAUAUACAUGUUACAUUGUGGUCACCUUGUUGUGUUUGUACCAAUGUGUGAUGAGCUGUGUUGAGAAUUGCGUCAAUUCUUUGUGUGUUUGCUGUUUUGACGUACUGCAACUUUCUGUUUUGGUUGAAACGAGGUGUUAGAUAAGUUUUUUUGACUUCGAGCCCUUCUAGACAUAUAACAUACAUUUCUAGAGCUUCGUUUUGAUAUGUCGCACGCCCUGAAUAGACAUCAUCCGGUCAUCGAAAAAUACCGACAAAGUCUGUCAAUUCUGCAGUAGUUUUUUUAGGUUGAUUUGCUGUUUUGACCUACUGCAAUUUUCUGUUUUAACCGGAACGAGCUGGAAGAUGUUGUUAUUAGGACUUAAUGUCUUCUAGAGAUUUGUAAUAGGCUUCUCAAACUUUCCAUUGACAUAUUAUAUGUGCGAUUUGGUCAUCAUUUGCCCUGCCUUUCCUUUUUUCAAAUCGAGCUUUGAAAUCUGGAAUUUGUCUUGAACUGCAAUGCUGUCUUUUCUGUGGCUAGUUGCUGUUAAUCUUAAAAUAAGAUAGUAGAUUUGUCCAAAUUGCCUUCAAUAUGUUGUAAAAUGACGGUGUGACAUGCUACUAUGAUCUAUUUUUGAUUGAUUUGUUCAUGUUCUUAAUAUUUUUAGAAAUUCAUGCGUUAGGAAUCUUGAGGUGCUUCCUUCAUGGAAUGACAUCCUUUAUCAAUUGUCUACAAAACGGUUUUAGGUAUCAUGUGGGUUACACAUUGAUUGCUCCGCUUGCCUUAAAUACAUAUGUUGAGUGAAUUCAAUGGUGCGUGUUUUGGAAUAAGUGAUCUUUAGUUGGUUCAUUCAUUGUUUUGAGUUGAUUGAGGACCAAGGUUAUAUGGCUUGAAUGUUUGUCAUGUUAUAUGCUUUGUGUGUGAUCGUUAUAUGGAUGAUUUAGGUGUAAUACAUAAUGAUGCUAAAUCUUGGGAUUUCACUUAGAAUUUGAUCUAGAAGACUUUGUGACUUUAGUCACUCUUUGUGAACAUAAAAGAAUGUCUUGCUUUUGAUUGUUUCGAUACGUGAUGAUUGUUUUUUUCAUUUGUAUGCAUCUAAUCAUCCAGAUUUUCUAUAUUAGGUUUAGAAUAGGAUCCAAAAAGUGGAGAAGAAGUGAAGAUGGUGGAGGUCGAUGUCCACUCCGACCGUUAUUCUGUAAUAUUCGUUUUUCUCCCGACAUAUGUCUCGGGUUCCUUGUGUUGUAUAAAACUCGACGAGUUGCGGGUUUUCUCUUUUUCCCUUUUUUUUUUCUUAAUUGUGUUUUCUCUUUUAUAUUUUUAGAAUUGCAUGAUUAGGUUUAUUGCUUUCUCUUGAUUGUUUACUUCAUGUCUUGCACUUUCAAUUUCAUUGAUUGUUUUCUUUUCAUUUUUUUAGAAAUAAAAUAGCAUGAAAAUGAUCAACCACGCAUGAUCACUUAGCCUAGGAAUUGAUGAUCCCGAAAAUGUAAAAAGAAACGCAUGGAUAUAUUAGGAAAAACACAACAUACUGUUUAGGUACCGAAAGGGCGCUAAUAGCAAUAUUAGCGUAAUCCAAGUCCCCGAACCUAGAUAUCUGGUUACGUAGGAAUCGAUGGAGCACUCCCGACUCUCGAUUGGGUUUCUAGUCGACCCCCGAAAAUGAGGCUAGUGGCGACUCCUGUAUAUUUUUAGGUUGUUAUAAAUACCUAGAUUAUAUAAAUAAAUCCGCUGUCACGCGGGGUACGAGCUUGGGAGAGCUUGUGAUCUUGAGAUCAAGUACCCCUAAACCCGACCUUUCCCCAUCUUGGAUACUUUUCGAGGGGGCGGCGAGAUCGGGUCGCGACAGGCUUGUGCUUGGAGGAGUCUACGUUUGUUUAUUCAUGGCUUUGCCUUUCUUAUUGUGGCAAUUUUCUGUUAUGUUCGUGCAGGUAAUGAAGAUAAUAAAUAAUUAGAUUAAAAUUUUAAUGAAGUUGCCGAUCGCUUAGUAAGAAUUGUUAUUACUUUUUGUCUAGGUGAUUUAUAUCCAUGGGAAACACAAGACGUAUGAUCACAUUUGUGGGUUCACGCAUGGUGCAAAUAAGUUGUGAGUUAGAAGAGAAGCUCGAAAAAGUACACAAUGGUGACAAGUUAUGUUAUAAUUCAAAGGUUGAACUGAUCAGCCUCAAGAAGAGAAAUGUGAAUGCAUCAGGUAAGACUUACCUACAUAUAUAUUGUACAAUUUUUCAUCAUACUAUACUGAGAUGGUCCGAGUAUUGAUAUGGUUUGAUAAUAUUAGAUCCUUCUUUUGAUAUUUAGAAUUUCUUGUCUAGUAGCUGCCUCUAGAAAAAAGGAAGCACAACUUUAUGUGUCUAUAGGGCAUAUGGAAUCUUUCUCCUGAGAAAUGCAUCACUUCAAGUUAGGGAAGAAAAUGCAGCCUAUUGGAGGUUUAAGGAGUUUCUUGGAACCAUUGCUAGCGUGUUGGCACUAUUGUUCACAACUUUGAAGCAAACUACCAAGGAUAUGAGGAUGCCAUGAUUAGGAUCGUAGAGGUAGUUAGCUUGUACUUGUAUGAAAUUUUAUUCAUGUCAUAAAUAAAUUUAUCAUCAUUAUUAAUAUUUCUUUGUUGUUGUCUAAGUUUGAUUAUCUUCAUACCAACCAUGGAAAAAUGGAUUCUACAUUCCUUAAUACUGGAAAAGUGAUCUAAAAACUGCUCAAUAUGAUAGCUUUCGAUCAUUCUCAUAUCAUUUGAAGAAUCUGUCAGAAAGAGUGAGGAGAGAUCAAUGCAAAAAUCUAGUGACUUUUUGGAGUUCAUGGGACACAUUGUUUUAAUAUAUGACCUGUCAACUUAAAUAGACUCUCAUUACCUCUUACUGACUAUUUUCUGAUAACCUUGUUUUUUUAAUUGGAGAAGCUGAGUGAAACAAAUAAGGUAAUGGAGCAAAACAAAAAAAUAUGACACACCUUAGGAAACAAAAUUUUUGCUAGAAUAAAAAUAGAAAAGGUAAGUAUUCUCAUGUUUCCCCUUAGAUUUUUGUGUUUCCCUGUAAGUGAUAUUUCCAUUGUGUAAUCAAUAAUUUCUCUUUAGAAAAGAUUCUGCUGAGGUGAUAUCUUUGGACUUAAGGUAAAGAUGUCUAGAGAUAUUUGCCACUUUUCCGACACUACGUGUGUUUAGAUAGCAGUUGUCAUAGGAAGAAAAGAUAGGAUGUGUUCUAGAAAUGCCUCCUUAAGAUUGUCUACGUUCUUAGCACGUGCAUCGAUUUCUUGUUAUUAUUCCCUUAGCUCUAUGAUUUGGAUUUGCUAGUGACAGCACAAUAAUCCACAACUUGGUUCAGGUUUAUCUAGAACACAAUGUCCAAAAUCAUUAACAAAAGAGCUAUGCAGCAGCUAGAGCUAUAAAGUAAAUUAUAAAUGAUGAAACCUGUACAAUUUUCUAUUAAUUUGCUAACGUGACUGCAGUUUGGUUUAAUGAGAGAGAUCAAAAAAUAGAAAAGUACUGUAGCCCUAAAAUACCCAAUUGCUAGCUGUGCCAUUUCACAUGCAUGCACACAUCCCCUUAAUUGUUGAAAAGCCAUUCAAUAUAGUUCAUCUAGUGUCAACAAAUGUUAUUCAGUCUUGGCAAUGACAAUAUUGCUGCUGUAAUGUUAAUCCGGGAGUGUUUAGCUUAGAGAAAAAGGACCAUAGGCGAGCCGACGAAAAUCCCAUUUCGUUUUAUUGAGACGGAUCGAAAAUUCAGGAUGUCACAAUAGGGGUAUUCCUUUGCAUGGAACAAUUGUGUGCUAUAUAUCUAAGUUGCCCGUAUAUAAAAAGGAUGAUCUACUAUCAUUUGGAGCAUCCUCAAUAUAGAACAAUCUUGUACGACACGUCUCAUUUUCCCACAUAGAAAGUAUGCCCUUAUGUUCCAGUAAUACCAACAAGUGUUAUGUUUUCCACAAGUGUUGGCCCUGAUUAUUUUGAUUUCUAGACUUCCUUGGCCUAUUAUUGGGUAGAAGUACAGUAUAAAUGUAAAAUUUUGGUAUGUAGAGACAUUUAAGUAUCAAAAGUUACACAAGGUACACAUAAGUGUCACUUUUUUUUGAAAAAUUGGACAUUUAGGGGGUGUUUGUUUGUAUUUUUUUUUGUUUAUGAACAAAAAUCCUUUUUUUUGUUUGUUCCAGAGAAUAAAAAAAGAACAAAAAUGUGUUUGUUUGCGUUUUUGUUCCAAAUCUAUUUUUUUUUGUUCCCGGGAACAAAUUUGAAACAGAAACAAGAAACAAAAAAACUUGUUUCUUGUUUCUGAAACACUUUUAAGAAACAAAUUUUCUCUCUCUUCUAUUUUUCUUCUCUUUCUUUCUUCUUCUUUUCUUUUUCUUUUUUUUUUGGCCGGUCACCGGCCUCGGCCAUGGCCGACGACCUUGCUAGAGCGUCGCCGGCCCCUAGCGAGGCUCGGCCUUGCCAGAUCCAAGAGAGCCUGAGCUCGCCCAGCCAAGGCGAGGCCGAGCCUUGCGCUGGCUAACGACACUCCGCCUUGCCUUGGUUAGGUGAGCUCGAGCUCGCCCAGAUCUGGUGCCGCCUGGAGGUGGCCCAGCGAGGCUCAGCCUCACCAAAUUUGAGCGAGCUCGAGCUCGCCCAGCCAAGGCAAGGCCAAGCCUCGCGUCAACCGGCGACGCUCGGCCUCGCCUUGGCUGGGCAAGCUCAAGCUCACCUAGAUCCGGCGAGCCUCGCCAUGGCUAGGCGAGGCCGCCAGCCCUCAUCGGCCGGUCACCGGCCAUGGCCGAGGUCGGCGACCAACUACAAGGAAGAAAUAAAGAAAAAUUAAAAAAAAUUAAAAAAUUAAAAGAAACAAAAAAAGAACACAAAUUUACCAAACAUGUUUUUGUUCUUUUUAUUUAUUUAUUCCUGGAACAAGUUUACCAAUUACGUUCUUCUGGUAAAAAAUUAUUCCCUAGAAUAGAAAUAGUUUUUUCUAUUUAUGUUUCCUAGAACAAUUUUUGAACAUAAAUGUUAUCACACGCACCUAUAAGUGCCAAUUCCGAUUAAAGAUGCUAGAAAUCCCAUAUAACAUAUUUUUUUAAUAAUAUAACUUGCCUACAUGGCUCACUGGACAGCUAAGUUAGCAAAGUAGAGCCAAAACAAUGUCAUUUUGCCCCUUAUUUGAAUUUUAAUAUGAAUAUUAAUUAAAUUAAAUUUAAAACUAAAUUUAAUAAAUAAAUAUUACAAAAAAAAACAUGGGUUUGCAACUCAGCCCUCACUGCCGCCUCCCCAUCAUUGCUGGGAAGGGCCGGCAAUGGUGGGAGGAGCGUUGCUUAGGGUCGUCGAGCCUUGGUUAGGGGAUGUAACCAGUGGCGACCCUGGCCAACUAGCAUCGAGGGCCUACAAGCCCUCACCCAAAUCUGGGGCAAGGGUCCCAACCUUCCCUCAGAUGCAGCAAAGGUCGCUAGCCCUCGCCUAGUCAAGCCAAAGGCCACCACUGGUUGGGUCACCUAACUAAGGCCUAGUGACCCUAAUCGACCCUCCCUUCACCAUCGCUAGCCCUUCUCAGCAAUGGUGAGAGGCUGCACCCUCGUUGUUCUACAAACCCAUCUUCCCCUUUUUUUUUAUAUUUAUUUAUUAUUUAUCAAAUUUAGUUUUAAAUUUAAUUUAAUAAUAUUUAUAUUAAAAUUCAAAUCCCAAGCAAAAGAACAUCGUUUUUGGCUUUUCUUUCCACGUUAGAGUGCAAAACGACAUCGUUAUACACUGAUCUCAUUGGAAAAAUGUUACGUUAAUAUUUUGACUGUAUUUUCUUGUCACUGGUACUUAGCUAAUCCAUUUUACUCCUAUUUUGGCACUUAUGUGUACCUUUCGAAACUUUUGGCACUCAAAUGUUUCCUCGUGUCAAAUUUUCGCACUCCAAGUGUCUGCGUCCCCUUAUUAUUGCCUCUCUAGUUAUUCCUGCUUUGAGUAAAAUUCCCAUUGGCAUGUUAGAGUAGUUUUAUUUAUGAAUAAACUUAGUUUAAUCGAAUCUUGUUUUGGAUAGUUAUCUACUUGCUUUUGAUAUAAAUUUCUUACCCAAUAUAUAAGAUUUUGAUUUUUUCUGCUCAAAGUAGUUUUCAUUGUUUGGUUUCCCAAUGUCAAGUGAGUGAUGCUUAUCUCUUCUUAGAUUUGGAAACCCAUGUAUUGAAACAAUUAAAAAGGAAAAGUGGUGUUUCAAGCAUAUUUGUUGCAUAAAGCUAGAUCAAGUAAUUACUAUCCGUUUGUUCAUUAGAUAUUGCAUAGUAAACCAUUUCUUAAAAUAGUUUGUGAGUUAAUUAUUUGUUAUAAGGUUUGGGAAAUGCUAUGUAAAAAGUAUUGUGCUUGAUGGAUUAAAUUAUGAAAGGCUAUAUGAUUUGUGAAUCCAAUUCAUGAAAUGGAUUCAGAAUUGGUUUUGUAGAUGGUUGGAUAAUGAGUCAGUUGUUUAUCAUAAUCACUAUGAUCUAAACCUUUACAGGGUUGAACAUAUGCAUAUUGUUCUUAAGAAUUGGUUUUGUAGAUGGUUGGAUAAUGAGUUAGUUGUUUAUCAUAAUCACUAUGAUCUAAACCUUUACGGAGUUGAACAUAUGCAUAUUGUUCUUAAGACAUGCCAUUAGGGCCAAGCCACCAGUUGUCAUUGGUGAAGGCAUACGUGACCAAAUAAACAUUGUUAAGCUACAUAAAACAACUAUUUUGUGAGAUAAUUGGAGCAAGGUUGGCAAAUCAUACAAAAAAGGAGUGCCAAACACCCUAAGUGCCAAAACUUGGCGUGGGUAAAUACUUAAGUACCAGAAUUUCUAAAAGGUACACUUAAGUACCAAAAUCAGAGAAGAAAAUAACAUUUAAGUGCCAGCGGCGAGAAUUUCCAACUAAACUAUUGAUGUGGCUCUUUCCAACAAGAUUUUUUUUUUUUUUUUUAUUGAUGUGGCAAUUCUUUUAAAAAACUUAUCCACAUGAUGCUAACAUGGCUAGAUAUGCCCAAAACGAUACUGUUUUGACUGAAAAUUUGAUUUUUAAAUUAAAAAACUAAAUUACAAAAAAAGAAAAAAAGAGGGAGGUAGUAUUCGGCGAGGGCCUCCCUAGCCCUUGCCGUCGCUGCUGCCACCCCACCAUCGUUGAAAAGGGCAAGCGAUGGUGGGAUGAGGGUUAGCCGAGGUCGCCAGACCCCAGCAAGUGGCCAACGACCUUAGUUGACUGCCAGCGAGGGCUUGUAGGCCCUCAUCCAAAUCUAAGGCGAGAGGUCGUGGGUGACCCCAUCACAGCUAAUGGUGGCCCUUAGCCCCUUUGGGCGAGGGCUAGUGAUCUCGAUCGACCUUUGCCCCACCAUUGUCGACCCUUUCCAACGAUGGUGGGGCAACCAUGGCAAGGGCUAUGGAGGCCCUCGACUCUCGUUUUUUUAAUUUAGUUUUUAAUUUAAUAUAAUUAAUAAUUAUAUUAAAAAUCAAAUUUGGGGGCAAAAAGAUGUCGUUUUACACAUUGAUUGCUAAGUAGACAACCUUUAGUGAGCCACACAGACCCAUAUUUAUUAUUAAAAUAAUGCCACAUUGGAUUUCUAGCUAUCUUCACUAGAGUAGGCAUUUAAUUGUCCAAUUUUUAAAAAUAGUUGCACUUAAGUGUACAUUUUAGAUAUCUUGGUACUUGAGUGUCCACCUGUGCCAAAUUUUUGCACUCAUAGUGUACUUUUGCCUACAAAAAAGGUUAAAAUUUUCAAAUAAUAGUAGUAAACUCAAGGCAUUGCCAAUAAAGGUAAAUAAAAAUUAGUGAAAGAUAAACAAAGGUUUUUGUCAAAGAUAGAAGAAGAUGGCAAUUUAAAAACAAAAACAAAAUAAAUAUUGGCAAGUAUCUUAAAUAAGAGGUGGUAACUUGAUUAGAAAAGCUAGUCCUUGUAAGUAAAAAUAAUUGACUAUUGAUAAGCAACUCAAAUGAGAGUUAGUAACUCAAAACUAGUUGGUAAUUUGACCCCUGAAAACUUUGUGAGGUCACGCAAACAAAGAUUGAUCAUUUCAUAUGGUAGUUGGUAAAUUUAAACCUUAAGUAAGAAAGGUAAAUAAACGUUGGUAAGUAAUUAGAGAAGCUUUUUUUGGUUAAAGAUAAGAGAAAUUGGUAAUUUAAAAGAAAAUCCCAAAUAAAUAUUGGUAGCUAACUCAAGUAGGAGUCGGUAUGCAAAAUAAGUUGGAAACUUAAUUAGUUAAAAGUAGGGAAUCGCUAAAAGUUUCUAAAAACAACCGGUAGAUUUAUAAAGUUUGUCAAGAAGGCAAACAAAAGAAGUGACUUAAUAAAAAUUUUAUAAAUAAAAAAAUAAAUGAACUUUGACAUAAGCAACUCAAAUGAGAGUUGACAACGCUAGCCACUAGGUUACUUAAUUGGAGUGACAUGUUAGUAACUAAAAAUAUAUGGUAGUUGAUAAAACAUUGGUGGUAAACAAGAGAAGUUUUUUUUUUUUAGGUCAAUCACAAGGGAAAGUUUUAAUUGAAAAUAAAAAAACAUCAAUAGCUAACUCAACUAAGUAUAUGUAAUGCAAAUUUUGUUAAUGACUUGAUUGGAUAAUGUUGAGAAUCACUACAAUUCCAAUUCCCAAUUGCAAUUUCUAAAAAGGAGUUGGUAGAUUUAACAAGUGGAUAAAGGAGGCAAAUCAAAGUUGGUAACUCAUUGAAAAAGUGGAUAAAUUUUUUAGAAAAAUAAACAUUGGUAGGCAAUUCAAAUGAAACUUAGUAAAUCAAAGCUAUUCAAUAAUCUAAUGGGAGAACAACUGUUAACUCACACAAUUAAAGGUUGGUGAAGUCAUAUAAAAGUUGAUAAAUUUAAGUCAUCCAUAAGAGAGACAAAUAAAAGUUGGUAAUAAUAAGAAAAUUUGAUAAAUUAAAGUAAGAUCAAAUAAAUAUCGGUAAGUAAUUCAAAUAAAAGCUGGAAAACCAAAACUAGUUGGUAAUUUGAUUGGAAAAAAAGUUGAUAAGUCACUCAAAUAAAUAUUAAAAGAUUCAUAUAUUUGUUGGUAAAUAUUAAUGAUUCAAAAUAAAAGUUAGUGUAAACUGCUAAAAGAGUUGGUAAUUUCAUGAAACUCUUGCUAAAUUACCAAUAAAUUACGGAAUAAUAAGGGACCGGUAGCUUAUUUCUACUUGUAUUUUUAUAUUUAUUAACUCUAUCAGAAAUCUACAAGCAAUGAACAAAAAUCAUUUUUUUAGCAAAAGAAUAGAAUUGUCCUAUUUACUUUUCAUCAUAAUUAUUUAAAAUAUAUAUACAUAACCAAAUCACUUAGUGGCUUGAGAAAUGAGAGAUUAACCCACUAAGCCAUGAGUGUUCUCAUAACUUUUAUUCUUAUCAUACGGAUACCAAUUCAAUUAUAAAUUAUUAUUUUUGUCAAUUAAGCCAUGAAUCUUGUAAAUAUCGUACUUUCAGUCAAUUUGAAUUAGAAAUUACUGACAUAGACGUUAGUUGUCUUAUGUGACACGAUUGUUGCUGACAUAGACAAUUUUUAUAAUUUUGUUAGACUUUUUGAAUUUUUUAUUUUAUAUAUUCUUUUUCUUUCUUACUUUUCCUUCUUUUUUUUCUUCUAAGUUUGAUGAGGAUCGUCGACCCUCACUUGCCAUAGAUUUGGCAAGGGCUACAAAGCCCUCCCCAAUCAUGGUCAAGGGUCGUCGGCCCUCUCUUGUGGUCGACAAGGGUCGAGUGGCCCUCAUUGAACUUGGUAAAAAAAAAUGGAAAAGAAAGAAAAAUAAUAAAAAUAAUAAUAAAUUAUAAAAAUUGUCCACAUCAUAGUGUCAACAUCAACAAUUUUCAAUUAAAAUUGGCCAAAAUGACUACAUUAGUAAAUCAUCAAAUUUUUUAGGAUUCAAUUUAUAAAAUUCAAAAACUUAAAACUAAAUUGACAUAUGUAUAAUAGGUUUAUGACUUUUUGGGUAAUUUUACUCAUUUGCUAUUGAUAAUGCUUUAAAAAGUUCAUUUAAUAUCUUAUUAAUCUUUCAGAAUGAGAAGGGAAAAAAAAAAGAAUCGAUUGGUUUUUAUUUUCCUUAAGGACAAUUAUUAUUUUUUUUUUGGUCAAUCAAACAUUAUGUAAGUCAAAUCCUUUUCAUGUAGACUCCUAGCAAGGUUUGGAUAACCAAGGAUACUGGAGUUGGCAAUUGAUUAUCUAGACCUUGCUAUAAGGCAGCCAGUCCAACAUAGUGCAUUUCACCCUCCCAUUUUCACCCUAGACGUGAAAGGCUAUUAUACCUGCCUAUCCGACAGUAGCCAGAGUGUUUCCACCCUAACGUGGUGUCUAUUUUCACAACUAAAGGGCCUCCUAAUUCCCUUCUCUAUCUUUUUCUUCCCGAAGAGGAGGGAAUAUGGGAGUGACAUUAUAGGGUCUUUCAUCUUAGGGUGAAUCUCUCGCCUAUUUCUUCCCCUUAAGUAUUUUAAGGACCUGCUUAGGUCCAAGUCUACUUUAUUUAGUAUCUUAUCAUAGUUGUUUUCUUUUCAUAAGUUCACACAUGUAUGUGUGUAUGUAUGUAUGUAUGUAUGUAUGUAUGUAUACACACGUAAUAUAUAUAAAAAUAGGUUUUCAUAAGCCUGGAAGAAUUUUAUACUAAUGGUGGUCAUCUUUAAUGAACAGGAUAAGAAAAACGCUUUAAUGUCAACACAAGAAAGAAAUUAGGAGAAACCCUUUCUUGUGCGAAGGAAAAGACGAAGAAGAAGAUAAGAAAUAAUCAAUCCAUUGUUUUAUAUUUUCCACUUACUUAUCUUAUGUUUAGUAUCCGUUGAAUUUUAGAUGUUAAUCAUUAUUAGAAUAUGAAACUAUUGAUCCAUUAUAUGACAUUCAAUCUUGCAAGAGGGACAUAGUGAUGCCACUCGAAUUUGGCUUGAAAAGGAAAUGGAUAAAGUCAAAUAAUAUUCUUCAAAUACACAUGCUAUGACUAGAAUGUGAGACAUGUUAUUUCUAACAUCGAUAUCCGAAAUAGAAUACAAGCAAGAAGCUUUUAAUAAUUAUUUAUCAUAUAUAACAUAAUUGAAUCGUCAAAACAAUAAUUCGAUUCUUUUUACUAAAUUAAUAUUGGAAAUCUAUAAAACCUAGAAAUCAAUUUCAGACAAUUGAACUUCUCAAGUCGUCUCUUGUUGAGAACAAAAGGUAUUUGUGCCAAUAUAUAAUAUGCUAAAAAAAAUAAAAUGCCUAGAACAUGGAAUUGAUCUUAAAAGUACUAUUUCUAUAUCAUGGCAGGAGAGAUAAUUAUCAAAUCAAUGCUAAAUCUAUUGUUUAAAUACUAAUUCAGUCCUAAAUAAUUUUGUCUAAUGUAAUUUUAAACCUUUGUGCAAAAUUUCGAAAUAGUUCUUUUAUCCAACUACCGCAAAAAACUGUUGAUGUCAUGCCUAGUCAUCUCCGAUCAUCCUACAUAGUAAAUGAUAGUGAUGGCUUUGCUCAAAGUAACAUCUUUUGUGGACCACAAUGUUAGCAAUUGGCCAGAAUGACUAUUUUGAAAUUUCGCACAAAGGUUUAUGUUGAUGCUCAAGUUUUUAUAGACGUUUUAAGUAUUCGCUCAUUUUAUGAGAUAUACAAAAUAAAUAUAAUAAUAAAGAAUGAGAAAAUUAAACAAAAAGUAAUGGUAAUAAAAAAAUAAAAAAGAGAUAUAAAACGAAGGAGAUAAAAAAAAAUGGUAAUAAAAUUCGGAGCCCAUAUUCCUUAGCAAAUUUCGGACCUGCCGAGCCCGCGUAACCAGCCCAUUUCUCUUAUUUCGUUUAUGUCUUUCAAACUCACUUUGCUUGGCCCAUUUUCCUUUCUUUGUUCACAUAAGCCCAUCAGAACUAAAAAGAAACAAAAAGCCCAGCCCAGCCCAGCCCAGCCCAGCUCAGCCUUUCCUCUGGCCUUGCUUCGGUAAGGAGCAGCGUGCUUGGGGAGAAGAAAAGGAGAAGCGACCGCAGCGACACAGCAGAAAGACAGGAGCGUUCGGCCAUUGUUGAGGGAGGGGAGAGCAAGGUUGGCUCUGCAAAAAAGUGACAACCAGAGGGAAGGAGGGACAGCCAAGGGAAAAGUUCACUAGAGACAUGUAGCUCGCUCGACGGAGGAGAGCUCAUUGGAAGCAGCCAAGGAGAAAGGAGAAAUCUGAGAGAAUGAGAGAGUGCCGCGGGUUUCGAUCUCAGAGAUGAACUCAAGAUGGGUUCGACGAGAUCGAAUCUGGCGGAGUCGUCGACUGCAGGGAGGAUGAAGUCAGAGUUGAUGGCGAGGUGAGCGAUGAUGUCACCGGCGAGAGGAUGGAGUUAGAGUUGACGGCAAGGAUGGACAGCUUCAGAGUCGACGGCGCUAGGGUUUUUGGUUGAAGCGUUGAGGAGAAGGAACGCCCCCAUCUGGUGAACGAAGAAGAUGCCCAAAUUGGAGAAAAGAAGAAACGAUUUCUAUUCAUAUUUCAGAAACUGAGAAGUUACAAUUUUUAGCUUCUGAUUUCUCCUCCAAAUCAAUUUCUGGAAUAGAAAUCUAUUUUAGAAAUAAAGAAAUCAAAUUGCAUUACCAAAGGGAUUUCUGUUCCAAACUUGUUCCGGGGAACAGAGAAAUAGAGAAAUCAAGAAACAGAAAUUUAUUAUGUGCAGCCUUAAGUACCAAAAUCAGAGAAGAAAUGAACAUUUAAGUGGCAAUGGCGAGAAUUUCCAACUAAACUGUUGAUGUGGCUCUUUCCGGCAAGAUUUUUUUAUUGAUGUGGCAAUUCUUAUAAAAAAUUUAUCCACAUGAUGCUAACUUGGCUAGAUAUGCCCAAAACGAUGUUGUUUUAACUCCAAAUUUGAUUUUUAAAUUAAAAAACUAAAUUACAAAAAAUGAAAAAAAAAAAGAGGGAGGCAGCAUUUGGCGAGGGCCUCCCUAGCCCUUGUUGUCGCCGCCGCCACCUCACCAUCGCAAAAAAGGGCCAACGACGAUGGGAUGACGGUUAGCCAAGGUCGCCAAACCCAAGCAAGUGACCAACGACCUUAGUUGACUACCAACGAGGGCUUGUAGGCCCCGUCCAAAUCUGGGGUGAGAGGUCGUGGGUGAUCCCAUCACAGCUAACAGGGCCCUUAGCCCCUUUGGGCGAGGGCCAGUGACCCCGACUAACCUUUGCCCCACCGUUGUCAACCCUUUUUGACAAUGGUGGGGCAACCAUGGCAAGGGCUAUGGAGGCCCUCGAUGAAUGCUACCUCUCUCCUUUUUUUAAUUUAGUUUUUAAAUAUAAUAUAAUUAAUAAUUAUAUUACAAAUCAAAUUUGGGGGCAAAAAGAUGUCGUUUUGCACAUUGAUUGCUAAGUAGACAACUCUAGUGAGCCAUAUAGACUAUAUUUAUUAUUAAAAUAAUGCCACAUUGGAUUUCUAGCUAUCUUCACUAGAGGAGGCAUUUAAUUGUCCAAUUUUCAAAAAUAGUUGCACUUAAGUGUACAUUUUAGAUAUCUUGGUACUUGAGUAUCCACCUGUGCCAAAUUUUCGCACUCGUAGUGUACUUUUGCCUACAAAAAAGUUUAAAAUUUUCAAAUAAUAGUAGUAAACUCAAGGCGUUGCCAAGAAAGGUAAAUAAAAAUUAGUAAAAGAUAAACAAAGGUUUUUGUCAAAGAUAGAAGAAGAUGGCAAUUUAAAAACAAAAACAAAAUAAAUAUUGGCAAGUAUCUUAAAAAAGAGGUGGUAACUUGAUUGGAAAUAUGCCAGUAAUCACUCUAAUGAAGUUGGCAAUUUCAAAAAAAGAGUUGGUAAAUUGAAAAUGUUAGUGAGUGAGGCCAAUAAAAGUGGUAACUCAAUAGAAAAGCUAGUCCAUGUAAGUAAAAAUAAUUAACUAUUGAGAAGCAACUCAGACAAGAGUUAAACUCAAAACUAGUUGGUAAUUUAAACCCCGUAACUUUGUGAGGUCACGCAAACAAAGAUUGAUAAUUUCAUAUAGUAGUUAGUAAAUUUAAACCUUUAGUAAGAAAGGUAAAUAAAAGAUGGUAAGUAAUUAGAGAAGCUUUUUUUAGUUAAAGAUAAGAGAAGUUGGUAAUUUAAAAGAAAAUCCCAAAUAAACAUUGGUAGCUAACUCAAGUAGGUUAGUUAAAAGUAGGGAAUCGCUAAAAGUUUCUAAAAACAACCGGUAGAUUUAUAAAGUUUGUUAAGAAGGCAAACAAAAGAAGUGACUUAAUAAAAAUUUUAUAAAUAAAAAAUAAAUGAACUUUGAUAUAAGCAACUUCAAUGAGAGUUGGCAACGCUAGCCACUAGGUUACUUAAUUGGAGUGACAUGUUAGUAACUAAAAAUAUAUGGUAAUUGAUAAAACAUUGGUGGUAAACAGGAGAAGUUUUUUUUUUUUUUUAAUUUUUUUUGGUCAAUCACAAGGGAAAGUUUUAAUUGAAAAUAAACAAACAUCAAUAGCUAACUCAACUAAGUAUAUAUACUGCAAAUUUUGUUAAUGACUUGAUUGGAUAAUGUUGAGAAUCACUCCAAUUCCAAUUCCCAUUAGUAAUUUCUGAAAAAGGAGUUGGUAGAUUUAACAAGUGGAUAAAGGAGGCAAAUCAAAGUUGGUAACUCAUUGAAAAAGUGGAUAAUUUUUUUAGAAAAUUAAACAUUGGUAGGCAAUUCAAAUGAAACUUAGUAAAUCAAAGCUAUUCAAUAAUCUAAUGGGAGAACAACUGUUAACUCACACAAUUGAAGGUUGGUGAAGUCAUAUAAAAGUUGAUAAAUUUAAGUCAUCUAUAAGAGAGACAAAUAAACUUUGGUAAUAAUAAGAAAAUCUGAUAAAUUAAAGUAAGAUCAAAUAAAUAUUGGUAAGUAAUUCAAAUGAAAGAUGGAAAACCAAAACUAGUUGGUAAUUUGAUCGAAAAAAAAAGUUAAUAAGUCACUCAAAUAAAUAUUAAAAGAUUCAUAUAUUUGUUGGUAAAUAUUAACGAUCCAAACAAAAAGUUAGUGUAAACUGUUAAAAAGAGUUGGUAAUUUCAUGAAACUCUUGCUAAAUUACCAAUAAGUUACAUAAUAACAAGGGACUGGUAGCUUAUUCUACUUGUAUUUUUAUAUUCAUUAACUCUAUCAGAAAUCUACAAGCAAUGAACAAAAAUCAUUUUUUUAGCAGAACAAUAGAAUUGUCCUAAUUUACUUUUCAUCAUAAUUAUUUAAAAUAUAUAUAUACAUAACCAAAUCACUUAGUGGCUUGAGAAAUAAGAGGUUAACCCACUAAGCCAUGAGUAUUCUCAUAACUUGUAUUCCUAUUAUAAGGAUACCAAUUCAAUUAUAAAUCGUUUAUUUUUGUCAAUUAAGUCAUGAAUCUUGCCAAUAUCGUACUUUCAGUCAAUUUGAAUUAGAAAUUACUGACAUAGAUAUUGGUUGUCUUAUGUGACACGAUUGUCGCUGAUGUAGACAAUUUUAUAAUUUUGUUAGACUUUUUGAAUUUUUUUUAUUUUAUAUAUUCUUUUUCUUUCUUACUUUUCCUCUUUUUUUUCUUCUAAGUCCGAUGAGGGUCGUCGACUCUCACUUGCCAUAGAUCUAGCGAGGGCUACGAAGCCCUCCCCAAUCAUGGUCAAGGGUUGUUGGCCCUUGCUUGUGGUCAACGAGGGUUGAGUGGCCCUCAUAGUACUCGGUACAAAAAAAAAAAAAAGGAAAAGAAAGAAAGAAAAUAAAAAAAAAAUAAUAAAUUAUAAAAAUUGUCCACAUCAUAGUGUCAACAUCAACAAUUUUCAAUUAAAAUUGGCCAAAAUGACAACAUUAGUAAAUCAUCAAAAGUUUUAGGAUUCAAUUUACAAAAUUCAAAAGCUUAAAACUAAAUUGACAUAUGUACAAUAUGUUUAUGACAUUUUGGGUAAUUUUACUCAUUUACUAUUGAUAAUGCUUUGAAAAGUUCAUUUAAUAUCUUAUUAAUCUUUCAGAAUGAGAACGGAAAAAAAGAAGAAGAAUCGAUUGGUUUUAUUUUCCUUAAGGAUAGUUAAUUUUUUUUUUUGGUCAAUCAAACAUUAUGUAAAUCAAAUCAUUUUCAUGUAGACUCCUAGCAAGGUUUAGAUAACCAGGGAUAUUGGAGUUGGCAAUUGAUUAUCUAGACCUUGUUGUAAGGCAACCAGUCCAACAGAGUGCAUUUCACCCUCCCAUUUUCACCCAAGAGGUGAAAGGCGAUUAUACCUGCUUAUCUGACAGUAGCCAGAGUGUUUCCACCAUGAUGUGGAGUCUAUUUUCACAACUAAAGGGUCUCCUAAUACCCCUCUCUAUCUUUUUCUUCCCGAAGAGGAGGGAAUAUGGGAGUGAUAUUAUGGGGUCUUUCAUCUUAGGGUGAAUCUCUCGCCUAUUUCUUCCCCUUAAGUAUUUUAAGGACCCGCUUAGGUCCAAGUCUACUCUAUUUAGUAUCUCAUCAAAGUUGUUUUCUUUUCAUAAGUUCACGAGAAUAGAAUAUAUAUAAACAUUUAUGUAUGUAUGUAUGUAUGUAUGUAUGUAUGUAUGUAUGUAUGUAUGCACACGUAAUAUAUAUAAAAAUGGGUUUUCAUAAGCCUGGAAGAAUUUUAUACUAACGGUGGUCAUCUUUAAUGAACAGGAUAAGAAAAACGCUUUAAUGUCAACACAAGAAAGAAAUGAGGAGAAACCCUUUCUUGUGAGAAGGAAAAGACGAAGAAGAAGAUAAGAAUAAUCAAUCCAUUGCUUUCUAAUUUCCACUUACUUAUCUUAUGUUUAGUAUCCACUGAAUUUUAGAUGUUACUCAUUAUUAGAAUAUAAAACUAUUGAUCCAUUAUAUGACAUUUCAAUCUUGCAAGAGGGACAUAGUGAUGCCACUCAAAUUUGGCUUGAAAAAGAAAUGGAUAAAGUCAAAUAAUAUUCUUCAAAUACACAUGCUAUGACUAGAAUGUGAGACAUGUUAUUUCUAACAUCGAUAUCCGAAAUAGAAUACAAGCAAGAAGCUUUUAAUAAUUAUUUAUCAUAUAAAAAAUAAUUGAAUCGUCAAAACAAUAAUUCGAUUCUUUUUACUAAAUUAAUAUUGGAAAUCUAUAAAACCUAGAAAUCAAUUUCAGACAAUUGAACUUCUCAAGUUGUCUCUUGUUGAGAACAAAAGGUAUUUGUGCCAAAAUAUUAUAUGCUAAGAAAAAAAGAAAAUGCCUAGAACAUGGAAUUGAUCUUAAAGUACUAUUUCUAUAUCAUGGCAGGAGAUAUAAUUAUCAAAUCAAUGUUAAAUCUAUUGUAUAAAUACUAAUUUAGUCCUAAUUUAUUUAUUUAUUUUGCCAAUGUAAUUUUAAACCUUUGUGCGAAAUUUUGAAAUAGUUCUUCUGUCCAACUGCCGCCGAAAACUAUUGACGUCACACCUAGUCAUAUCCGGUCAUCCUACAUAGUAAAUGAUAGUGACGACUUUGCUCAAACAACAUCUUAUGUGGCAAUUGGCCAAAAGGCACUAUUUUGAAACUUUGCACAAAAGUUUAUGUUGACACUCGAAUUUUUAUAGAUGUUUUAAGUAUUCACUCAAUUUACAAGAUAUAAAAAAUAAAUAUAAUAAUAAGAAAACAAGAAAAUUAAACAAAAAGUAAUGGUAAUAAAAAAUAAAAAAGAGAUAUAAAACGAAGGAGACAAAAAAAAAUGGUAAUAAAAUUCGGAGCCCAUAUUCCUUAGCAAAUUUCGGACCUGCCGAGCCCGCGUAACCAGCCAAUUUCUCUUAUUUCGUUUAUGUCUUUCAAACUCACUUUCCUUGGUUCUUUCUUUGGUCACAUAAGCCCAUCAGAACUAAAAAGAAACAAAAAGCCCAGCCCAGCCUAGCCCAGCCCAGCCCAGCCUUUCCUCUGGCCUUGCUUCGGUAAGGACCAGCGUGCUUGGGGAGAAGAAAAGGAGAAGCGACCGCGGCGACACAGCAGAAAGACGGGAGCGUUCGGCCAUUGUUGAGGGAGGGGAGAGCAAGGAAGGUUCUGCAAAAAAGUGACAACCAGAGGGAAGGAGGGACAGCCAGGGGAAAAGUUCACUAGAGACGUGUAGCUCGCUCGACGGAGGACAGCUCGCUGGAAGCAGCCAAGGAGAAAGGAGAAAUCUGAGAGAACGAGAGAGUGCAUCCCGUUUAGGAGCGACGGAAAACCGCAUCGCCGGAGCUCGCCGUCGAUUUUCAGAGCUCCGGUCAAAGGCCAAUCCGCGAGUUGUUCUUCACAGUUGCUCUAACCAGACGAUCUUCAUCGUCGUCAAUCGAGACCUCGAUCCGCCAAACAAACCGGGAACAAUCUCGCUCCAAACGCUCUUCUCUGUCUCAGUUUUGGCCGAGAAAGAAAUGCUCGACUCGAUCGAUUUUCUUGAAAGAAUCUUUGAUAAAACGAAUUUUUGUAUUGUUGCUAAAAAUGGUGUUUUAAGUCUGUACGUAACGUGUGAAGCUGAGGAUCUCGUUAAAAUCAAAAUCAGAGAACUGUUGAAAGAUCUGCAUAUUGCACGUUUGAUCAAAAUGCCUAACAGAGGGCCGAAAGUUCAAUCACGUUUAAACUCAAGAUCGAUUCGUACUUGCUGCGUCAUUUGUUGAAUCAUGUCUAAUACUAGCAUUUUCUCUGUGUUUCUAUGCGAUUUGAUGAAAAAUCUUUGCUCGAGUCCAACGUGCAUGCAUAUAUCUCCAAUGCUGGAAAGCUUUCCGUCGGAGAAUUCCAUCGCACCCAGCGAAGUCAGCGUUUCAAGGGCAUAUUAGUUAAGCCCAUCUCGCUUCAUUCUAAUGUAAGUUUUCUUGUGAACUUGCUGGGGUUGCUGCUGUUAAAAAAGUGGAUUCGGUAGGAUGGUUUUUGUUAAGUUUUCGGAUAGAUGGAGUGGGCAGCCGGAGGUGGUCAAAGUGGGUCGGAAUAGACGAUCGGCGGUCGGAGAUAGGUCGGCGGUGAUCUAAGCUUUCGUGAUAAACUCGUCGGUGAUGAUAUUUGUUUCGUUAAAAAGGAAUAUAAAAAAAAAAAAAAAAUUUGGCCGCGAAAGGUGGAGUUGCAGGUUGAAGAUGGUGUUCGGGUAGAGGAUGUCGAGAGAGGAAGGGAGAAAUGCAGGCAGAACGAGACAAAAACAGGAAAAGACAAAAACAAAUUAAAUAAAAAAAGGCAAAUCAAUUAAAAAAUUCAAAAGAAUAUUAGAAAUCGGUUUUAAUCCGACGCGGGUCGGAUCCGGCUAUACGGCUCGGGUCAUAGAUUCGGAUCGGAUUAACGGUCCGAACCCAUUCGCUGAAUAGAAUAAAAUAAAAUAAAAUAAACAAAUUCUGAAAAAAUUCUAAAAAAAUUCAUAAAAGAUAUAAAAAUCCUAAAAAUCAAUAAACAAUAGGAAAUUCGAAGAUAUAGAAAAAUUCCGAAAAUUUUUAAAAGUUAUUGUUAUAAAAAAUCGAAGAAUAGAAAAUUCUUAAAUAACAAUAAAAAUAAAAAAGUUCAGAAAAAUUCCAAAAAUAUUUAAAGAUUCAAAAAAAAAAAUUCCACAUACAUAGAUUUUUAAUCUCGAAAAUAAAUAAAAUAAAUAAAUAAAUAUUAAAAAUUCAGAAAAAUCAUUAAAAAUUCAUAAAAUUCUAGAAAAUGAGAAAAAAUUCAGAAAAAUUUGCAAAUUAUUUAAAAAAUUAAAAUAUAAAAUUAGACAACCCUUUAGCACUUUACAAUAGGAUUUUUAUUUUGAAUUUCCCAACAAAUUUAUGAUUCUUGGUGUACUUAUGCUUUGGAUAUUCUAUUUUUAUUGUAAAUAUCGCAAAUUAUAAAAUUCUAAUUGUUGGUAUAAUAGAGAUAUUUAAAUUUUUUUCUGAUUUUCUAUAUUUAUUUUGGUUAUCUAUAUCUAAUUAGAUUUUUUUUAUCUCCUUAAUUAUUCAACUACUCUUUUUUAGAACAUCGAAAUUUACAUAAACUUCAUAUUAAUCUCUUCCGCAUCAUUAUUCUUAACUUAAAAAAAAAAACAAAACUCUAAAGUUUUUUCACCACAAACCGUUCAGCUUCUCUCUAACAUUUUCUCUCUUCAUCACUCACAUCGUUCACUGUAAGCUCAAGCUCAAAUGCUCUCUCUCCGUUCAUCUUUGCUUUCACCAAUGCCUGUGCCCAGUGAGUGACUCGCUGACUGUGGUUCGUCUCUGUUCAUUGGUGGUGUCAUUUACUAUGGUUUUUUCUAUGUUCUUUUCUUCUUUUUGGUUUGGCUUUUUUAUAACUAGGAAUUGGAGUGAUUUAGGUUCAUGACUCGUGAAUCAACUCGAUAUCCGUAAAAUGUAUUUGCUGAUUGUCAAUUGUGAUGUGAACCCGUUUGUUCUGAUUUGCUUUCCAUUGAUUCUUGCAUUUUUUCCUUGCCUUGGUUCCUUUUCUUUUUCUUGGUUUGCAAGUUUUAACAUCUGUUAUUUUACUGAUAGAUUCUAGUUUCCUACUUGAAUUAUGAGGUUUUACCCUGCUUUGUCUUCUUUCCAAUUCGUGUAGUAUACGUGAUUUGAGUUCCAAUUGCUGUUCAUACUAUGCCUCAGUCCCAUUGUUUAAUGUCCUAAGGAUUCAUUCCGAGUGAGGUUUUGAACUUCUAAGAGCUCUUUCUUUAGGAUUCCGUGUUGGGUUUCUCUUGGAGGGGUUUAAGUCUAUUUAUUCAUGGCUUUGCCUCUCUUAUUGUGGCCAUUUUCUGUUAUAUUUACGAUCUUAUUGGAUAUUCGUGUGACCUUUGCCUCCAGCAGAUGAAGAUAAUAGAUGAGCAUUUUAAUCGAGUUGUGAUCUCUUACUAAGAAUUGUUAAUAUUUUUUGUCUUGGUGAUUUUUAUCCAUGGGAAACACAAGACGCAUGGUCAUAUGCGUGGGUCCACGCGUAGUGCAGAUAAGUUGUGAAUUAGAAGAGAAGGUUGAAAAAUCACACAUGGGUGUUGAGCUACGUUCUAAUUCAGAGACUGAAACUAAGCAGCCUCAAGAAUAGACUACAAAUGUGAAUGCAUCAGGUAAGACCUACCUACAUAUAUUUUGUGUAAUUUUUCAUCAUACUAUACUAAAAUGGUCAGUGUAUUGAUCUCGUUUCAUAAUAUUAGAUAUGUCUUUCAAUAUUUAGAAUUUCUUGUCUAGUAGUUGCCACUAGAAAAAGGAAGCGCACCUUUAUGUGUCUAUCGGGCAUAUGGAAUCUUCCUCCUGGGAAACACGUUAUUGUCAAGUUAGGGAAGAAAAUGCAGCCCAUUGGAGGUUUGGGGAGUUUCUCAGAACCAUUGGUAGCGAAUUGGCACCAUUGUUUACAACUUGAAACGAAUUACCAUGGAUAUGAGAAACAUUAUGAUUAAGAUUGUAGAGAUCGUUAGGUUGUACUCAUAUGAAAUCCCAUUCAUGUUGUAAAUAAAUUUAACACGAUUAUUAAUAUUUCUUUGUUGUAGUCUACGCUUGAUUAUCUUCAUACCAGCUAUGGAAAAAUGGAUUCUACAUUCCUUGAAUUCUAAAUGGAGAUAUUGGAAAAGUGAUCUAAAAGCUGCUCGCUAUUAUAGCUCUCAAUCUUUAUCGUAUCAUUUGAAGAAUCUUUUGGAGAGAUUGAGAAGAGAUAGAUGGAAAAAUCUCGUCACUUUUUGAAGUUCAAAGGAAGGGAAGGUAUGAAUCUCGUUCCAGCAUUGUUUUAAUAUGACCGGUCAACAUUAAGUAGACUUUCAUCGCCCAUUAUUGACCAUUUUGUGAUGAACUUAUUAUUAUUAUUAUUUUUUUUUAUCGCAGAAGCUGAGCGAUGCAAAUAAGGCUGAUAGAGCAAAACAAAAGAUACAACACACCUUAGGGAAUAAAAGUUUGUCUAGAAUAACUGCAGCAAAGGUACUCUCAUGUUUUCCGUUAAAUUUUUGUGUUUCCCUAUAAGUGAUAUUUCCAUUUUGUAAUCAAUAACUUUUCUUUAAAAAUAUUCUGCUGUGGUGAUAUAUCAUUGGACCUAAGGUAAAGAUGUCCCGAGAUUUGUGACUUUUCCAACAAUAUGCGUUUUAAUAGUAGUUGUCGUAGGAAGAAAACAUAGGAUUUGUUCUAGAUUGCCUCCUUAAGAUUGUCCACGUUCUUAGCACCUGCAUUGAUAUCUUGUUAUUAUUCCCUUAGCUUUGUGAUUUGGAUUUGCUGGUGACAGCACAAUCAUCCACAACUUGCUUCAGGUUUAUCUAGAACGCAUAGUCCGCCAUCGUUAACAAAAGAGCUAUGCAGUAGCCAGAGCUGUAAAUUAACUUAUAGAUUAUGAAACCUAUACAAGUUUCUAUUAAUUUGCUAACAUGACUGCACUUUGUAUAUGAGAGUGAACGAAAAAACAGAAAACUACUGCAGCCCUAGAAUACCCAAUUACUAGCUGUGCCAUGUCACAUGUAUGCACACGUCCCCACAAUUGUUGAAAAGCCAUUCAAUAUAGUUCAUCUAGUGUUAACAAAUGUUAUGCAGUCUUGGCAAUGACAAUAUUGCUGCUGCAAUUUAUUAGGAAUUUAUACAGUUAUCUGAGCAGAAGAUGAAUGGACCAAGAAAAGAGGGUAGGCUGGAAUAAAUAGUAUAAAAUUAAAACCAAAAGUCUAACUUCCUAGUGUGUGUUUUCAUAUGGUUUUGGUAGAUGACAAGCCAUAUAACAAUCCGCAAGAAACACCUAUAAAAAUAAAGAAUGAGAUUACUUUUCAAUUUGAUAUCUCUGGACAUCUUUUCUUGUUUUACAGGAAAGUCAGUUAUGCUGACUAACCAAGUUCUGGCACAUGAUAGGAAGCAGAGUUAAGAAUUCAGCUUAAAAUUACUCGACAAUAAAUAGUAACAUCAUUAUUUUAUUUUAUGUUACCGAAUUGCAAGGAAGCAUGAAUGAUCUCAUAGAUCUAUAUUUGGAACUUGGAAAGAGCAAUCCCCCCAUGAAAUACUGUUUUUCUAGUGUUGGGAAAAAAGAAACCUGGUGUAUCUGAUGCUAGGGCAUAGUCCAUGCCUGAAUGAUUUGGGGCCUCAAAAUCUAGUUGUCUUCCAACCGAGAACUUAAGGUCAAAGAAAAAGAAGGAUGAAGAGAUUCACAUUUUGAAGAAAUAUAGUUGUCUUCCAUCCGAGAAAUGAAGGUCAGACAAUGAGAAAGAUGAAGAGAUUCACAAGUUGAAGGGAAUACUGAAAGCAACAAAAGAGCAAUUACAAAAGACAAAAUGGAGACGUGCAAGAGUUACGGGCUCAAAAAGAUGUCUACUAUUAUACAAAAUUGUUAGCAUGCGGCAGACUCAAAGUGGUAUCACGAGAUCUAGAUGAGGUAGUAUGUCAUGAGCCAUGAGGUGUGACUAAUUUCAUUGAAUGUUAAAAUAGUGAAAGGUGUUUUAUUUACUAAAUACUGAGUGACCUAGAUAUUGGACACUAAGGGGGUUUUAAAGGGAAUAUAGGUGGGAUAGACUUGAAACAUGAGUAUGGUAUCGGGAUCGCUUCAAUGGAGCUUGGAAGUGGAAUACAAAUUUAGCAUAUUGUUACUAUGUUUUUUUUUUUUUUUUUUUUUUUUUUUUUUUUUUUUUUUGCUGUGACUAAAUCAUGUUUUGGGUUUACUUCUCUUGCAUCAUGCCUUGUCCUUUUUGCUAAUUUUGAAGUACACAAGUGAUUGCCCUUAUCAGUCACUGCUGGGUGUUGCUCCUUUUUUUUUUUAAGGUCACUUCUGAGCUCUUUUGUCCUUCUCUGUAUAGAUCCUGGGGUGUUAUAGCAUCUUUUAUAUUGAAGAGAAGUUGAAAUGUUGCCUGUUUUGGCACUUGAGAGUGGUUGAGGGACACGGUCAAAUGCUUGGAAAUGGUCUAUGUUGAUGAAUGGGUUUAUCAGAUGACCUAAUACCAUAUGUUGAUGAACCUUACGCUACUCUAUUUUUGGCCCUCAAUGCAUUUCUUCUUCUUCUUGCUCUUAAAGGUUAGGCUUCUAUUUUCAUAAUCAAACUUCUCGAGUUUGCUGGGUUACAGCAAUGAUUGUGAUUUGUGAACUGGUUUACAGCCAUUCAAUAUUGGUUGUAGUGUUUAUAAGAUGCUUUGGCCACUCACAACUAUGUUUUUUGCAAUGAAGUGAAUGGAGCUCCUUUGUUCACGUCUCUGCAUUUUUUUCAAGUGACAGGAAAUGUGGCUUAUCAUGUCUUGCUCAUUCUGUUUUAACAAAUAAGCUUCUCUACGUUUUGAUAUGCUUUACAGAUUAGUUAUGAGCUCCUACGUUCAUUUAUUUUAUUACUUUCUGUGAUCUAAGCUUCCUCUACAUCCUUCUCCAAUCCAAAUUAUUGAAGGUUUAAUUGUGCGAUGUUCAACUAGCGAUCACUCUCAUGAUAGCUUGUGCUGAUUUCACACCCAUUAUGCUUAAUCCUCUUUCCUGCACUCAUUUGCUUUGCUGGAUGAUGACCAUCAUAACCCACAAUAGAGAUCUCCAAAAAUCAGUUUAUGCUCUCCAUUGUCGAGUCAUGAGCCACACUCUAAAAGAUGGGGUUGGUGUUACCUCCAAAGGUACAGUGAUCAUUGUAGAGCCCGCAUUCUAUUUAUUUUUUGUUAUAAAUGUCUUAGGUCUAGUAAAAAAAGAACAAAACAGCUUCUUGUGCCCGUUGUUGAAGAAAGCUCAUUAAAGAACUAGUAUAGUUCCCGCAUCUUCAAGAUAUGAUGAGGCUAGAAAAGAUUUUAUAGCGAUGAUAGGACCUCUUUCAUGUGCAGUCGAACAUUAUGUCCGAGCUAUAGCUGAAAUUGCUUUAGAAUGCGAAAAAGGAAAACACAGCAACAUAGUGUUUUUGUUGCAGUGAUUCUCUCUUGGACAUAGGGUGUCUAUCUCUCCCUCUCUGAACCUACCUUGUUUAAUUAUUCCUUUCUUGCAUUGGAAUAGUACAAAGAGCAAUCUAGAGAGUCCAAUAACUUAUGGAUGUCGGUGAAAAAUUGACCAUUGUCCUUCAGUACAUCUAGACAAUUUUUGGAUUGCGCCAAAAAGGCGAAAGCCCAUGCUUGAGAAGUUUUCGCCUUUUUGUUGUGAUUUGUGUAACGUGAUCAAAUGGAUGAUUCAGGGGUUUCAUGGCUGUUGCGUGACGGCUAAGCAAGUUGAGCGUCAUAACUCCUGAGCACGUCAAUUUGUUGUUUUUUGAAUCUUAUGACUUUGAUAAGUUAAUAGAUUUAGCUUUGAGAAGAUUUUGGAAUAAAGUACUCAACGGAGACGAGGAUUUCGCAUUAUUCAUCCGUUGAUGUUUCUUGGGUGGAUAUGUGAUGCGUUGUCCUGAAGGAUGUUGAGGACAUGAGGCGAUUCUCUUGUUCCGUUUCCGAUUAUUAGCAAAGCCAACAUCUUGGGAAUCAUCUAUAGCAUAAGAGCUAAAAACAAAGAUAAAAGUAAAUAGGCGUGCGCUAUGCAAACGCAACAGACCUGAAAGAGUUUGUCAUAUACAUUUAUUAGUCAACCUUUAUAAUGCAAUAUUUGCUUGUGGUUAUCUAACUAAUUUCGAUGACAUGUUACAGGUGUCAAAUGUUGUAGGUGUCAAAUUUUGUAAUACUACAUUCAUGUGGCUUGCAUGUUGUGUUAAUAAUUUAAAGGAUGUUAGAAAAAUGAAAGCAUGAUAUUACUUUUUUUUAAUUUUUUUAUGAGAACUAGAGAUGGAGUUCAAGUUUCACAUUGUGGUUUAGUUUCUUAGUUAUCAAUAAUUGAGUAGAAUCAACUUUAAUCUUGGACGCAUAUGCUAUAUAGAGUUGAGCUUGAGCAUGGGAUUGAGAAACAAAGUUUUGGCAUACUAACAGUACAAUAUCAAACCAUCAAUUUGAACUUAAACUUUGUAUCAACAAACUACUUCAAAUGAAUUUAUAGCUUGACUGCAAUUUUAUAGCUUUUUUUCCCCAAAUGAAGUACGUUUUCUUAGACACUUUUAGUUCAUUGACCAACUAAAUAAUAUGCUACGACAUUCCUUGCAUGCCGACAAGAAUGAUGCUAGUGGUCUUCAAAACUUCACCAAGCCUCUCCAACGUAUACAAGUCCCGUGAGAGCUUGAUUCCUGAAAAAUAUAAUCACCAUCAAUCUUUCGAGAAAAUUUCAAAAUAAAAUUAAGAUAAUCAAACUAUGUAGUCAAAUCAACCAAAAAUACAUGUGAACUUAUUUUUACUGUGUUUAAUAUAUUUGUCAAUGUAUACUAUUUAUAACAAAUAUAUAGAAGAUGUUAACUGCAUUCAUUGAGACUGAAAUACUCGAAAGGAUGCUGAUGAAAGUAAAAAAUAAUUGCAUUCAUUGAGAUUGAAAUAUUAGAAAUGAUCUAUAUAUAAUAGAAAAUGAUAUCAUGUGAAAAGAUACAUAAAUCUGGUGAGAUUCGUAUUGCGAUUAAAGGAAUGGGAUUAUAUGUGCAGAUUUAAUAUAUCACAUAAGUUUAUUUCUUGCACCACCAAAUGCAAACAAUUUAAUACUAAGCCAUUCACCCAAUCUUUGGCUUGUACCCUACUUGGUCCAUGAGAUUAGUAAGGUAUGAUAUGGGCUUGACAUCUUAUCUGCACAAGAUAAGUUUCUUGGAAGGAGAAACAAUAUCUUAUUACCAGAAAAUGGCCAGUUUAUUUAUAAAUCAAGUAGAUAAAGCCCCCUCCUCCUUUCCCCCCUUUCUAUCUAGUGCACUUAUGGAAGUAGGUCAAUGAAAUUUCAUUUAUGUGAAUUAACAUACGCAUAAAUACACUUUUUUUGUUUUUUUUAACGACUUUUAUGAAAACUGGUUUUGUUCUCAAUCUAGCUAAAUUAAGAAAUUUUUAUGUUCACAAUCGACUAAAUUAUAGUAGAAGAUAAAACUAAGACUCAACCUAGGCAUCAAAAGUUUAAUGAGUAGCAGAAAUAGACACUGUACCUGACAUGAAUCCUUCAUGACUAAAAGAAUGAAUUCCUAGAAGAUCGACUUCUUUAACUCCUAUUUGAAGUGGCUUUUAAUCGAAUGUAAAAAAUGGGGAAGGACACAGAAAUACAUCAUCCACCAAUUAAUAAAGUAUUUUAGGUCUAAAGUUUGAGAGUGAAAGGAGAUGUGACAAGUUUUUCCGACCUGCCUAUAUCUCCUUUCCUUCUUCGUUCAUUCUACUGGUAAGCGGCUGCUAUUCUUCGGUCACUCCUGGUGAGCAUCCGGUGCUGUGGGUAUCCUUCCAUUGGCUUCAUGAUCUCUAAUUGCAAUCAUCAUCAUCGUGUUAUCCACUGUUUUUUUAGCUCCAGUUCUGAUUUGCUUCAUAUAUCAUGAGACUAAACUAACGACACAAAAAAGAAAACCUGUCUUUCAUGGGCAGUUACAUAUCUCGCUCUGCAGCUCCUUGGCGAGGUUUGCAUGUCUGUGUUCCUCUUAUGUUCUUGUCUUUUGGUAGUCACUGAUGUAGCAUUUGGCGAGCUCUUCUAAUAGAUUCUCUCUCUUUCACGCGUGCAUAAUGCGGCCCACUAAGGAAUAGAAGUCCAAGAAUGUAAACAGAAUAAGAAACAUAAUUCAAAUUGUUCGCAGGAUGUGAAGGUUCUGGGAUGAAUAUUCUCUUCGUAGCAUUAUAAUAUUCCAAAAAGGGAGUUAAACCUCACCUUCGCAUGACUUGGGUUGUAACGUGGCCAAAACCUUGCACUUAAAUGUCACCAAUUUCUUCGAUGCUCUUGUGAUCAGGCUAUACAUGGUAAUGUCUGUGAAUUCAUUAUUCUUCUUGCAACAACAAAGUCCACUUCUUUUUAUACAGAUGCUGUUCUUUUUGCUUUGCAUUGUCUAUGUUAUAGUGAAGAAGCUCCUAGCAGAAUCCUGAUAUAACCGCGAUAGUCAACAGAUGUUUCUUCUGUUGCAUUCAUCCGUUGCUUGUGUUGCAUUUAGUAGAGCCUUCAGUUGCCAAAUCAAAGAAUGUUGGCCAGAAGAUUGAGGGCGUUGAUGUCUAAAUCAAGUGGUGUAACUCCUAAUGAGAUUGACUCAGAGCUUAAUUGCUAUUGUGUUCUUUGAUCACCAAUUCUCAUCACAAAAACAAAGUAGGAAUUGGUUUUAUGGUUGUAAUAAGUUGUGGAUUGAUCUGAAUACACCAGAUUGAGCUAAGGACAUGAUAAUCAACAUCCUUGAAAUGAACCAAGCAUUGUGCAAAUCCAGCCAAUCAAGGCACGAGGAGGUUAAUGUGAGCUAACUUCAACUGAAAUCAAGGCUCAAAGGGCCAAGUAUAGACAUUAAAAGGAGCAAUUGCAUGAGUAAAGAAAAAAAAUGAUAAUAUCAAUGGUCAUUUGUUCUAUUAAGGUGUUGUGUCAUUGUGCUGGUUGUGUCUAACACGAGAGUUGGUGGGAAGUUUCUAAGCCUUCCAUAGUUUAUUUAGGUGUGAGUGUGUGCAUCUGUGUCAGGUUGAACUACUGGAAGUCCUGCUUCCCUCGUCUUCAGUACGCUUGUUCCGGCUUCAUGCUUCGGACUUGCUUUACCACUGAAAACUAGAUAUUCUCAUGGAAAGCUGUUGGCUCUUUGGCAAUAUGACAGAAGCUUUCGUCGUUCUUACCAUUCUUACUAAAGAACUUCUAAUACCUUUUCAUUCUGUUACGAAAAAUCUAGUGAACUUAACAGCUUUGGCCUCUUGUAUAGUCUAAUAUAUCACCAGAUGUAAUGGCACAUGCUAAUCUUGAUUCUAGAAGAGGCGCCUGUGAAGCGAGACAAUGAAAUGCCAACCCCCUCGAGCGGAAAACAUUCCAACAUAAACAGUGAUUUAAAAUUUGACCCUGAAUGGUCAGGGCAGGACGAAUGAAAUGAAGUCUCAUUGUUUUCUUUUUCUUAACCCAACGGUUUAUCAGAGGUCUAAAUACUUGUGUACUUCCACACUAAAGACACUUAAAUACGUGAUUUUCAACAAUACUUCCACAUCUCUGCAUAUUUGCAGACCUGUAGGGAAUACUCGUUCUCGUGCUGAAUAUGUUAGUUUUUUUUCUCUUAUUGAAAUCAUCGAACAGGUGCAUAUGUACAGCUUGGGACUCCACUUUGCUUUUGUUAGGUCCCUUCGCUCGGAUUCGUGGUCAUCGGUUUCACAGCACUUUUGGGCGUGUCAGACACAGGCCCUCAUCCACAUUAGAAAGCAAUUUCCAUAAUGCUAUGCCAUUUUGUAGGAUUAACUCCAUGUAUCGAGUCACAUAGGCAAGCCACCUUUAGGCUUUUUAGGUAGGUCCACGAUAUAUUUUGCCAGCCUCGUCGAUCAGAAUGCCGAAAUCUUGGGUGAUUGAUUUGGAUAUAAAAGCAUUCCUACUUGAAUGUCAAGUCUUCUAGAAGUCCAUGAUAUGUAGAGCAUCCCAUGAAUCAAAUAAGAUGCAAAUUCAAAAUCUCAAAAAUUCGUUCAACUAUAAAUUUUUUCACACAGGAUGAUACAAAUGACUGAAUAACCAAAAACGACAUGACUUUCAAGCUCAGCAGCCUCAAAGCAUUCUAAUUAUAAAUUAGACAUACAGAAACCACUAAAAAUUUGAGAGUAACCCUUUUUCUCAGAAUCAAUUUCUCUCAACACAGACACGAAUUCCGUCCAAUAGAAAAAAGCCACACCAGCUGCCAAUGCAAUAACCAAAAGCAAAUCAUAAUGAAAGAACUAGAUGUACCUGGACACGAGUAGUGGCGUCCUGACCAGACACGAUGCCGUGCCUCAUCUGCUUCACCAUUGCCUGUCUCUUGUUCCUCAGCAGAUUUAUACUCACCACUGUCAUCUUCGCUGCCGUUUUGCUGUUCAUUCCCAAAACAAAAUAACAAAAAACUCUCCAUGAAUAUAACUACAAAAAGCCCUCACCUAUUAUUUGCUAUUUACCAGAACAUAGAAAAGUAAACGCCCCCAAAGUAAACCAAUUUCAUGUGGGGAUUUUAUGUUGCAUACCUUGUGAAUAGUGGCCAAGCGUUUGGUCUCUUCCUUGAUCUGACCCAGGUGAGAGAGGAUGCAGUCGCAGAUCUCCAUCUUCUUCCUCUUGAUCCCCUCCUCCUUGGCCCUGAAAGUGGACGGAGCAGCCCUCGACAUCUCCUUGUCCUCCCUCAACAGCGACGUGUUGCUGCUGAAGCUCAAGUUCCCCGACGAGCCCUGCAGGAUCAGCAGCAGCUGUUGCUGCCGCUGCCGCUGGGCCUGUUGCAAGGCCUGCUGCUCGUGCACCUGCAUCAAGAUCUUCUUCUUCUUCUCUCUGAUCUUCAAGCAACAGAAACCCCUGUGACCUCUGAUAAACCAAGUGUAUAAACUUCAGUACCGUCCCCACUGAUAAACCAAGAAUAUUCCACCAUCUUUGCUGUCUAAUACUAAUAAACCAAGUAUUUGAACUUCAGGACAGUCUGCACCAAAUGCAACCAAACCAAGUGUUCAAACUUCAGGCAUAUGGCUAGCCUACCGAUGGAAAUUUACCUCAAAUGGAGCCAGGAGUUCCUCCAUCUUCCCUGGUACGCACAUUUGUUCUUGUGCGCUGCUCUCUGCAUGCGAAACCAAUGAUGGGUGCCAAAACAUCGACGGGUCUGUUAAUGCAGCCGGCACACUCUCUUCCUCCUGCAAAAACAGGGGACAUUAACAAACCCAGGGCAUUGUAUUUCGCCAUUUUUGUGGCCUCACCAGAGGAGGGAUGCCUAAUUACCACAUGUUGGUCCUACUCAAAUUCGAUUUGACAAAGAAAUGAGUACACCAAUUUUAAGAUUCACAAACAAACGUAUUUUAUCCAGGUUUUUGUUUAAUUGCCUGAAGGGCUCCAAGCAACAAAUUUGGCAACAUGAAAGAAGAAAAAAGAAUACCGUCUUCCCUAAGUCGCCAUCUAAUGUUGAUUACUGUAACACUGCAAACAUGCUUUUUAACCCAUAGCAUGAAUGGUGCUGUGCCAGUAAAAGCUUCAGCACCUCAGAUCAGACUGUCCUUGAAAAUUGGCACUCCAAAAAUAGAUAGCACCUUGGAUCAUCAAAUCAUGUAGACCAGUUCAAGCUCUAAAUUGAAAAUAUCCCAAAUACAAUAUUAAAGAAAUCGCACAUUCAUUGGAUAUUCUGGAGAUUCUAAGUGAACAAAUAGCACUUGUAAGUAAAGAUGACACCUUUAUUUUGACUCCACAGGCCAAAAGAUGGAUUCAUAAUAAUUUGGAAUUGAGUUUACAGGAAAUUUCCAUGGGCGUUAUGCAUGAUAUUCAAGCCAAAUCCCCAAUCCUUUUAGCAUGUUUCCGAAGCAGAGAACCGCGAAAUUGAGCAUUAAAUAUAGUUGCUCCCACCUUAAUCAACCGAAACAAAAGCAUGCGAACAAUCUGUGUCCUUUUUCUGUUUUGCUUUGGACGAUCCUAUCUCUUAUUUUGCUAAGAUUAGUAAGAUCGCAACAACAUCCUGCGUUUGGGCAUAUACCCAUUGACAUCAUUCCCAAACUUCAGACCUAUUCAAUCCACAAGAGAAAACAACUCAAAUGAGUUCCCAUACCUCCUUCGGAAUGAAAGCAGAGUACAAGAAAGGAGAUUAAGCCGCCCGGCUUUGGACGAAGAGGACCCGACGUCGCCGUCGGCCUCAUCGAGCUCUUGCGCAAGGACUCGAUGUCGUCGCGCUCGAACGAAGAUGAAAUUUGGGGAUUCGGCGAAGAAGAAAAAGGACACUCAGAUGAAGAAGAGGAGGAUCGAUGAAUGAGAAGCGGACUCCAUGAACAAGAAGUACACUAUGGACGAGAAAGACUGAUGAAGAUGUGACGAGAACUUGAGAAGAAUACUCAAUCAUUGCGUUUGAAGGCUCGAAGCUCUAUGCCACGUAGGAGUGUGAAAAGAAUAAACAAAAAUUUUCAUUUAACUAAUUGAACAAAAUUAAUAAAAUGACUCGAUUAUACUAAAUUAACAAGUUUUAUUACUCGAUUGUAAUUUUUUGUAAGCUUUAGGACUUCUAAUAUAUUUAUCUCUUUAAUGUUCUAUCUACACUGUAAAUAUUGCAAAUCAUUAAAGUCAUUGUCAUAAUGAUUGGUAUUAAGGAAGAAAUGAAGAAAAAAAAAGUGCAGUAUAUUACGUAGAAAAAACGCUAAGUAAAACCAAUUGUUUCUUAUAAAAUGAGAGAAAAUUUUAAAUAAUAGGCUAUAAGCUAUUAUAUAUAUCCUAUAAAAUGAAGUUUUUCCGAAUAUUUGUGAUAAAAUCUGAACCUCUUACUGCAACUAUGUAACUUUCUCAUAUACAGAAAAAAGGAAAAGCUAGAAAAACGCAGAGAGAGAAAACAUCACAUGCGUUAACUGGUUUUUAAAGUAAGUGAGACCGAGACUUAUUGUAUGAUUGUUUCUUUUUUUAUUUUCCACAAUUAUUAUAAAUCUCCUUAUAGUUGAAUUUAUGUUUGUGGAUGGUCUUGCUGACUUACCUUAUAUUGCUUGAAAUUUUGGACAGAGCCUUCGAAUCCUUGCUUAAGCCCAAGUAAUUUCGGGCAACCGGCAAUACUUAAGUAGCAAUCAUUUGGCAAUUCAGUGGUCGAUACAUUUUCCAACAAUGGGCAGUCAUUAAGGUAUAAGAACUUGAAAAACUCCAACUUGUCGAGGCCCUCGACAAUUCGUAGGUUAGGGUUGUACUCUAUGCACAAGCGCUCAAGGUUCUUUAAUUCUGACAAACCACCAAGACUUUGUAAAUGAUUACCAUAAACUGUCAAGUCUUGCAACGAUUCUGACGUACCAACAACUUGAAUACCGAGUAUCUUAUCGCAAAACCCUAUGCACAGUCCCCACAACUUAUUGAAGACUCUUGAUGCAAGGACUAGUGAAGAUUCAUGGGAAGAUUUCCAAUGUCUGUCAACGUACACGAACCUUCUGAAGGACUCACAUUCACUGAUAUCCAAAUUGCGCAACGAUUCCAGCACCCCAGCGAUGUGGAUCUCAUCUAAUUUUGGGCAGCACGCCACGUUGACCUCUUCUAGCUUCGUCAUGCUAGAUAGCAUGAAUCUCUCGAGGGAUCCACAGCAAAAAAUUAGAAGCUCCAUUAAAUUUGGAAGCUAAAGCCCAUCGAGUAUUAUCUCUUGUAUUUGAGAGCGAUAGAGCCUUAAAUUUGACAAAUUCUCUAAGUGGGAGGAGAGAAACGUGGUUGAAUUAAUAUUAUCAAGGGUUAGCUUUAAUAGAGAAGAGGGAAGUUGCUUGAGGGGUUGCAAGUUCAAUCCACACAAACGGAGUUUGUCAAGCCGAGUAAGAGAAGCCAACUCAGUGGGAGCAGGGGCAUGGAGGAGACACAAGCUUAAUUUUUUUAGUUUGGAUAACCCCCUGAUCCACUCUAAAUCACCAGUAUAAGUUUUAUCUUGUUCGUCAAUUUUGGAGCCGUCACUUAGUUUCAACCUAACUAAAUUAGUCAAGUUUGAAAGGUCCGGCAACUCUCGAAUUUCAUCAAACCCUUCUAACUCUAGUAUUUGAAGCCGCAGAAGCAAGCCAAUUUCAGAAGGGAGUUGACUUUUCAAAUUUCCUUCAACUUGAAGCGCUUUCAGAUUCUCAAACUUUCCAAACUCCAUUGGAAGUGCAAUUGAAAGCUGCAACUCCCGUAAUGAUUUCCACUUAAAUAUGAAAUCCGGUAAUUCCUUCAUUGGACGACAAGAUUGUAAAGAGAAGUGCUCUAGAUUCCGUAGGUCCCCAAUUUUUUCAGGCAAACCUUCAAGGCGAUUGCAAAGAUCAAACUUUAAAUCUUUUAGAUACUUUAACUUCCCAAUAGAGCCAUCAAUCUUCGUUAAGCCGUCGCAAGCCAAAAAAGUCAGCCUCUCUAA
rnacentral:lncRNA from 1 species